AAAAAGGAAAAAAAAGUAUAAUAAAAUAACAAUAUUUUAACAGAUUAUCUUGGAUCUUGGUUAAAAGCUAGCUUACCUUGGUGAAGAGAAGACUAGUAUUGUUCUUGUUCGUAAGAGUUGAAGAAAGUUUGACGUCUUCAUGUUAUGGCUGCUGUUAUAUAUAGACACACAAGAUGAGGGCGGGUGUCAUUGAUUGUGUAUUAAAAAUAGUAUUAGUUUUAUCUAACUUUCAAAAUAAUCUUCUAAGAAAAGUACUAAUAGAAAUGAGAUGUUUGAACAAUAAUUUGGUUUUGGGAUAAAAUAUACAAUAUAUUGAGUAUGUUGCUUUGGCUUUGAAAUUGCAUUUAUUAUAUACCAAAAUACUAUUUGGAUAUAUACAAACGAGAUACUAUGUCUUUUUCACAUUUUGAUCAUGAAAAUUCAAAAUCAAAUUGAGAGAAAGAGAGAGUAGAGACUAGGUCUGGGCAUUUCGGAUAUCGGUUCGGUUCGGGUAUUUCGAGUUUCGGAUAGUUUGGAUAGAGGGUUAGAAAAUCCAUUUACUACUUUAUCUAUUUUCGGUUCGGAUAUUCGGUUCGGAUAGUAAAACUAGAAACCAGAAAAUACUCAAAAAAAAUUCGGUUAUCAUUUGGUUCCGGUUCGGGUUCAAGUAGUUUGGAUAGUUCGGAUAAUUCGGGUAAAAUAUCGGUUAUUUAAAGUAAAACAUUAAAUAAUUAGGAUGAUUUAGAUAAAAAUUUGAACAUUUUGGAUUACUUUAGAUAUUUCGGAUAGUUUGGAUACUUUAUAAUAUUUAAAUUAUUUUCAACUAUUUUUGGAUACUUUUAAUAGAUUUUUAAAUGAAAAAUAAAUAUUUAAAUAUGUUAUAUAUAUAUAUAAUUAAUAUUUUUAUAUAUUCAGAUAUCCGUUCGGUUUUCGGUUCAGUUAUUUCGGAUAUAGUAAUAUAGAAACCAUUCAGAUAUGUGAGGAUCUCAGCCCGAUUCUGGUUUGGGUAUUUUGGUUUGGUUCCGGUUCGGUUCUUUGGUUUCGGUUUUUGGCCCAGGCCUAGUAGAGACCAUAUAAUUCGAACUUGUAAUGGUAGUAAUGUGUUGACAAAAACAAAUAUAGAGAUGAUGAUAUUAUAACAUAUUAUCAUGGCAUGAGAACUGAAGAGGAAAAUUGUUUUGAUGACUAGUAUCCGCAAUAAUAUUCUAAAUGCUUUUUUCAAAGUUGGAAAUUGUUAAUAUUGGUGAAUAUGAAUUUGGACCGUUUGCCGCACGGCCAACAAUGAUGAAAGAUUGACCAAAAAGAUGACUACAUGAAUGGCUUUUGAUUGUUGAGAAUUAAGAUUGUUGACUUUGUAAAGUGAAUAAAAAUGAAAGAAUAUUAUAUAUUUAAUGAGUAAAUAACUUUUAAAUAUUGACUUAGAAAAAUAUGGAAUAUGGUCGGUGAGAUUUAUUAGGGUCUUAUUGAUGGAAUCGUGAAACCAAAAAAGAAGGUGCAAAUAGUAUGGAAGAUUCAUUUGACAUAAGAAAAGAUUGUCUUUGUCAUCUUAGACUUUGUUACCUUGAUUCAAGUAAACCAAACUUUCACUAUACAAACAUGUACACAUAUUUAGAUUAGUCAUGUGUGUCUAUGUUAGCUAAUAAUACCAUCAAUCCAUAACUAAAGGUACUCUACAAGUAUCCAAAUUCUCAAAUUUCAUUACCAUUUGAAUGUCUCAACCUUCAUCAUAAUUAAGGCAAUCUUCCUAAUCAAAUCAUCAGCAAGAUUUUUAACAAACAAUAGAAAUAAAAUACAACAGUUUGGAGUUUAGAAUUUUAAAAGAGAAAUUUUCAGAAUUUCUCCCUACAGCUUAUACGUGUACAAUUCAUGUUAUUUAUUAGAGUUGUUGUAAUGGAUGAAAACUAGUCUUCCACAAUGUGUUUCCUCUCGAGCUCAAUAAACUGUUUGCUGAGACGGGAGGUUUCAGUGGCGUUUCGAGUCUCGUUCUCUUGUCCUUUGCAACGCAGCAACUGCAUUUGAAGAGUUCGCACAAGCUCAUUUAGCCUCUGGAUAUGUCUUUCUUGCGACAAGAUGAUCUGUAUCGAUCAACAAAAUAACAAAAAGAAAAUACAACUGUUAGAAAUGAAGGGUCUUCUUCUAUUUUGAAGGUUCAAAAUAGAAGCAUAUGCAUGUAUAUUAAGGUUCAAAGUUAUCCUGAAACAUGAGGUUGUUCAUACAUUGCAAGACAAAGAUGGUUUUAUACUAUUUUUACUUCACUAACCUUAACUACUUGAUGCAAAUCAGGGACAACUCGAUAGAGGUAUCGAACCAAUAGUUCUAUUGAAAAUUAAGAACUCUAUCAGCCACAGAGUGAUUCAACAGACAUUCUCAAAAACAGGAAAGAUAACCGCUGAAAGAUCAGAGUUUGGUGAAAAUGAUAAACCUCUCAAUGCCAAGAAUAAAGGCAGAAAGAAAAGAAACAAAGUCCAGAGACUGAUUGAUACAUGAUGAUGAGUUUUUCCAUGAGAAGAGAGUUACCUUCUCUUUGACAGCAUCUUCCCUCUUUGCAAUCUGCUGAUGUUUGUGAGACAAGCUAGGAGCAGCAUCAAGCUCGAGCAGCGGUUGCCUCCAUUCAAACUGAGAAGUGACUAUAAGUAUAACCAGUAGAAACACAAGCAUGAUCGGCCUCGACAUUUUUCCUCUUCCUACAGAACCUGUUCCACACUCACAAUAAAACAACAUACAUUAUCCAAGACCACGCCUUUAUCGGAGAAUGAGAUUGAAAGGUCGAAACUUUAAGAUGUAAGAUGACUUUAAUUCACCUACCCACUUCCUAAAUUUCCUAAACAAAACCAAAACUAUAACGAUUACGAUGUUAUCAGAACUUACAGAUCAAGAUUGAAGAGUGAGAUCAAACUUCAUUAUCGCAUCCGUUGUAGGGUUUGCGAAAAGGAAGAGAGAGAGACUGAUCUAGAUCUUUCGAUGAAAUCGUUUGAAGCUACUAGCUUUCUCGUAUAACGAAAGAGAAAGAGAUGUGAAGCAGAGAUGUUUAACGGAUAAUCUUUAAGUGCAACCGUCGUCAAGAGACGAUGGAGGUGAAGAGAAGAAGAAGAGUACGGACAUUAAAGAGCGACUGAUUUUACAAAAUUACCCCCAUCACUUAUACCACACAGAGGCGAAGAUUUUUCCGAAAACCAAAUCAAACCGAACCGAAAAUUCAAAACAAAAACCGAAAUUCACAGAGAUAUCUGAACCUUUAUAAAUAUAUUGAACUAUUUAAAUUUUUAUCUAUUAUUUUAAUCUAUUUUGAAAAAAAUUAUAUGAUAUUUUAUGCGGAUAAUCCAAAUAUUCUAAAGUGUAAUUUGAAUUAUCUGAAAUUAUCUUAAUAAUUGAACAGAAUUAAAACCAAUUUAGAUUUAUAACUUUUCUACAUAAAAACUGGGUUUUUAAUAUUUUUACUAAUUUGAACCAAAUUUUACAAAUAUCUAAACAAUUCAUAUCUCUAUAUCCGAAAAAAAUAAACAGAAUCUCUUUAUCCCAAAGAAGGAACGAACCAAAAAAGAAAAUCCACAAGCCUAAUUGCAUCGGUUUAGUUUUGAUUUCAAGGUUCUUCCCAUUUCAGGGUUUUGAAUUAUCGGUUUGCUUGCAGUUCUAAAACCGUACCAAAAAUUGACAGAUUACUCAAGUUGAAACACUAUACACAAAACAAACCUAUACACAAAAACAAACAUCAACAUCCAAAGCAAGCAAUGCCCAAAACACAACAACACAGGACAUCGGUUCCAACUACUUACAUAGUUACAUAGCCUCCUCUAGAUAAAACAACAUUGCAAUGAGAGCCACUGCACCUAUGAUAACAUCCCAUCGUACCCGGUUCACCGUUUUGAUCGAGUAUAGUCCCACGAAGCAGCUCGACAAUGGUUCAGUGCAACUGCUCUCUUUUCCUUCCUUCUCCUGUGGUUGUCUUUCUUCUAAGAGUGAAACCAUCUGUUUGUCUAUCAUGGUUGGUAAUGGAAGUACCCUUAUCGCCGAUGCUGCUGACUCAAGUGUUGGCACUUCGUUUGGUGUUUUCCCCGUCGUCACCGCUUCAUCAAGAUUGAUGAUUUCGUCGCUUAGGAUAUCCGCAAAGAAAUCCUCAUCAGCAUGCACCUAAACACACACACACACAAGAUUUUAUCAAUAAGUGCAAGAAUAAAGAACCAUCAUCCAAUUGUUAUCAAGAAAAUUACGCCUAUGUGAAACGUUAGUAUAUAUAUAUCCAAAGCUAUCAAAUAAGUAUAUGGAUGCCUAAAUGGUAGAUCAAUAUCACAACCGGUCCUCGGCACAGCCUUCGGAUGAAACCUUCGUUUUAGCCUCAAAAUUUUGAUAACUAAUAUACAUAAGUUUGGUUGUCCCUAAAUUAUGGGAAGAAUUAAAAAAAAAAUCUUUCAAGAUCCGUCCUAAAAUGUUUAUAGCCUUUGAAAUCUCAGGACCGGCUCCGAUCAAUAUUCAUUGACAAGAAGUGGAACAAAGGGGGCAAACCUGUACAUUUCUUGAUGUUUCUGCCAUUUCAGUGAGAAGAUUUUCACCUGGUUCACCUGCAAGGUAAAAAUCAAUCAUGCUGUCCCAAUCAGAUGGGCGACCUGAACUAGCCGGAUCAUUUGGCAAGAUCAUGUGCUUAUCGGCUGCUAAAUUUGGCUCUGGUGCCUUAUGAAACUCUCUGUUCCUCCUGAGCCGGCAAACAACCAAAGCAUCGUCCUAAAAUUCACACAAGAUAAUCAACUAAAUGUCUUGGAGUGGAUCUUGACAAUUAUAAACAGUAUCAAAGUAUGUAAUCACGUUAACAGUUUUAAGUUUCAGAACAGUUUUACCAGUGGUGAUCCUUUCAUGGAAUACUCGUGCAUAAUCCACUCCGUUCUUUCUCCUUUUGGUGCACGACCGAUAUGGAAGACAAGCGUCCUCUUUGUUCCGACCACUUCAGAAGAAGACUUAACAUCACGUUCUUUCCCAGUGGCUUUCCAGUACCCCAUCUUGGUUGUUCUCCUGUUCUGUGAGCCAUGUGGAUACUUUUUGCCACGUGGACAGAAGAAGAACCAUUCUGUAUCAGAUUUAACUAUUGACUUAUCUGGAAAGAAAAAAAUAGGAACGUUAACUAUCUUAAAACACUCCACGAAACACAUGUUGCUGCCAAGAAAAGGUAAUGCUUAGAAGGAAUCACAAGAUCGUAACAACAACAGUUUUUUUUUUUUUUUUUCCUUUUUUUUUGUAAAACAGCUUUGUCAGUUUUCUUUUAUCUUAACAUGUUACCAAAAAAAACAAAAAAAAAUAAGAACAGUAAAAAACAGGACACCCAAAAUAGUAAUUAAGUUCUGAAUAUCUGAUAACGAGACUGAGUGCACCCAAAAUAGUAAGUUCUGAUCCCUGAGUGUAAAUCAGGCGAACAUCAAAGAGUAGAAACAGAACAAACCGGGCAAAUCCCAAGGCUCGAAGUUGUAAAUAUCGGUUUCCGGUAUAACCUCAACGGACCGCUCCAAACCGUCCAUCUUCCGCUUGAGGUAAUAAGAGAUCAGCUCCACGUCAGUUGGCGAGAACUUGAACCCUGGAAACACCGUCGACGCUUCCACUGUAUCCACAGAAACUCCCACCGGGUCCACCUCCAUGAAGGUUCCCGCGUACACAACAGUCGCCACAAGAGAGUAUCGCCGCCCUGGAAAUAAGACAAAAGGGUUUCUUGUCUCUGGAGAAUCUCUGUGCUCUCUCACUUGAGCUUUGAUCAGAGAAGACAUUUGCAGACAUGGGUUUUUGACCAGGUGUUGCGCGGGCAUUGCUUUGCUGCAUGUCUGAUUGCCACGUCACCACACCUAGUUAAACUGAAGUGCUUUAUUUCAGUUUAGUCCCUUUACUGUUUUCAGGCAAGUCCUCCUUGACUAGUCACUGAUCAACUUUUUCUUCUGGUCAACAAAGUAUGUUGACUGUUUAUACUGAACCAAUAGAGACACAAACGAAAGUCAACAUAGUUAUGAAGUGAUUAUUGAACAAUACCGGAUUUACAAAUGAAUAGUUCUUUAGUUUUGUUGUGAAAGUAUUUUUUUUUUUGAUUAACCAAGUUGUGAAAGUAACUUGAAACCAUUAAGCGGACACUUGCGAGUCGUGACCAACUUGAAGCUAUUUAAAAAUACAAGAGCUGUGGCAGACCUGAGAGGAAGCCAAAAUAAAUUCUUAAUUUACAAAUGAGAAAAAGACUAGAAUAACACCAAACCAAGUUUUUGUUUCCAAAGUAGCAUUCAAGGCUCAAAAUCACAAAAAUAGGUUUCAUUAAAGAGGUAAUGUACACUUAUAAGGGUUAAUUAAUCCAAACCUUAGGGUUUAGAGUUAAGGGGUUGGUUUUGGAAUUAGGGUUUAAAAUUUUAUAAAUAAUAAAUAAUAAAAUAAAAAAUAAUAAAUUAAAAUUUUAAAAACAAUUUCAAAAAGUAUUUUUAAAUUAUAAAAAGAAAAUCUGAAAAAAAAAUAAAAAAAAAAUUUGAAAUUUUCUUUUUUAAAAAAAUUAUAAAAAUUUCGAAUCUGAAAACAUAUAAUCUGAAACUAUAAAAAAAAAAUUUUUUUUUUAUUUUAUUUUUUUUAUUUUUAUUUAUUUUAGUUUAUUUAUUUAAUUUUAAACCAAGGGUAUUAUAGAUAUUUUACCCUUUAAUGAAUGUCAUUUUUGUGACUUUCUCCUUCUAGUGCUAUUUUUGACACAUAAACUUCAAAAUGUGCUAUUAUUGACAAUUGCCCUUUACAAAUAGAAUGCUUAAUUUUUUUUAUAACAAAAUAAAACACCGACUCUUUUUUUUUUCUUCCUUUUUUUGUUAGUUAUUGACGUUAUUUUUUAUUUAAUUGAUUUUUAUGUAUUAUUUAUAAAUUCACAUGGAAAUAUUUUAUAUUUUCAAAACAGAAACAUGGAAAAUGUCAAAAAGAACUUUAAAAUUGAUACAUAGUUGCCAUUAUCUUUCACAUGCAAAUAAAAAAUAAGACCCUCACGUUCAACGUCAAUAUAUUUUUCGCGGUAGUGCUAUUGGAGUUUUGUAUACCAACAUCAAGAUUUUUGAUUGAAAUCAUUAUCGGAUCCAAACAGAUAUAUUUAGUUUGUCUGCUUUUCAUUGUCUGUCUUGUUGCUUCUGCUUGUUCCAUCUUCAAAUGUAUACAUAAAACUAGUGAUUCAUUAACUUGUUUGGCUGAGUUGUUUUUAUGUUUGGAAUUAUAUAUCUAAACUUGGUUUGUAGCGAAACUUGAGCAAACAAGUCGUCACCAAUAGGUUCAUUGAACUUUUCAAAGUUUAUACAGACAAAGGGAGACAAAGAGAUAAAGCCACACAUACACUUGAUAAGAUCAUCACACUGACAAUAUCUCUGCUUGUAUUUAGGCCAAUGUCUUCAGCAUUUGACCUCUUCUCAUGGUAAAGUAAGCCUAGUGGCAGGCACCCGAUACUUCUUUCACUCUACUAAAUAGUGUUCAAAUUUAAUGAGUUUUACUUUUCUUUUGUAACAGGGUAACUUUUUAUGGAAAAUAUUGAUCCAGAAAAAAAACAAAACAAAUUGCAAAUUUCACAAAAUUUCAAAAUAUUCACAGCAAUUGUGUUCCUAUCCCUAAGGGCAUCCACAACCGUGUUACUCAUGGCUCCAUAACCUAGGUAAAUCUUUUAUAUUAUUUUAUUUUUUUUUCAGUUAAAAAAAAAAAAAAAAAAAAGAAAAAAAGGACCAAUCGCAGGUUUCCACCCGGCCAUGGGACCCGCGCACAGUGACAAGCCCAGCAAAGAAUUGAUCCUUACCUACGGACUCCAAGACACAAUUAUGGCACAGAUUCCUAAUUUUUUUGGUCCCCACAUAUUAUAAAAAUAAUUUGUUGCUAAGGAUUUUUUUGUAAGGACCACCGUUGCAGCUGCUCUAAGGACCCUAACUUUCAUGUGUUACGAGUCAAUAUCUACAGGAAAUGAAGACCUACUUUUCGGGUUUUUUCUUGUCAUCUCAUUAACUUUGCAACGUUUUGAUUGAAUUUUAGUUUUACGACAAAACAUAUAGGGUGAUACGUAACGGAUAGUUGAGACAAGUUCACAUGGGAAGAUGCAAUGACGGUGUUCGAUGUCCACACAAUAACAGAGAAAACCUCGUUGUUGUUUCGUUUUUUUAUUCAAAAUCGUAAUACUAAUCCAUUCUGGCAUCAAUUAUACCUCAUUAUAGUUCGUUGUUCGUAUUCUAAUUGUUGCAAUUAUUAGUAUGAUUCUAGUUUACCCUGACCCUGCGUUUCCAUGUGUGUAUCAUCAAUCAUGCCAGCAAUCAAAUAAACUGUUUAAUAAAAAUAUUCACAAACUCAAACAAAUAUACAAUAAUGUACAUUAUCCUUCAAACCAAUCCAAAACAUGAUUUGAUUAGUUAUUUAAUUAGCUAAUGCCUUCUCCUCUAAAACACACACAUCUACAUUAAUACAAACUGUUAGGUUAUAAAUUCCGAUUUUCAAAAGAUGCAUAUAUAUCAAGGUGAAAAUAUAAUGUUUAAUAACAUGAAUAGAAUUUAAAGCAGUGAUUUGACUAAGAUAUGUAACUUAUGGUGGUUUAUAUUAAAAUUACAUUUUGCUAGAUAAAAUCCAAAAAUUAAAUUGAAUAAAAUACAUAUACACAUUAAAAAAUGAUACUAUUUUUUUCUUGCUGGCUCUGGCUCCGGUGAUUACACAAACUCCACGCUUGGUAAGUGCCGAUGAUUCCACUGCUCCGACGAGGAGGAACCAAUGAAUCUCAUAUUGGAAACAAUGUACUCUUUUAGAGUCUUCAAAGAUUCAUCUCUCUCCCCGUUAUCAACAACCACUGAUCUCUUCUCCACAGGAUCAUCAUCUUCGACAUAACCCCACUUACUUCCACUCUCCAUGUUCAGCUCAAUCGACUUAAGAUCACUCUCAUCAUCAGAACCAUCUAUUAUCUCUAAAACUCGACCAAUCUCCGACGACCCUUUUCCCUCAAGAACCCUCCGGAGAUCCUUCUUAAGCCGCUCCACGGCGGCGUGUUUCUCCUCGAACUCGAACUUCGCCUCCAUAAGCUUCAUCUGAACCCUCUCUUCCCUCAGAACAUCAGCUAUUCGCAUCAUCUCCCUCUCUUUCUCCAUAUCCUUCUUAUCUUCUCCGAUUCCUCUCGCCAGCUCAUCGCACACUUCUUCAAGAACAUCUCUCGAUCUCUUCUCUCUCUCCAUCUCCUCCUUCAUCUUCCUCUCCCUUUCCUUAGCCUCCUCCAGCUCUCUCCCUAACUUUCUGUUCAUCUUCUCCGUUCGUUGCCUGAGCUUUCUCUCGACCACCGCCUCUUCUCGAAGCUUCUCUAUUAAACUUCGUCUCUCCUCCUCCUCAGCGUCGAACUCGCUCAUCAGAUGCUUCAGAGAAGAUCUUGCUCUGUCUAGUUCGCAAACCAGAGCUGAGAUUAAACGGUUGCUUGCUGUCUUGUGAUCGUCUCCGAGUUUGCCGAUACGUUUUAACACCUUUACGAGCUCUUUAGACGUUUUUAAGCCGUCGUUGAUGUUCUUGAAACGAGUUUUCACCUGUUAGGUUUAGGGUUUAACUAAUCAGUGGUUUCUUCUUACGCAAGAAAGGUUGUUUUGUUUUGUAAGAAAGAAAAAUAACGUACCGAGUUUGUGCCGGUGGUUUUGUAUUCUAUUAGUUUUUGUUUCUGAGGAUCUGUUGCUCUUUCAUGGAGAAUGGUUCUCUAUGAAAAGUUUGAUUAUCAAGACUUGGAGUUCAAGAAAAGAAUAAAGAAAAAAAACAUAGGAAACUUGAGACGGAAGCAAACACUAACCUCUGAUCCAAACCGGGAAAUGGGAUCGGAUGAGUUUAGCUGGAUGUGAUUGGAAGAGAUCUCUGUUGGCUUCUUCCUUAUGUUUCUCGACGGUUUCUUGCUUCUCAAGUUAUCUCUGUCGGAGUUUAGGGCAGGAUCUGUGCCGCCGUCGCUGAUCUCCCACAGAGUUGCCGCCAGCUUUCUUGCCGACAUUGGGAGUUUCUGAAAUUGAUCUACAGAAUGUUUUUCCGGCGAUAAGGACAAGAGUACGGGAGUUUUAGCGGCGGAGAUGGACUUCACCGGAGUUCCUGAGCCGCCGUUGUCUUGUGCGGCUCUUUUACCGGCGAAAAUUGCGCGUUUGAAGCGGUUUUGACGAGCUAGAGAUGAAGAAGAGGAGGAAGAACCACCUCUCUUCCUGAUCUUGCACCCUUUCUUCCGAUCCAUAAGUUUGUAUUGUAGUACAACAAAUCAGCAGAACACAAGAUUGUCUCGAAUCUUGUCUGAAAAUGAAUAAAGAGACUGAGGAAAAGAUUUGAAAGUUGGAUUGGGUUGGUGCUUUUUAUGAGAAGUGGGUGAUGAGGUUGAUCGAGUAGAAGAAACUUGAAGCAGUUUCUGGAAGAUAUUGUUUUCGAAUCUCUGAAGAAACUUUAAAGUGAGUGAAAGAGAUAUUACAAAAAGAAAGAAAGAGAAAGUUAAGAUUAAUGUUUUGUGUGUGUUUCCUUUUGCUUUUUCUCAAGUUUUAUUAGAGCAUCUCCAAAAAGACUCUCUAUUAUAGAGUUUUGCAAAUUCUAUAUUUGAAGUUUCAAGAUAUUUUUUUCUAAAAGGAAAACUUCAAAUUUAACUUCAAAACUAUUUGUAAUUUAUAUUAUGCUCCUUAUAUUUGUCAUAAUUAAUAUAAAUCCAUAAAACUUUUGUAGAUAACUAGCACAUAUAUAAAAAUAUUAUAGUAAUAUUAAUUAAUAAAAUCUUACAUUAAAAUAUAAAAUUAUAAAUAGAAAUACAUAACUAAAUAUUAAACUACAAGAAAAAUACCACAUUAUUACAUAAAAUUAUUUUAUUAAUGCUCCAUUUUCGGUUAUACAAAAUUUGUUUGGACAAUAUUUUAGAAGUUCCAGAGAAAAUUUACUAGACUAUUAGUGUUGAUGUAAUAUUUAAAUUUGUAUAACAAUUAUGUCUUCAUGUAUAUAUCUUCUUAAAAAAAAUUAUUAAGUUUCUUUUGUAAUAUUCUUUUUGUCUAAAUCUAGUUUUAAAAUAUUAUAAAUCUUUAUUUUGAUUUUUAAAAAAACUUUUAUAUGUAAAAUUUUAAUUUAUAAAAAUAAAUUUGAAAUAUUUAAAAUAUACAGAAGUUUUAAAGAUUAAAACCAUGAAUAAAAAAAUACUUAAGAAUCAUAAAUGUGAUGUAUAAUUAAUUAUAAGGACCAAAAUGCAAAUAAAAUGAUGAAACUUCAAAUUUAGAGUUUUGAGUAGUGAAACUUCACUUCUUAAAACUCUAAAUUUGAAGUUUUGAAGUUCCUUUUUGGAGAGCCAAAAACUCUAUAUUUGAAGUUAUAGAGUUUCUUUUGGAGAUGCUCUUAGAGUAAAUUAUCUCCCUAUUUGUAUAUGAAAGAAAAAGGGAAGAAUAAGAAGAGAUGGUUGCUGAGAUUCUUUAAUUCCUUUUGAAAGACUUUGAAAAAGGAAAAGAGCUUUGAAUCUGGGAAAUUGUGUUACUUCUUGGAGGAAGAAAGAGAGAAGAAUGUGGAGGAAACAAAGGAUGGGAAGAGAAAGGAGUGUGGUGUGUUUUGUUUGUGUGCGUUGUCUAAUUUGCAGGGUUCAUUGUACACAGUACACACCAUUAAACCAGUCUUUUUCCAAUUUUAAAAAAUUAUUUCAAUAAUUCUAUAAUUAAUAACUGUCCUAUAACUCAUUAAUGCAAACAACGACUUGUAAAAGGGUGGUAUUAUGGAAUCUGUCAAUCCAAAUUAAUACUUUUCUAAAGCAAAUCUCUCUAUAGGACAUUUAAAAGACUUGCCAACAGUCUAAAAAGACAGUUCAAUUCAGAAGCUUUUUAGGGAAUGAUCCGAGCAGCUGUUGUAGAUAGAGAGUUUGAUCAGUGGUUCUCAAAUAAUCUAUGCAUCACCCACCAUGCUAUGACAAAGAUUAACAUGAUUUUAGACAAACAUAUACUCACUUAUAUUGUGACAUUUUAAAGAUAAAAUAUAGACAAAAAUAAAACAUAUUUGAGAAAAUGACACUGGCUAUUGAUAUUAUUAUUUAAGUUUUUUUUUCUUAAAUUUUCAAAUUUGGAUUGUGUAUUUCUGAAAUGGUAAAUCGGAUUUUCUCUCGCAUAAACUAUUUUCAAGCUAAAUGGGGAUGACAAGAACAGCUGCAAAGAAAUGAGUUUUUAUAAUUUAAAGGAAUUGUGUUUUGAACACCAAUUUAAAGCAAAAUUUGAUUAUAUAAAUUCGUAUAUUUUGUGUUUGGCAUUUGAAAGACGGGCACAUGUUUGAGUACAAUAAUAAUGAAAUACUUAUGGAAACAUCCCAAGAGAUGCCUUCUUUGUCAGUCAAAUCAAAUCUCUCUUCCAUAUCUUUUUAGAGAAAUUGCACUUCAUGUACAAAGAUAACUGCAUAAUUUGCAGAUAUGGAAAAGCCACUUUCUCGCUGAUGUGUCUUUUUAUAAUGGCUGUUGUACCCCUAUGUUGAGCGAAAACACAACCUAUACCAUAUUCAGAACCUCUGUAUCUCUACAUUACACGUGUUUAUUUUUUAUCAAGAGAGAGUUACUUCCUCAUCCACCAAUCGAUACACUCUUUGGUUUUCCUCGAUAAUUUCAUCGCCUAUUGCUACAAAAUUACCUCGUCUUCUCCAUCAUAAUUGAUACACUCUUGAUAUCUCCUCUCUUCUUAUCUUCAAAUUUAUCACCUUCUUUUCUUUUCUAUCGCCGUCACACCAUCAUGUCAACUAACCGUCGCAUCGUCACUCCAUCACACCAUUACCUCUGCUCAAGCUCGCCAUCACACAGUUACCUCACCUCUGCUCAAGCUCACCGUCACGCCGUCACCUCACGUAUGUUACAGCUUCCCGUCACCUCACCCUUGCUACAGCUUGCCUUCAUUUCAGCUAAUGGAGAGGAGGAAGAUCCAUGAUGCUAUAGAGGAGGAAGAAGAACAAGAGGAGAGAGAACAAAUAAAAGGAUGAGAGAGGAUGCCGAAGAAGAAGCGAAGAACAGAGGCUCCCGGAGACACGACGACGGAGACUGGCCAUAGAAGCUGACGGAAGAGUAAACGUCUGUUUACUGAUGACAUCCUGGAUUACUAGUUGCAUGAGUCUCUGUUGAAUCACACACAAAAUAAUCAUUGUUGCGAAUAAUAUAAUAUGUAUGAAUCACAGGUCUUGAAUAUCAUCUUCCUUGUUCAUUACGCGUUUAUGUUUUGAUUUCAUGCAAACAACAAAUGCAAUAUUACAAUUCAAGAUACAAUAUUAGUAAAACAUAAAUAAUUUGGUAUGAGUUAUCCCAAACCAGCUAACAAUAAGCAUAACCAUAUAAAGAAUAUAAAAUAUUUUAAUAGGAAAUCUUAUGUUUAGUCGAAUAUAAUAUAUUAUAUACGGCUAACCAUUUUUUUAAUCAUAUAUUGUGAUUUAAUAGAUGGUUAAUUUUAUGUUUAACCGUAAAAGUAAAUUCAGUCAUAUAUUUUGCAGUUUAUUAGAGAGUUAAUUUUAUAUUUAGCCGUACAUGUAAAUCUAUUGCAAUUUGUUUGAGAGUUAAUUUUCUGUUUAGCCGAUCACAAAUUAAUAUUAUGUAUUGUGAUUUGUUAGAGAGUUAAUUUUCUGUUUAGCCGAACAUAUAAUUUUUUUACAUUCACUAGUCCAAACACCAAAUAUAAGACUAUUAAUGUGUUCGUUUUUCGUAGCCGGCUAACUAUAAAAAAAAGACAAAAAAAUAUGUUAACCGGUUAUUUCAUAAAUUACAUCAUUAUUAAAUAGAAAAACAAUUCCAAGAACUGUGAUAACAAUUAAGAAAAAGUACACUACUUCGGUGCUUUACCCUUAGCCUGCUCUUGUCUUCUCAACUGAUCCACCAGAGAUGAUACUUGAUGAUGGUAAAGUGGCGGAGGCGGCGGUGGAUGGUGAUGAGACUAGUUCACGCGCCGUCGUACAAAGAGACGAAGAGAAAAAAUUGCUUUUUUAUAUUUCGUAUAUGAUUGGAUAGACGAAACUUUUAAAUCAAAUUGAAAAGAGUUUAUGAUUUACAAAAUUGAGAUUUGGAUUUGCCAAGAAAGAAAAAAGAGACGAUGAUAAUUCUGAAAAAAUUACAGAAUAGAAAGAGAAAGAGAAAGAGAGAACGUGAAAGAAGAGACAAAAUAAUGUUUUUAACUUAUUAGAUUUCUCAUUUUUACAUAGAUAUUAAAUAAAAUAUUAAUUUGUUUCUCUUUCUUACCGUAGCAGAGCUAUAGGGGCAACUGUGUAAAUCCAACCAUGAACAGUUUGGGUUUCAGUGUGUUUUUGGCCCAAGUUCCAUAUUUACAAAUUUUAAACUUAUGUCAUAUUUUUUAUGCAAAUCGCUCAUCUUUUUAACUAUAAUAAAUUUAGAUAACAAUUCAAAAUAAAUUUAUAGCCAGUAAAUAAAAUUUAAAUUUUGUGAGGCUAAGAGGGUCCCACGAUUAUGCAAGAAAACAAGACAAGGAUAAACGGCUCCGAUUAAUUUGGGUCCUACCUACUCUGUUGCUCUCUUUUAUCCUCUGUGGAGUUUUUGACUACUACUCGCAAAUCACAUGGGGACAUUGACAAAAUGUAACCACACCUAUAUACAUUUUUGCAACUAUUAAAAUACUAACAAACAAUUCACCGUUAUCACUCAUAUAAUGUCAAGAAGGGCCAAAAUAUAACAAUUAUUUAUGACGUGCAAAAUGGUCCCAUGGUCUAGUGGUCAGGACAUUGGACUCUGAAUCCAGUAACCCGAGUUCAAGUCUCGGUGGGACCUUCUUUUUUUUUUUUGUCGAAACAAUUGGCUUUUACAAAUGGUUAACACAAACUGUUUUCAAAGAUUUAAAUAUCACUGAACAUCUGUUUUCUCAGUUCAUAAGCCGUUGGAUGUUUAAGACAUAACCAUUCCUUCUCCAAAAAGUGUGAACACUCGCACUGCUGCACCACUCGAGUUUCAGUUUUCCGGUUUCCUCCCACUUUGAUUCAAGGUCUGUUACAACUCAAUAUGAAUAAACCCAACUCAUGUUACAAUCUCAAGAACGAGCCGAGUAUUGGCCCACGUACAAUACAUUGGCUAAACUAACAGAAUCUGGCAAAACAAUUCUAUCCCAUCAAGAUUAAGAUUCCUUCAUGUCUUAGAGAUUACAAAAUAGAGUUAAAAGAGACUCAGCAAACAGAGAAAUAUUUUGAUAAAACAUUUUGAUUAGUGUUUCUCUUUUCUUUUUGGCCGCAUUGGAUAAAGUGUUUCUCAGGAGAUGUAUUUUUCUUGUUGCUCGUGCAAAAGCUUUGCUGAAGAUUUGGCAUCCAGGUACAGUGAUGUUACUUCCUCUAUAUCAGCCUGUCACAUGUUGAAACGCCAAGGAUAUUAUUACACUGGGAGGUUUUUUACAAUAUGACUCUGCACUACUGUUAAAAAAAUUACCUUGCAGAUACUGUCACGUCCAUUCAUUUUUGCCACGAUGCUCGCAGGAGACAAAAGCUGGACCGCGUGCCUGCAAGUGAACGCACGGUUUAGAGAUGACAUAACGAGUUUUGUUUUUUUGGGUAAUAAGGGCAUAAUGACAAUCUUAGUCUUAAAACCUUAAGGAUGUUCUUUGCCCAAUGUCCCCGAGUAGGACCAAACAUUCUUCAUCAACCGUUAGCUCUUCCACUUGCGCGCGAAUGGCUAUAAUCUGACCCACAUUACACAUUUAUUAGAAUGUUGUUAACUAAUAAAAAACCGAACCUAAAGUUACAAUCAAAAUAACCUGUAUCAUUUCAGAGGGAUUAUAGAUUUGAGUCCUGAUAAUGACCAACCGAUCCAACAAGUCAAUAGGGACGCCAUGUGGACUAGGCAUAUCAGUCCCUCUGCAAAUUAAAGUGAAUCACAGUAACUUAGUUAACCAAAGAUUUUCAAAGAAUGAAAAGGUUCAGCGCUUCUGCUCACCUUACGUUGCAAACACCUCUGUUUGUUGCAAAUAUCACUAUAGGAGACAAUGAGCUCUCAAGAGCACGGUUCAAGUAUGAAAAGCACUCCAUAUCAAGCAUAUGCACCUCAUCGAUAAAUAGAACUCCUGGAACAAGCUCUGCAACACCUUCAUCUAUAUAACGGUUCACGACCUGCAAUAAUCAGACAUUACAUACUAUUACUCCUCUAGCAUAAUUUAAUUUUAAACAAAAAAUCAUUUAGUACUUAGUGAAGAUCACCUUGUUUAUUUCUUGCCGCAGCUUAUCAGUGAUCUCAGUCUUCCGGGGUUUCAUCAUUUGCCCCAUCAAAGAAAGUAUGUCCUGCCCUCCUUGAGGUUGAGCAUUUGCUGCAUCCAGAUCUUGAAGCGUCACAUCCUAAAACCAAAGUGAAGAAAUUUUUUAAGAGGCUAUAACACAAAGGAGAGUUCUUGGGAUAAAGCAAAGGUUAUAGAAAAGUAAACCUGCACAAUCUCUUUCUUUUUGUGAACCUCUCCUUUAGGAAGUGGAACAUAUUCUUCUGCUUCCAGAUCGAACUCAGUGGCAAAAGCAUCGCUUCUACCCACACGCUUGACAGCUCCACUGUUUGCUUCAAUGUAUAUAACAUCUCCUACAGCUACCUGAGAGCCAAAACAGUAAAUAUAAUUAGAACUUCCGGACAUGAUAACCUGGUAAUUCAAACUGAUGUAAACAACUAACCUUCUCCUUAAUCAAGGCAUCGUAUAUAGUGGGAUCCAGCUUCAGCUGUUUGGUUCCUUUGACUGUCUUGAGCCCAAUGAUAACAUGGCUGAUGCUUUUACCAUAACCUCCGGUGAGGCUUUCAGUUUCUUCAGGGGACAGCUCCGUAACCUGGAACUCAAAAGGAAAACAUGUUACGGCACAAGAACACAAAGAGAGAAGUGAGAAUAGCAGCACACUCACCUCUCCUUCGUAGACGUCUUUGGUUUCCUUGAUACGUAGACCAAUGGCACGUCUAAAAUUCUCCAUGAGAACCUCAGUUUUCUUAACCUCCGAUGAGUAAACCUCAGAUCCAACCAUUGGACAGAAGGGAACCUGCAAACAAACAAAAAACAAUUAACAUUAAGUUAAAAGUGAAUAAAAUACACUCAGAAGAUGCAAAGUGAGGACAUCUGAAGAUUACCUUACUUCCAAGCUCUUGGGAUAUACCAAGAGCCAAAGCUGUUUUGCCAGUUCCGGGAGGUCCAGCGAGCAAAAGAGCCUUGCCAGCCAUUUUCUUCUGCUUGAUCAUGUCGACUACAAGACCAGCUGCCUCUCUAGCCUCAAGCUGACCCACGAAUCCAGCCGCUAAUGGUAUAGGGAUUCCCGUUGGCUAGAAUAGGAGAGACGCAGAGUUAGCAACGAAAAAAGCUAUAGAAAGAGAUCACACCAGUGCUCUCAAGAAAGUACUAUCAGUAAAAGAGCCACAUAAAGUUAAUGAAACACACAAUGAAGGACCUGAGGAUCAUCACAAAGGCAAUGCUUAUGGGUCUCAAAGCACUCUUCAGCACCACAAUAUAGUAUAACAAAUGCAUUUGAAGAUUGAAGCUUUGCAGAAAAAAAAGUCUCAAAGCAAUUAGCUUUAAAAUCAUUAAAAGGUUAAAACUUUGAACACUAAACCCGAAAGAACUAUGAGCUAUACGUGCGUACUACUGCAAGCUACUAGAUUCAAAGAGAGAUACUCAGGGGAUAUAUAUAUAGAGAGAGAGAGAGAGAGGAGGAGGAGGAGAAGAACCACCUCGAGGCCAAGGCCUUUGAUAUGAGUGUGAGUAGCAAUCCGCUGUUUCUUAGCGGUGGACUGGAUUUCUUCAAUCUUCACCUUCUCCAUCUCCCUCAACUGCUAUCGUUUUCCUCCGGAGUCUUUUGCUGUAUUCUCCGACGACGACGGCGGAAGUGUUCGAGCUCCUCUUUUUUUGAUGCUUCUUCUUCACAUUGGCAUAAACCUCUAGGCCUUUUCUACAGUUUAUAUGUUAGUCUUUAUUUGCUGAAUAGCCCUUUAUAUUCCUAUUUUAUUACAAAAUCACCUCACUCUUUUUAAUUGAGUCAAUAGAAGGAAUAACAAUGGUAGGAAACAAUCUUUUUUGUUUUCACUGAAAUUUUCAUUGAUAAUGAAGAACUCCUUACACCAGCACGAGCAGAGGAUCUAAACAUCAAACACAAAGAAUUAAAACACUUAGAGGGCACUUUUUUCAGCAACAAAAAGAUCAUGUAACCAUCUUGGUUGACCAGAGGCUACAUGAGAUUGAGUGAAACCACACUGAAUUAAAUUCUUGCUGAUUAAUACAUUUUUUUAAAAAAAUACUUGGCAGAGAAAAAUGGUGAACAGAAAAAGAUAUUAAGAAUAAUUCCUCAGGACUCAAGAGUUAUUAAAAUAAAUUAAGGGCGAAACUGAAAAAUAAGAAUAAUAAAAAGGACUUGUUCUUGUAACUUUUAUUUUCUUCCCAUCAAAAAGUCAGAUAAGCUUACUACUGUUACUUCUUCUGGAACCACCAGAGAGAGAGAGAGAGAGAGAGAGAGAGAGAGAGAGAGGCUGUCCACACAUGGAGACUCUCUCGAUUCCCGCCGCUUCGUGGUUUUCCAGCGGCGCCAUUCCUCCUCCACCGCACGCGAGGCCUUCGUCGCCGUACCUCCUCCGAAAACCGCCGAGCAGGAAUUCCCGACGAUUGUCCGCCUUUAACGCCGCUUCUCGCUCCGGUAACAAUACAUUUCUUCUCCCUUUCUCUAUACGUUUUGUCUCCACAAUGAAUGUCCCUGCUCAAAAUGAUUCUCAUGGUUUCCAUCGCUUGUGAAAAUUAUAAUGUGUCUUUGGUGAUUUUUAGUGAGUGAGCUCGUGGGGGAGGAUGUGCUGCAGAUGUUCUUGAAAGACAGGGAAGAAAAUGGAGAUUUCAUUUCCAAAGUUUCUGAUAGGCUCUGGUUAAGGGAAGUUCUCGAAUCUAUUGAUCUUAACUCUAAUGAUGGUGCUUCUUCAGCUAUUGGACUAGAUAAUCAGGUGAACUGUGAUAUCUUUCUUUUGGUUGUAUUAUCAAAAUGAUUAAAGCUGGUUUCUUUCAUAUGUUCAUUGGUAGUUUAGCUAGUUGAUCAAACUGUAGGUUUUUAGUUCUAAGUUGUAAAGUAUCAAUCCGUCAAAAAACUGAGUUUGCUUUUGAGGAUUUAAGAUCCUUUAUUUAUGUAUUCAGGGAUAGUUUGAGAUAUAUUGUCUUGUUGCAACAUGGCAGUGAGCUUAGUUUGCUUUCAUGGCGGCAAAUUUUCUCACUUGGAAUUGUUACUUUUGUCGUUAUAUUUGUAGGAGAGGUUGGUGGAUGGCGCAGAAGAUGAUGAUGAAAGCGGUUUCUUGAAACUUAAACCAACUCAAGAGUGGAUUGCUGGGGAAAGUGAAUCCGCCCCCAUGAAUAGGAAAGCUCUAGCUAAGGUGUGUCAUCUCUUUUUGAAUAUUCUUGUUCUCUGUCUUCGUUUCACAACCUCUUCUCAUUCCAAUGGUUAGCUGCGUUUUAUCUACUUUCCCUAUAACCCUUUUGGUGUUUUGUGGCAGGCAUUACGGGAUGAUAGCGAGCGAAGGAAGAAACUGAACUUUCUGAAAUAUGAAGCUGUAUGAUUAUUCCUUUCAGUAUGUUUCUUUGAUUAUGGUUUACCAAAACAGUUGUUUGUGGGAAAUAUAUGUUCAGUACGUGAUUCCAGUGAUUGUUUUGGGUCAGUGAGUUUAUAAAAGUUACCUCUGAAUGAUUAUUGCUUUUGUGUAUUUUUCUUUUGUAGCUGAAGCGUGAACUGAUGUACUUGUCAAUUGUAAUUGGAACUGGUUGCAGCGGAUAUUGCUUGCUAGCUUUAUCACCACAGGUAAGCUCUCUCAUGGGUAAUUGUUUUUCUUUUUAAGUCAAUCAUACGAUUAAACAUCCUCAUGAAACUAUUUUUUAUAGAAAUAUUGUUUUAUCUAAACAGGCUGCCGUCAGUUAUGGAGUUGGAGUUCUUUUCAGGUUAGUUCUCGAGAUUGCAAUUUAUAAGUUCUGCAACAUACUUACUCGUGCAGUCAACAUCGCAUAUUCCUAACCAAAUCUGCUUCCAGUGCAGUUGCUUGUACCUUCAGCUUUUGUACGGAUAUGCGGAUGGUGUUUCACGCGAAGAUGUUCCUAAUAUCUUCCUGAAAAAGAAGACCAAAAAGUAAAGCUGCUAGUUCAUCUAAACGUUGGUCACUUCCUCCAUGCAAUAGUUUUCAUUGGUUACAUUGCUCUUAACUUGCUUUUGUAUUUGUCCAAACUCAGAAUCGGGAUUAGAAGUGAAGACCUUGAAGACUUCGUAAAGAGGACAAUCAGGGGCAGUGGAAUGGCACUCUCUUCCCCACGUCUAGUGAUCCCAGCUGCAAUCUAUGCUCUGUGGAUUCUCUCUCACAAGUACUUCCAGAAUGACUUGUUUGACUUCCAGGUAGCUAUUUCUAAGCUACAUUACUUGUUUAUGCCUUGAGAUCUUGAAAGUCAAAUACUUAUCAGGUCUCUAUUUACAAUGUCGUGCGUUUCAGAUAGUUCCAGCAAUGGUUGGUUUGUUUGUAUACAAAGCUGCAGCUCUGGUUCAAGUGUACAGAGACAACCAAGAUCUUCAACUCAUCUUCCCAGACGAUCUGUGACCUUCUGGAGUUGAGACGAUCGUUGACCUUCGGAGUUAGAGGACUUGUGAAGCGUUUGGUUCAUGGUCUCAGAGAGAAACAUAAAGUAGACUCAUCUGCUAAGACUUAUAGCUGAGCCUGAGGAUGUAGAGUAACCCGUGUGUUCUCGUUUUUUCUAAUUCUUCAACUUCGUCUCUUUGUAUAUUUGUACACUUCCCUAUAUUUUUACUUCUAAAUAUCUCAAUUUUUGUAUCACAUAUAUAGAUUUUCAGAGAACAUACAAUAUAUUUCGUAUGUCAAUGUGCCAAAACCGAAACUAUUGAACACGUGUGAGAUGAAUUGUUAUAAACAAUGUACCAAAACUGUUAUCUGUCACCUUUUCUUUCUUUCUGCACAUACUUUUGUCUUAAGCAUAUCAACUGGAGUAAGCAUUGCCUUGUUAAUUAGGCUCCCAAGCCUUAUAUGGCCUGCAAGCUAUACUCUACAUUCAGCUGUAGCGUAAUAAAGGCAAGUAUUAAACCAUGCUUUCCCUUUUUGAGCCGCUCGGUCAGUCAUGAUGGUCACAAACAUAACGAAAAGAAUAAUAAAUCUUGUGAUUGCAUGUCAUGACCAGAUGAUGAGUGGUUAUAGUUGUGAUACUUUGUGACUUUCAACCGGUUCCAUGCGGUGCUAAUUUGCCUAAAGUGGUUAAGCAUAGAUGGAACGGUCAUCUUCUCUCCCAUAUGCUUGAGUUCAUCCAUAGUGGAAGGAUUCAGUUGAAUCUCAUUCAGUUCAGGUAUCUAAGAGAAUCUAAACAAAAGAUGUGAAACCAAAAAAAUCAUGUAAUUUUAACAACAUAAACAAACAUUGCAGAUGCAGGAUUCAUAAGACAAACCGGACAAAGCUUUUGGAAGUACAGAGAACAAACUCACUCAAGUGACAAAUUCUGAAGCAGAAGGUAAAGUGUUUUGUGAAACUCUGUAUCAUUCUGACAUUUACAAGAGUGUUACAUAAGCAAUGAAGACAAUGACAUGUAACCUCAGAUCUUAAUUCACAAAAACAGUGAUCUGUUUCCGGUUGAAAAGUUUUGGAAGUAUCAUUAACUUCGACAGGGACUCAGAGAUCAAGAUCUGCAGGAGGGUAAAGUGAUGCCUCCACAGAAAGAUGCAAUUAUGAUGUACAGCACGAGAACUAUCAAGCACGUCAACACUAUCCUGUCAACACACAAACAACAAUAGCAGCUUCGUUAAAAACCGAGUAACGAAUCAUUCUAAUCUGGCGACUUGGGUCUCCACUGGCUAGUAAUUAACUAUCCGAACAGAGGCUGUCAAUGGAGUCUCCAUGACUGGCUGACGCAGCUUCCUCGCUGGCUGACGAGCCUCUAGCCUGUUUCCUUUGUUCAUGCUUUGUUUGGGCACCUACUAGUGUUCUUUAUUUUCUGUUUUUUUCUUCUUUUUAUUUUGGUAACAUGUUUUUCCCAAUCUUCUGUUUACGAGGUGUGUGUUGUUAGGGAAGCAGUUUGUUUUUUCUAAACUUCACAUUAUGAAAUACAACCAGUGUUAAAAAGAAUCAUUCUAAUGAUCCAGAACUCAUCCAUAUAAACGUGUAUCCAAGGAAUCUACAAGUGAGACAGAGAGAUGCUUACAAGAGCUUAGCGUUUUUCAUCCAAAGAGCUCUGCGUAAGCGCUUAGAUUGUUUCCUGAAGUGAAACGAGUUAUCUUGCAUCGUAGCUGUUUUAUCAACAAGAAGCUCGAUCCUAUCACCUCUCUCCAUUAUCUUCUCAAUGUUCUCCACCAUCACCGAUCGAAUCUAGUAAACAACACACACAAGUGAGCCAAAGUGAAAAACUUUCGCCAAAAGAGUCUGCCUUUUCAAUGAGAACAAUACAAAGAAACAGUUUUUAACCUCACUGACUUCUCCUCUGACACGAUUGAGAGCAUCAACACUAGGAUUACUAGAGAAAAACUCCAUCUGCUGAUGCAAAACCCUCGAGAACUCAUCAUUCAUUGCAUAAGCCGGAGCAUGAUGCGCCACUCUCCCAUAGUUUUUCAUGAACCUCAUAUGUAUAUCUUCCAAAUAUGAAAACGGUAUCCUCCCUACACUCAUUCAAUCAAAAUCAAAAGACUCUGAAUCAAUCAGAGACUUUCAAAAUCACCAUGGCAAUUAAGAAAGUGAGGCUUACUUCCGAAGGUGUCGUUGGCCAUACAGAGAAAGGUGAGACCAUCGGAUCUGAGGAUAUGGAAGAUGUAACCGUCUUGCGAGAAACAGAGUCUCUCGUCGGCGGUUUCCGGCGAAAGCUUCUCGAGGAUCCGCCGCACCACGGCGCCUGUGUUUCCCGUGACGGCGCUGAAUUCCGCCAGCACCACCGUGGCCCUCGCCACAACCGCGUAGAUGAUCGCCAUCGGAGAAGUCACGUAACGGUUGAUCGCUUGCUCCGGCGUCGACUUUGCUGCGAUCCAAGCCGAGUCUUUAAUUAAAAGUUUAAUAAUAAGAGAAUACGUUUGGAAUAAAACCCCUUUAUUUGUUAUUGUAUGUUUGAUAGUCACCUACAUAUUGUUUUCUAACAUUUUAAACCCUAUACAAUUGAACCAUGACUUUUAAAUGGAUAGUAAACGUACCAUUGCACAAUCUGAUCUACUAGUAAUUUGGAUUGAAAGAUCGAAUCACAUUUUUAUCAAAUUGAUCCUGCUGAUAUUGUUUUGAAGGUUUUUUUUUUGUUGUCUAAUUCGUAGGUAGAGAUUCUAGUCUCCUCUUGUAUGAAACCAAAUUUUGUUAAUAUUUAAAACAUUGGGUGAAACUUUUUUUUGUCUUUCCAAAAUCCAAAUUAGGAGCGCAACAAAACCAAUUUUUGCAUUUAAUCAUUGGUCUACUUCAUCCUCUAUUUUAUCAAAAUGUUCUCAAAUUAUAAAAAUUUCAAGUGGUAGCAUCAGGAGAGUUUCUAAAUUGGGCCUGCAAAUUAUUUUUGUUGAUAUGGGCUCUAACACACACAAAAAUUGGACCCUCAAAUUUUAUAUUUUGUUAAAACUUUUACUAAAUUUUACAAAAUUGGACCCUCUAAUAUGAUUUUAUAAUAAAAAUAAAAAUACAUAUGAAAAAAUUUGCGCCCUUUAUGAACUUUAGUGUCCUAAUCAUAUGCUAAUUAGUAUGUUAACUUAUAUUAAUUCUGAAACCCAAAACAAUGUAUAGUGUAUUGGAGAAGGACAAACAAUCGACGACCAAAAACACAUUUUAGUCUUCGAGCAUUGACUGUGAUCCAAUAUUCUCCUCCUUUGUAUUUUUGCUCAAGUGACAAACUAUCCACGCGACGACGACCAAGACUCAUUGUAGUCUUCUUCCACAGUCAUCGAUCUUUCUCUACAUAAUAAAACAAAUCUGUCCUUUUGGCUAUUUUCGUUUAUUUAAAGUUUAUAUCCAGCUGGUUUUGCAAACAUGCUCAAGUAAAUUAGUUCUCUACUUUUCUUUCUUGAAAAGAGCUUUCUACCACUUUUCUACUUCCCCCCUAUAUGCUAUAAUACUCUAUAUAUCUGUUUUAUAUUAAGAUUGUUUUAGUUGUUAAAAUUUAUUUUUCAAUUUUACUUAUAUUAUCUUAACUCAUUAAUAAACAUGAUCAAACAAAAUAAUGUAUUAUUUAGACACACAAAAAAAUUAAUGUGUUGUCAAAAAAAAAAUUAUUUGUAUGAAACAAUUUUAAACAUAUCACUUAAUAUGAAACAGAUACAACACUUAAUCGUUAUAUAUUAUAUAACAUAUGAAAUAUAAUAUUUUCACUGAUUUUCGAUCCUCGGUUUACUUUUAUCUCCAAUGGUGUUACUCAUCAUUGGAAUCCUUAACAAUAAAAUAAUAUAUUUUUUUUUAAUUUUUUUUGUUUGAAUAGUUAAGGACUCUAAUCAUAUUUGUUAGUCCAAUGGUGUUAUCCAUUAUAGAAUUCUUAGGAAUAAAAUAUAAUUAAAUUUGUAAAACAUUUAAUAAAUUUGUAAAACAUUAAAAAUAAGUAAAUUUGUAAAACAUUUAAAAAAUUUUAAAAGUAAAAAAAUUGUAAAAAAUAGUUUCUGUUACAUUGUUGGUUUUACUUAAAAGCAAACAUAAAGUUUCAGCGAAUGAACUAGCAAGGUUACGUCUCUCGAAACUAUAUCUCCAAGUUAUUACAACCACCAUAUAAGAUAAAAGGGAGGGUUGGUGUCAAAUUACUGCUUUCCUUACUUGCGGUUUAUCAUAUAUUUGAUCCAUGUGAGAGAGUACUAGUAGAGAAGCUUGUAAACAAACCUCUUGAUAUGAUCAAGUAUCAAAAGCCUUGCCCCUGGUGCUGGUGGAAUGUUUACUUCUUGCUCUGAUUGUUUCCUUCACCUGAAAGAAGAACAAAAACCCGUGGUAAGUAAAAAGAUAUGUAUACUCUUUUUGUAUUGGUUCAUGAACAAUCAAUCAAUCACCUUAUACAUUGUUCCUGACGCAACAGCGUAGCAAACAGCCCAGGAGAGUGCGUGUGCAGGCCUUACUUUCAAGCCUUUGCUCACAAAAGCGUACGCCAACCCACCACCUGAGGCUGAGACCAUGCUGCAAAGUUUGUCAAAACCCAAUCAGAAACAACGUCUGUAACAGGUUUUCAUCAAAUCAAUAUCACCCAAAGAACAAAUCUUGAAGAUUCUCAGACAAGGAAAUAUAAACAGGGAUCAAAAAGUUGAGUGAAAAAAGAAUGAAACUUUACGCAGCCGUAAGAUCAUCUUUGCUUCUGAUUCCUUUCAUUAUGUGUUCAAUUCCCAGACGACGAAACAACAAAGAAUCGAAUUGGAAAUAAGAAAAUAGCAAACCCAGACGAAAAUCCUAAUUCGAUUAAAAUCCCCAAUUCGAUUUGAAACCCUCAUUCUAGUAAAAUCCCACAAUCGAACCGUAAAAAUUGAUGAAAUCAACAUGCAUCAACUCCAAAUGCAAAGAUAAUGAACUAAAACGCUCUGAUUUAUCUUCAACACCGAAGAUCGCCGAAUCACCUUUUGUUUCGUCGGAGGAAUUUUUUUUAUGUAAUUGUCGCGACUUCUUUUUUUUUUCUCCUUACAAACACGACCCUGACCCUCACCAAUCGGACUUUGCCAACUCAUCAAGGACCAAAUCCUUAAUCUCCUUAGUUAAGGACUCUUUCUUAACUUAUGAUUUUUUUAUAUUAAUAUUUUAAUCAAUCCCGCAUAAGAAUUAAUGCUAAGGAUCUACUUAAACCCCGCGUUGCGGGUGGUCUUAAGACUCUUAACUAAGCUAACAGAAAAAAAAUCAUUAUAUUUUCUCAAAAAAUGUAAUAUCAUCUUUUGUCAUUUAUUCUUAUUCAAAUUAUCACGUUACAAGGAAAACAAAAAUAAUUGGUGGUAAUAGACUCGACUAGUAGUAAUGUAAUAACCCAUGGUAAUAAGUAAUAACUAGUAAUUUUAAUGUGCUUGCUUAUGAAUUUCUUAGAUUCAAGGCCAAUUCAGCUGCUCCCAUUCCCAGAUUGGUUCAGUUAAACCAUCCACCAUCUCUGUGUCCACAGAGAGAUCAACAUGUUCUCCUCCUGACAUGGAAAUUUCUGGUGAGGUUCCCACAGUAAAUGAUGUCUCAGCAACUGCAACAUCAUUUGUAAGCAUUGUCCCUGUCUGACGAACUCCCACAGGGCGUCUAUCAAAAGCUCUUGAGCUUCCUGAUGUUACGUAGACACGACAUAAACUGAAUUCAUGUCUCAACUACAUUGAAAAAGGAAAUAUUAAAGAGUUUCUAACAUUUUGUAUCAAGAAUCGUAUUAAAAAAUACUUUAUACAUGCAACCUUAGGGAUUGCGGAAACGUUGCCUCUAUCGUCAAGGGCUUUGUACUCAUUCAUCUUCCAUUUUGUUUUUCCUCCUGUUGGUGCUCUUCCGGUGUAGAAAACCAUAGUUUUCUUGACUCCAAUCAUUCUGUUAUCCUUGGAAAAGACUGGACCAGGUGAUCCAGUUGCUUUCCAAUACCCUGAACCAGUGGUUCUGCUCGGUCUGCCUCCUCUUGCUUCGCGCUCUUGUCUUGGCACAAAGAAGAACCAUUGCUCAGCAUCUCCUCGACAUCUCUCUCCCGCAAGAUCUGCAAAGCCCCACAAAGAGGGUACGUUCCACAGACCACACACACAAUCAUUAUCACGAGUUUUUAUUAUUUAUAUUCCAUAGGAUGUUCAAUCAUAAUAAAUCAAAUAUAUCUGAAUUAAACAGUACGUAAGACCGCGGUGACAAAAAAAAACAGUACGUAGAACCUUAAUCUAAAAACCAAACAGCGUACUCUUACCAUUACGAUUAAUGAUUUUUUAUUUAUCUCAUAUCUGAACCCGGAAAAUUACACACAGAAGGAACCUUGGUUUACUUUGAAAACUAAAGAUAUAGUUAACCAAAAACUAUUUUUCUGAAACAAGAAAACUGAGUAGCCUGAACCGAAGAAUGGCAACUAUAUAUACAACACUAAAAUAAAGAAGUCUACGUGCUACAAAACCUAACUUGUUUAUGCCGUUAUGACUCAACAAGUAAUAUUACGCCAUAAUGGAGGUUGAAGCUACAUUUUUAGUGAGGGUAACGUACCUGGAAGAUGACUAGGUUCGACCUCAAAGACAUCUAGAACGGGAAUGACACGGUGCAUUGAGUCACCACUCCUUCCUUCGAGCUGGUUUCGUAGGUAGAACUCAACCAGUUCGUCUUCCGUGGGAUAGAAGCGAAACCCAGUUGUAAGGUCCUCCUCCAUUUUUAUAUUUGAUAAAUAGACUUGCUACAAAAGGAAACCUCUGUAUUGUAGAUAUGUUAUGACAAAUCUAUCUGCUUCUUAAAUAUAGAACUCAUAGACAUUAAAGAAGGUGUUGAAGUAGAAGAGAUUGGUUUCUCCGAGUGAAAUGAGAAAAGUUCUACGCGUUUUAAGGUUUCUUUUAUAUUUAUUAUUCCAUUUUGUCGGAUAUUGUGAAAGACAAGGAUUUUCUUGUGUGUGUGUGUGUUCGAUUACUUUCGUUGUAAUGUGUGUUUACUGUUUAGUAAGCUUUUUACGAGCCACGUACGCCAAUUGAACGAGUCAAGCCUCGUCUUGGUGUCAAAUUUCCGUCUCUUUUCUUACACCAAAAAACAAAAAUCGUCUCUUUUCCCUGACUUUUCCAUAUUUUCAAUCCAGCUUGCCAAUUUUAUAAUAUAGUUAUGUUUCUUUUAAACAAAUACAAAUUAGUCGUACUUUAUAGGUUUAACUUAUGUUUCUAAUUCCUAGUUUUGUAGAAGACAAUUUUCUUUGUCAAGAUGUUCGUCAUAUGUAAUUUCUACUUAAUACAAAAAUGUACGAUGUUUAAAAGAAUCAAUUUUGGGAGGUAUAUAGUAAAAUUGCCAUUGACAGCUAGUAUUGUGAAAUUAAAGUUUGUGUAACGAUUUUUGUCAUAAUUACAGAUGACACUUUUUUUUUGUCUGAUUAAUUAUGCUAUUACAAACGAUGAGAAACAUUACAUAGACGAUAUUACAACCGACAAUUCUACAUGCCUUAUGAAGAUCCACGCCUGACUGCAUUACCAUGAGUAGCCAUAUGAGAUCCAUUCUUGACGGUAUUCCUUGCACCAUGCUGAAAAUCUCUUGUAAGCAUUUUCUCAAAUUUUGUGCAUAAUUCGUCUUCUUCAAGAAUUGAAACUCAGACAUCUUCCUGUAAAAAUUACGUUGUAUGGGGUUUGAACACCAGACCUGAGUGUAAAAGCCUUUAAACCUUGAUCAUUAGGCCACGGUGCUUCCACCCAGAUGACACCCUUUUUUUUCCUUUUUUCUUCAUCUGUGCAAAUAGUCAAAUACACGUUAUUUAUUUAUAUAAACAUCAAGGCAAUUUUGUUUGGAUUUUUCUUACUUGUGAUCGAUCUUGCAAAAAUAGAUUGAAACUUCUAAUCUCUAUAAUAUUAUUUGGAAACUCAGUUUCAUACGUGUUGCACUCACGUUAGCUCUCACAGUGGUUGAUUACGAUGAUACCUUUAAUGAAUCAAAUAUAUCUAAUUAUCAUUAUUAAAUAUUUAUUUUAUUUUAUUUUUUCUUUUUUAUUUAGGUUUCCUUUUUCUUUAUUUUUCAAAUAACCUAUAUAAUAAUUUUUUUAUAAAUUUAAAAACUAAAAUAUCUUUUAUAUAUAGUGUAAUUCAUAAUAAAUAAAGUUCACAAAAUAAUCAUGAUUUUAAAGUAAAGAAAUAAUAUUUACUUUUAAAAGAUAAUCUUAAACAACAUAAUACAUAUUUUAAAAUUAUUAAGUAUUUUAUUUAAAUCAAUAUAUUUAUCAAUUUAUUACCAAAAUCAUUUAAAUAAUAUAAACUAAGAUAUCUUUUAAUGAAUAAAAUUUAAUUUAAUCUUUCUUUUUUUAUUUAAGUUCUUUUUUUUCAAAUAACAUAUAUGAUAAAGAAAAUAUUUACAAAAAUUCAAACGAAAAUAUUUUAUAUAUAUAAUGUGAUUUCAUAAAAAGGAAAGCUUAGAAAAAAUAAACUUUAUAUUAAAUAAUUAAUCUUCCCUUUUAAAAUUUACCGGUUAUGUUUUUAUGCAACUUUGUGUCUAUCAUCAUUUUAUUUUUCUAAAUUUUAUUUUUGAAAAUUAACAUGUACAAACUUACUAAGAAAUCUAAAAUAUAUUUACACAUCUAAUAUGAAAAAACAAACUAAAACAAUGAAUACAAUUUUGUUGAAUUAGAUUAUAAAUAGUUAUACUUGAAUUUGACGGAAUACAUGUAACACAAUAUACCCACGAAAUGAGUAAGUAGACCAAUCCAAACUUUUUAUACAGCCAUACAUUAAAUAAAAACCCAUAUAUUUUAUUUAUAAAAUACUUUUUACAUAUAAAUUAUGUAACGACUCAACAUAUUACUAAAUACAUAUGAAAUUCUCAAAUAAUAUUCUAAAUAUAUUGACCAACUAUUACAAUUAAGUAUUAUUUAUGUGACUUUGAAUCUAUCAACACUUUAGUGUACUUUUACUAUUUGAUUCUCAAAACAACAUAUAUUAAGUAAUGCAUAAUCUUACUAAAACAUAUUUAUAAAUCUAAGACAAGAAUCAAACUAAAUGAAAUAACAUAAUUAAUUAAAAUUAUAAUCUGUGUAACAAAAAUAUUUUAGUUGAAUCGGAAAAGUAAAUGUUAUCUAAUAUAUCUAAAAAAUAGCCAAAAUCGAGAUAUUAUAUAUCCAAAAUUAUACGUCUAAUUGACUAACUAAAAUAACAUAACUUUGUUAAAAAUAAGCCAUACAUUUUGAUUACAAUAUCAAUAAUAUAAUAAUUAAAAAUUAAAAACAAAAUUUUAAUAAAUUAUUAUAAUAUAUUUACUUUAUGUAUAUUCGUGCAUGAACACGAGAAAAUCACCUAGUCUAAGUGUAUAUAAGCAGGCCUGUUCCCGGGAUAGUGAACUUACAAAAAAAACCUACAUUGAUCAGCUCUGUGAUAUUCAGUCAAGUGAUAUUUUAAAUAUAAAACACUAGCUAGAUACCUUUUUCAAAAAAAAAAAAAAACACUAGCUAGAUAACGAUUCAGUUGCUUAGAGAUGGGAAUUUGUGCCACGGUACGUAAGUCAAGGACCAGUUCGGAGAAUUGAGGAUACUAUGAUGAGUUUCAUCUCCAUGACUAGUAUAGAGCAGUUUCAUCUCCUAAACUUAAUUGGGCAGAUAUAUAAAUUAGGGGUUACCUACCUAAGUAACCAGUCAUUAAUUAAGGGUUUCUCUAAUCUAAUUUUUUUUUUGUAAAAAACAGAGAGAUGAACCAAUACGGAAACUAAACACCAUCAUGGGUUGUUAGGUGCAACUUGAAAGUGGUCCACAUCAAUAACUCGUUUUAAGUAUGUUGCGAUCUUAAUUAGUCUUAUACUUGAGAAAUGGGUCACCCGAGACUCUUUCCUGAAGAAAUGAGUGGCUUCGGUACUUUAAAGUAGAAAUACAUAAUUAAUUUGGAUACUCUUUUGAGUUCGGUUUGAUUUUAUUCUAAGUUUUGAUUUUUUUGUAGGACUACAAAUUAAAAUUUUAUUUUGGAAUUAAAUUUUUUAGUUUGGGUUAGGUUCGAAUAUUUACGGAUUCAGUUUGUUACUAUAUGCGUUUAAAUUAUGUAAACAAAUUAAAACACCCAAAUAUGAUUUCAAAGUCUUAAAAUUUAAAAGUAAUAAUAAUUUACAACAUAUAAAUUUAAAUAAUGUAUGUUAAAUAUCUAAAAUAAUAUAAAAUUUUAUUCGGUUGGAUAUAUAUUUGGGUAGAGAACUAGUAGGUAUUUGGGAUAUUUUUUUUAUAUUUUGAGUAUUUUGAAUUUUGGAUAUCAAUCUAUAUAGCAUUAGAUAUAUUUAAAUAUUUGAUAGUAGUUCUGAUAUUUUUGGAUACUCAAAAUAUUUGGGGUUAUAUGGGGUUUGGAUCAAAUUCUGUAGAUAAGACCAUUUUGAAUCUAUUCGGAUAUGUUACAAGCUAAGGAUUUUCUGGUUUGGUACAACCUUUUUAAAUUAGAUUCGGUUCGGUUUUCGAAUCCACGGUACUGUGCUUAUCCUUAGUUUAAGAUGGUUCACUAUAAAUAUCAAGCUCAACUACUCAAGUUAUUUGAUAAACUUAGUUGAGGAGCGUUGAUUCAGCUCAACGAUGUGGGACUUUCGCGUUCUUUUGCCUUUCGGUGAUAAAAGAAAACACAAGAUUAUUUUCUCCGUAACGAAAGAAAAGAAAAGAACAAUACUCGGUUAUGAAUUAUUUAUUAGGUGUAAAUUUUCCAAAAAAUUUCGUGCUUGUAGGGUUUUGCAGCAACGAAUUUGCAUUAAAGUUGUCAAACAAGUUGCGUGAGCAGUAAGUGACAAGAAAAUAAGGUUAUGAAGACUUGACAUGUAAGUAACUAGACUAAUAGUCCAAUCGAACAUUGAAAAAGUUGAUUCAUCACGGAUUCACGAUCGUCGAAGAAAGUUAUAAUUAAUCACCCAUGCAAAGAAAUAAUUAUGCCUGAAAUUUAUUUAAAAAUUUGAGAGGAGCACGGAGUAAUUUAUUUUUCAUUUAUGAAAAUACAUGUCAAAGAAGAGUUUAAGAGUGGUUCUUUUUUUAUAUCGACUUGCUAAUAAUAUAUUGUGCCAUUUCGUUUGUAGAUUUAUAACGAUUCCCCAUCAAAUUAAAAUCUCGUUAGCGCAUAUGCAUAUACUUUUCAAUUAUAUAUAAGGGAAUGAUUAUUAAGGCUAAGUUACAAAAAAAAAGAUGAUUAUUAAGGCCAUUUAUAUUUUUGACUCAUAUAUAAUAAAUAAUUAAUAAUUGUAAUCAUAAGAUAGUAAGUGUUGCCCAUUUCCCCCACUAAUUAAGUUGGCUCAAGAGAAAAAAAUAUAAAUAUUGGGUCAAGAGAUAGUACAAUGUGUUUCACGUGGGAAACGAAGACCUAUUCUCGUGAAGGCUACAAGGUGACCAUUGUGAUUAGAGAUUUUUUUUUCAUGUAAACGAGAUUUUCAAACCCACUUCUAUUUCCAUUUCUAUAUUUUCUUCUAAAAUAGAAAAUUUCUAUUAUAAAGGUGAAUUUGCUCCAAUGUAUGUCUCUAUAAUAAAAUUUUUCUAUUUUAUAGAAAAUAUAAAAAAAUGUUACUUUUUACCUCUAUAUUUAAAGGUGAAAAUAACACAUCUUUAUAUUUUAUACAUUGGAGAGAAUCCAUCUUUAUAAUAGUGAUCUCUAUUUUAGAAGAAAAUAUAAAAACAUACAUUAGAGAUGCUUUAAGUAGGGCCGUGUAGGUGUACAUUUUGCAAUAGUUGUAUUCACAACACUCUCCAAAGGGUAGACUACUUUUUUCCUUUUUUUUUUUUGUAACAUAGGGUAGACUACUAUGGAGUAAAAGUUUAACCUUCAUAGUUCCGGACCCAAGCCGCACCUCCAAUCUUCUUUUUGCUAUCCCAAGAGAUACCAACGUUGCAUUUGAUCCAAUACCAUGUCGAGGGAGUCCACAUACCAAAUUUUCUUUUCUUCUGGCCGGCAUGUGUUAUAGACUUAUGGUGCUGGGUUCAAACAUUCUCAAUAAACACUUCACUUAAUUGUUCUUCACUUAGGUUUCUGAGUUCAACUAUAGAACCAAAUCUUGUUCAGCUUCUCGAGAACGAGACACUGCUUGUCAAUGGCGCUUCCGGUUUCCUCGCUAAAGGUAAUUCUUUGUUCAGUAUUCUCCGUAGUUCCUGUAUGCAAGAAAUCAACGGAGUAAACAUUGGAGCAACAUUAUUUAUAUUAAUAAUUCCACUACUGUAAUUCGUAAAUAAUUUUAAGAUGCACAGAUAAUUAUGCUACGGAUAUCAGAUUUAUUGAUAAACAAUAUUAUUUAAUAAAAAAAAACAAAUGGUAAAAAAGUAACGAAUAAAAUAACUGAUACAGUACAAAAAUGAGAUUGGUUGCACUCAGAACCAACAAGGAAGGUACCUUUCAAACAUGCGCUUAUCAGAAAUAAAAGCAAGUUUCCAUUAGAGAGGUCUCCUUUUUUGGUCGCUAACUACUACAUCUAGUAAAUUUUGCUUUUAAUAUGAGAAAAAAAGUUUGGUAGGAAUUGAGUUUUUGAUAAAGGAGUAAUUGAAGGUAGUUGUUAGUUGGUUGUUGUUGAUGAUGAAGUUGUUGCAAAUAGGAAGCAUGGAAUCGAGUAUUAACUCGAACAAGGUCUGAGUAUUAAAAAGAUUUCUGAAGAAGAUUUCGAACCACCACUGAGAAAGCGAUAGAGAAACUAGCAUAUAUCAAAAGGCAUUAUUCUUCGAUAAUAUAUAAGCCUAAUGGCAUUGCAGAGUUCUUUAAUAAUAGUUUCAGUAGGUCUCGAUGUUGGCGAAUGGAAUCGAGUAUUACAGGUACAUCGAUCCUAACAUGAGAUUCUUGAUAGUAAAACCGAUCUAAGAAUCAAUUUUUAUUUUAUUUUUUAGUAUUUAGUUAAUUUCAACUUGGAAGGGUUUAUUGCAUCACGUUUUACUUGUUUAAUAGAUAUUGAAUUAUAUUAGGUUGGUGCUAUAAAUUAUAUAUAAAUGUGUUAUAUAUAGUGCUACGUACGGAUAGCUAGGAUCACACGUUCUCAGCAACUAAACAUUUCAUACUUCCUCUUUGUUCUCCAUUCAGGUCUUUGAGUUUCAACUAUGGAACCAAGUUGUGUUCAGUUUCUUGAGAAUAAGACAGUUCUCGUCACUGGCGCAUCCGGUUUUCUUGCUAAAGGUAAUAAUCUUUAUACUCUCAUAUACCAUGAUAUCUCAGUUGAAUAUAUUUCGAGCAUGAACCUGUUUAAUAGAAAUUAUUACCAUUAAUUUGUCAUUAAAUAUAGUAUGUUCAUCAAUAUUUGUAAUAGUUUUCGUGGAGCGAGUUCUGAGAUUGCAACCAAAGGUGAGGAGGCUUUACCUCCUCGUAAGAGCAUCCGACAACAAGGCCGCGAAGCAACGGUUACACAGUGAGGUGUAUUUACACACGUUUGACCAAACUUUUUCGUUAAAUAAUCAUACGAGUUUGAAUGUUCGGGUCUGAUUACUUCGUAAACAGGUUUUCGAGAAAGAUUUAUUUAGGGUGUUGAGAAAGAAUGUUGGUGAUGAACGUCUAAACGCUUUAAUAUCGGAGAAAGUUGUUCCUAUUCCGGGUGACAUAUCACUAAACAUUAUGGGAGUGAUCAGAGAUUCUAAUUUCUUACAAGAUAUGAUGCAAGAGAUCGACAUCAUUGUGAAUUCUGCUGCCACCACGAGAUUCGAUGAAAGGUAUUAUAUUUACUUAAUCUGUAAAGAAAAUGACAUAACAUAUAUCUCUUGUUAUUGCCUUAUUAAUUGGGAAAAUCGCAUAAAAAACCUCAAAAAACCUCGAAAAACCUUGAAGUUUUUUCACUGACACUUUUAACCUUCAAAAUGAUAUUUGCAUCAUAAAAAACCUCCAAAAUAAAAAGUUGACAUGUUAAACAGGUAAAAAAUGAUGUAUUAGACUUUUUUCAAAAAAUAAUUAUUUAAUUAAAAAAAUAGACAAAAGUUAAAUAAAAAUUCAGAAAAUUAAACAAAAAUUGAAAAUUUAAUAAAAGUUCAGUAAAACCAAAACCAAAAUCAGAAAAUUGAAUAUAUUUUCUUCGGAAAAUUAAAUAAAAACUAAAUAUUCUAUAAUAAAUAAGAUUAAUACAUAUGAACUAAAUAAAAAUUUCAUAAAUUUCAAAAAAUUAGAAAUUUCAAAAUUUCAAAAAAAAAAAAAUUAUUACAAGAUUUUUUUUUAAAAAUAUAUCAUAUCAUCGUUGACAAUAAAAAUGUCACAUAUACCACUAGUGACGAUAAUGGUUUUUAACAUAACCAUUAAAAAUCACAACUUUUUGGCAUAUCUCCAAUGAUAGGUUCCAACCAUCAUCGUUGAAAAGGGGAAAAAAAAACUUUUCUGAACUUUUGAAUUGAGAAAUAUCCUAGGAUAGCACUAAAAAAAUUUAUGUCACAAAUAUAGACUCUAAGAAUCAAAAUGACCAAGAUGUUUCAUUAAAAAGGUAAAUAUACACUUAUACCCCUAGGGUUAACUAAUUCAAAUCUUAAGGUUUAGAGUUAAAGGGUGGAGAUUUGGGAUUGAGGUUUAAAAUUUUAUAAAAUAAAAAAUAAAUAUUAAAAAUUUAAAAAUAAAUUUUUUUAAAAUAGUUUCAAAUAGUAUUUUCGAAUUACAAAAAGAAAAUUUGAAAAAAAAAUAAAAAAAAAAUCGAAAAAAGAAAAUUAAAAAAUAAUAUAAAACGUUCGAAUUUGAAAACAUAUAAUCUAAAACUAUAAAAAAAAAUUAAUUUUUUUAUAUAUAUCUAUGGUAUUAGUGUCCUUUUACAUAUUAAAUGAAAUAUUUUGGUCAUUUUCUUCCUUGUGGUCUAUUUUUGUGACCAAAAAUUGAAAUUGGUCUAUUUAUGAGAAUUGCCCUUUUGAAUUUUCAAUUUUUUUUUUGAAAUUUAUGACUUUUUUUCUGUGUUUUAAUUUGAUCUGAUUUAUUUUUGAAUUUUUCAUUAAUUUUUAAUUUCUAAUAUUUAAUUAAUUUCUAUUUUUUUUUAAUUUUCUGAGUUUUUCUUUAAUUUUUUUAUUUAAAUUUUCUGAUUUUUCUUUAAUUUUCUGUUUUCAUUUAAUUUUUGUUUAUUUUAAUAACUAAAUAAUUAUUCUUGAAAAAAAAACUGACACAUCAUUAUUUUACCUGUUUAGUAGGUCAACAUUUUACUUUGGAAGUUUUUUAUGAUACAAAUAUCAAUUUGAAGGUUAAAAAUAUUAGUGAAAAAAUUCAAGGCUUAAAUUGCUAGUAAGUGUCACUCUAAAAGUUUUAUGCGAUUUUUCCCUUAUUAUUUAGCUUUUGUUUUUUGUUUUUGUAUGUGAAAAAGAUAUGAUGUUGCUCUUGGGAUCAACACAUUUGGACCUCUCAAUAUCCUUAACUUUGCUAAGAAGUGUGCAAAACCACAAUUGCUUCUUCAUGUAUCUACUGGUGAAUCAUUUAAACCUUUUUAUAACCAAAUUGAUAGAUAAGCAGUAAUUAUGUCUACCAACGUUAUAUAAAUAUUGUUUUAUUUUCUAGCCUAUGUUUGUGGGGAAAGAUCCGGACUCAUACUAGAGAAACCUUUUGCUAUGGGAGAAACUCUUAAUGGCAAAAACAAGGUAGAUAUCGAUGCGGAAAUGUUAUUGGUAGAGCAGAAACUGAAACAACUCAAGAAACUAGGUUAUUCAGAAGAAGAAACCAAACAAGCCAUGAAAGAUCUCGGAUUGAAAAGGUUUGUGUACUAUUUCAAAUGCUAAAACUAGAAUCUUAUAAUAUAUGAAAUAACUUAACUGAGGCUGAGGUAUAUAGUAUAAAAUCUUAAUUAGGGCAAAACUUUAUGGAUGGCCAAACACAUAUGUCUUCACGAAAGCAAUGGGAGAAAUGCUUCUUGGCUACUGUAGAGAAUCUAUGCCUAUUGUAAUCAUACGUCCCACAAUUAUCACAAGCACUUUCUCUGACCCAUUCCCCGGCUGGAUUGAAGGUAUAAAGUAAGUUAUCACUGAUCUAAUUAAUCAUUUUUAAUUUGAUUUUUAAAUAUUUGUUCAUCCAAGUAUAUUUUUGAGUUUUUCUAACUCAACUUAUUUGUGGUUAUUGUGUAUAUAUGAAGGACCAUAGACAGUGUGAUUGUUUCAUUCAGAAAGGGACUGCUAAAGUGUUUCCUUGUUGAUGAUAUGGCAGUAUGUGAUCUUGUAAGCUCACUAAGCACACUACCAAUAUUGGAAAAUAUAAAUUAAGAUUCUAUUAUUACUAGCUUGAUUCUAACGUGAAAAUGCAUGUAUAUAUAUUACAAGAUACCCGUCGAUAUGGUGGCAAACGCAAUGAUUGUGACCGCAGCUGAACAUUCACGUGAGUCAGGGAGUCAUACCAUAUACCAUGUCGGCUCAUCUUAUCAGAACCCGGUGAUGUAUAAACAGAUAUAUGAAAUUCUAAAUCGUUUUUUCCUGGCGAGCCCUCUGCUCGGUCGCAAUGGCUUGCCUAUUGUCCCAAACGUUAAAAUAUUCCCCACAAUGGCUAGGUUUCGUGUCUACACGAGCCUUCGUUAUAAAUUACCUUUACAGGUAUACUUAUGUAAAUUGCACGUACGUACGUGAAAUACAUUUUUAUAUGAAGAGCAGUAAUUUUAAAAUGCAUCCUCUCAUAUCGGUUAUAUUUUUUGUUUCAGAUAUUGCGAUUACUUAGAUUAAUUUUUCCAUCGCAACUCGGGGAGAAAUAUGAAGUUCACAAUCGUAGAUUUAAUAUAGCGAUGAGAAUGGUGAAACUUUACAGGCCUUAUGUAAUCCUCAAGGGCAUGUAUGUUCAACAUAACUCUCACAUUUCCUUCAACUUUCCCUUUUUUAACAUUAGUUUCUUCCUUUUCAAAAAAAAAAAACAUUAGUUUUCUUCUAUUUUGAAUGGUAUAUAAUAUUAUAGAUUUUUUUAAUACAUAUGGUAUGUCGUUCUUCUGGAAUAAUUUAUAAAAGACAAAUAAUAGACGUAUUUUUUAUCAAUGAAAGGCUUAAAGAUCUUUAUAAACUUGUAAGGUAAGGUGAAUGCUUAAUUAUUUUGAAAAGCAUAGCUUUUAAAACUUUAUUUUCCAGCUAAUUUUGUUUCUUGUUGAUGUUAUUUUUAUGCAGAUUCGAUGAUAGAAACCUGGAAAGAUUACGAAUCAAGAAUGAAGGCACAGGGAUAGACAAAUUAAUCGACUCCAUCAAAUGCAUUGAUUGGGAAGACUACUUUAUGAAUAUACAUAUCCGUGGCCUCAUUACACACGUACUCGAGAAAUAAACUUCAGAUACAAUUAUACUACUUCACAUACAUUACUGCAUUGAUCUGCCAGAUCGUACUGAAAUUUCGAUAGUAGCCUGGUAAACUUGAGCUAUGGACUUAAGAAAGAAGGCAGCUAGAGCAAGUUUUAUGGACAAGCUUGAGGAGUUAGACUACUAUUUUUUUUUUUGAACACAUAAAAUAUGUUUUCAAAAUUCAACAUGUCUUUCAUAAACAUUCAAAAUAUGUCUAGACGAAUAAAUUGUCUUUCAUAAAAUAUGUCUACUAUAAAUUAUUAGUUUAGACUAAUAAAAUAUGUCUUUCAUAAACAUUCAAAAUUUUAUGUGAUGUUUUACUUUAUUUAUACUUGAUUUAGUAGUUUUGGACCACUUAAAAUUCGACAUGAAAGAGUUGCAAACCAAACCCUCUGAGUUAUAUUUAAUCAGGAGAGAGUUACGUUGAGAGACACAUUGUGACUUUUGUUUUACCUAACAGACACAUUCUCUAGUUGGUACACAUUCUUUGGCCAGCUGUAAUUUUUCAGACAAAAAUAACCCUCCUUUUGUCUAAAGAGAAGUGUGUUAGUUUUAAAGAGUCAAACUUAAAAUUCUUAAGUUUCCGUUCAGUUGCAAUAAAUGAUAAAGGGGUUAAGUAAAAAAGUAAGUUUAUGGGAUAAAGUUAAUUGUUUUUGGUCGUUGGAUCUGUUUAAAAGCUAAAAAGAUCUAACGGCAGCGAAUAUGCCAGUGCUAUGAAGGUGUUUGGUAGAUGGUGCGAGAGAAGGUAAGCAGAUUUCGCUAUAACUCUCUAACGUUACAAACUUCUUUUUUCUUUUUACAACUUUCUGUGGAUACAAUUUAGAUGGACACGAAAAUGUUACAAAAUUUUAUGUGGGCAAAUUCUGUGUACACAAUUUGGUGGGCAAGGCCGUUACUUUGACAUGGAUGCAUGCGAAGCCGUUGUGUGUGUAUUGAAUCAGUGGUUAGCUUUGUAGUGGACACGCAGCUGUGGACAUGAGAUGAAGUUAGACAUGAAUAUGUAAUAUGUUAGUUAAAUACCAAAAGAGCCACACAUACUCAGUUCGUGGAAUUAAAGUACAUGAAUAGACAUAAGCUGAAAGGCACAUUAAGAACAAAACAAAAAGUGUCCAUUAGGUGUAUGGCGACAUGAGACGGGUUGCUAAGGUUGUUGUGGUUGGGUGAGUUGUGGUCGGGUAAGUCAUGGUUAGGCGUCAGCUGUUCGGCAGCUUUAUGGUCAGAGGUUAUGUGGACGGACGAUGUGUGGUCAUGAGUGGAGUGGUUGCGAAGUGUGUGUUCGGGCGAUGUGUGGACGGGGAUUGUGUGGUUGUGCGACGAGCAGUGGUCAGACAAGUUGUGAAGUGGUGAGGAAUCAAUGAUAGGUGGCGAGUGAAUGUCGGAGUUGAGGAAUAAAGGAUAAAACAUUUCUACAGAUUUAAACAGAAGAACAUAGAGUUGAGGUUUAUAUCGAGAACUCAGACAAAACUAAACCACCACUUCCUCCUCCUCACGUCCUCCACCUCUGUAUCCAUAUCCACCACCAUAGCAUCCACCAUCACGGCAUCCACAACCACAUCCUCCUCCUCACGUCUUCUACCUCCGUAUCUACAUCCGCCACCACGGCAUCUACCACCACAAUCAGACAAGAAACUAACUUUUCAUAUAUGAAUCAGUUGCGAAGAGUCUCACGGGAAGACGGUGGUCUACGGCGUCCUCUGCAGAAUCUGAAAAAAGGAAAAAUCGUUAACGGUGGCUGUGGGUGGAAGAUGAAGAAACAAAGGCGGCAGAGACAGAGUACGAAACGGAACUCACCUUCCAUGGCGGGUUUUUCUCAAUCAACGGUGGCUGGCUGUGGUUAAUGACAAAAUCGACUAUCACCGGAGAGGAUCUGAUUUUUAGAAACUUGAUUACGGUUUGGCGAAGGUUUGAGUUUCUAGAUCUACAAGAAGUCGGGAGAGAGAUAAAACUAGAGUUUGUUUCUUGGAAUCUACAAAAUAAGAAAGAAAAAAGAGAUCGACUCUUUCAACAUUCAAGUAAAAAAUAUCUGAAAAUAUAUUAUUUGUUUUAUUGUUACUAGUUAGAAAAACUAAUUGUUCUGGUUAGAGAAUUCAUGAAACCCACUUUCACUAAGAGGUGAGGGUUAAGCUAGACAUUUCACUAAAAGAAAGUGUCCACUAAGAUCAAAGUGCCUUAGAGUGUAAUUCAUAAGAUGAAUUGUGUCUGUGGAAGUGUCCACUAGACUAUGGGGGUGAUUGGUAGUUGCUGUAGGUGCUGUCCACAGCCCUAUUUAUUUCCACAGCACCAAAUUCAGAGCAAUCAAGCUUUAAAUUUUUUUUUGAAACCACAGCUCUUAAAAUAUCCUACAGCUGUACAAGUGCUCUGCAGAGCCAAAUAUCCAAAGCAAUUUUUUAGUGCUUCAAUAAAAUUCUACAGCAAUAAAAUCUAAAGCCACAGCAAAAAGUCUACAGAUUUUUUUCUACAACAAAAUAUUUAAAGCUACAGCCAUUACCAAUCGGACCCUAUGCAUUUUUCUUUUUAAAAGAAGAAAUUGUAACUGAUACUGUCAUUUGUUUUCCCAGUGUUUGGUAACACUUGAAGACGUACUUAUUCAUUUGUUUAGUUGUUUUACGUGAAUCUACGACUGAGUUGACCAGAGAGCCGAGACAGAAAAAUCAAAUUAUACAUUAUUUUUGUUGUGAUAUAAGAUCAUUUGACGUACUGCACUAUAUAACGAUAAUGAUAACGAAAUCGCAAAUCUUGAAAAACUUAAGGCAAAAAACACUAAUCAUAAUAGCAAAAUAGAAAUAAAAUUGUCUUUAUAAAGAAAAUCUUGAACCUACCAAAAAAAGGAUUCUGAAAUUAAUCCAAGAAGUAGAAGGCUCACAACAGAAAUGAAAAUCAAAUCUCUCUCAGCCUUAAAGAUGAUAUCUUAAGCGAAACUUCGAGAUAAUCUUCUUAGAACACACGGUUUGGUGGACCCAUUGUACUCUUCAAGUACAAACACCUCACCUGCAAACAAGAAACAACUCUUUGAGUUACGAGACUGACAAAAUGUACAGAGGAUGAUGGAGGAAGAAGAUAAAGAAGAAAGCUUUUUUACUAACGUUUUGCCAGUUUUUCUUCAGAAGCGAAACAAGGAAGUUGACACUCAUCUGAACAUUCUGAAAGAUCUGCUUCUCUUCCAUGUCAAGGUUCCCAACAGCAACUCCCAUGCAAAGAACCUUCUUGAGCUGGAACUUCACUGUUGCCUUAGUCUCAUUCACUUUGGCUUCCAAAGACUCUUGGUGGCUCACAAGAGUAGGGAACUUUCCUGUUUAUUUGUUAAUUCAAAAGAGUGAAUAAUAUGGUAAAUAAUAUAGAGAUGAAAAAAAUAAGGUUUGGUGUUUAAACAUGCCUGCCUUGUUGAGACCAGGACCAAGAAGACGAGGAAUCUGUUUAAUAACAGAUUCAGAAGCAAGGAAAGCGUGAAACUUCUUUGCUAGCUUCUUCACAAGCUUCUUGUUCUUGUUCAGCUUCUUAAGCGCUUCCACAUCCAUAGACUCCAACCCAAUCUUCUCAGCCUAUGUAAAACCACCAAAACACACUUGCUUAGCUUCUUAACAUGUUCCUAAAAGAGUGAAAGCAAAAAGGCUUUUUUACCUCUUCAACGUGCUGGGCAUCACCGAGCAUGCAGAUCUUCAUCUUAGGCCUUGGAAUGUGAGGCAACUUGACGGAACCGCUGAACCGCUUGUCCUUUUGAGGGUCGUAGUUCUUGAGACCAAUCUGGAGUUCGAUGGUCUCAGUGAACUUGCGUGGCUUUGUCUCCUUGCAGUGAGUGAUCAUGGAGGAUAUCGCCUCUCUCACGGCUUCACUCUGGAGCUUACUACAUCAUUCCAAAAAUAAAUUAAAAAUCCAAACUUUCAAUAAGCUAAACACUUAAUCUACUCAUGAAAGUGAUGACUUUCACACAUAUGAUAAAAAGGCCAAUGCUUUUUUUUUGUGUAAAGAAUCAUUUUUUUCACCUAAAGCUAAUCUAUGAUUAUACAAAAUCAACACCAGUUAUUUGAUUACAGUGGCAGCUACUAGCAAACAUGAUAAGAUGAUUCUAAACUUGUAACGGAGAAGAAAAAUGAAAUCGAGUUUUGAGGAUACAAACCUCAUUUUGGGUAACUUCCUCAGAUGCUGUAAGGACGGCAGGCAAGAGAAUGGGGGUGGAGAGUGACUUAUACGAUGAACCAAGCAAGAAGAGGAGACGAAACCCUAGCCCAUUUUACUUUAAGCCAAUUAAAAGCCCAUUAAGGCCCAUAUUAGUAUUAUCCACUUGGGAGCUUUCUUAUACAAGGGACUGAGAAUCAAUAAUCUUUUGAGCAUUUCAACAACUUGGCAGAGUGUUCUUCAUUAGAUUUUUCAUCUCCCAGCAAACAAUGCUAAAUUACAAUUACGCUUAGCUUCUUUUCAACCAAAUGUUAUUCCAAAGGGUUGGAACUAUGAAUUACAUCAAAUGGAAAUACAUAAUUAUAUUAGAUCAUAGUUCUUUUAAUUCUCGCCUUCAAGGCAGACAAUCACUAUUCAGUACAAAUAUACAACUUAAAGAAAUUAAUUAAUACUUGUGAUGGGUACGCAUGCAUCAGAUCAAUUCAUAUCUCUGUGUCUGAGUAUGUUCCUCCUCUUUAUCCAAACAUGAAAGAGAGAUCAUCCAUAGGAACCUCAUCAAGCCCUGCUGUAUCAAUAUCCUGAAGACCCUCAAACCAGUUUCCUAUGUCUGCCUGCUCAUCUAUUUCCUCUAGAUCAUGGAACGCUAGUUUUGAGAAAUCUAUUGGAGCUUCCUCAUCUACUCCUGCUGCAGCACCAUCUCCAGCGUUGCCUCCUCUGCCUCUGCUCGCUGGACCUGUUGGGUGAGUUGAUCUUGAUUGGUUUUCGUUCUUUUCUUUGGGUUUCGGUUUGUUCUUGUUCCUCAAACCCUCUUCUCUCUUACCUCCUCCGCUAAGAACCGCGCUGUCUAUACUCGUUGUGACUUUAGAUGAAGCGCAUCCGAUAACGUCGUCUACCAAUGCUUCUCUCCUCUUUGUACUAGACACUGCACCUACAAAACCCCCUAUUAGCUCAGAUCAUCGACAGAAAGAUGUUUGAAAACAUCUAAUGUUUGUAAAGAUCGUUUCUGGAAGCAACACUUUAGAUUUUGCGUACCUGAACCCUUGGCCUCAGCCCGGUGAUUAGAAGGUUCAUUGAGCGUGUUACUGGCUGUUCCAGAGCCGCCGUUUUCUGAUGAUUUUGCAUCGUUGCUGGGAGAUGAAAACAAUAUGUCUUGAAGUGCAGGAUCAGCAAAACAGCUAAGCCCAGUCUCUUCGAACUUGCGACACCUGGCAAGUGUCCUCCUGAUGAACGCCGAGGCCGCUUGUCUUGUGACCUUGUGGGCUUUAAAAGCUUUAUUUCCACGGGAUGCCUGUUUCCAGAGUAACAUCCAUAAGGAAACCUCAUAUGUUUAUCUUAUCCCACAACCAUUCAUCCUAGUUCAUUAUGAUAAAAUGUACGCAUUCACUAGUUUUAUUACCAUUCUUUUCUUGUGAGCUGUUUCCACAAGCUGGUCCAUAGCAAGCUGCUCAAUUUUCCUGCAUGAAAGUCUGAAAUCUUAGAAAGAUAAAAGUGUAACCUGAAAAAAAUCUGAAAAAGCUAAUUCUAACCUUUUCUCAUCAUCUUUCCCCUUCUGUAUGGUAAUAUUUAGGUUCUCCAGCUUUUUCUUCUUGUUUCGGAUCUAUUAUUCAUCAAACAUAGAAUAUUGAUAAAUUUUCAAAGGGAAACAGACACAAACGAUACAAAGCAUAGAUUAUUUGUUUUACGUUCACCUGCUGAUAAAUGCCUUCCUUCAACUCCAUAACAUCUGUGCUCAUAGUUUCUUCAGCCAGAUCAGGCUGCGAAUAAAUAAAAAUGAAAAUAAGGUCACUUUUUUUUUCCAUUAGCUCACGUUCUUGACAGACUAACUAACUGACUGGAGAUAAAACAUACCAUGGUCUCAGGGAACACACCAAUGCACUGUAGUUCCAGAAGAAGUCGCUCAUCCAAAGACAUUAGCUGAUACUGCGUGUCAGAUACUGGAAAGUUGGGAAUGUUCACAUCCCUAGCUUGCAACUGACCCAGGCUAUUUGAAUAGGCCUCACCGCCGAGUGCAGCAUCCGAAUGUGAAACAUAAUCAUCCCCGAUCCACUGUUCAUUGCUAUGGACAGAUGUAGACAUGCUACCAUUUCUGAAAGGGUUAUACACAACACUCCUCUCAUUGGAAAAUCUGUCAAACAAACAACUCUUGGGGGUCUGAAAAUCCCCGCUUGACUCUACUUCAAAUUCCAUUCUGUCUCUCUCUCUGAACUCGGUGUCAAUAUAGGUGCAUGAACCAGAGUGAGAAUCAUCACUAGCAUAAUGAAGAGACAGAUUCUUCCCUCCAGUGAAUUGUACAACUUCUUCUCCAUCAUCUUCCUCAAUUAAGGCAGAAAGUACCCUCUUAUAUAAAGGAGUACUCUCAUUCAACUUUCUCAUGUCCAAUCUCUCAAAUGAAAGAUCAGAUAUACAUGACAACGCUGGACCUGAAUAGUCAACAAUUCCCUCACCAGGGCGAUGUGGUGCUUUCGGCAAUUUGAUACCCUGAGAUAUAAUGAGUUCCUUUCAUUCAUGCUACUUUCAGAUAAACAAAAAGUCAAAUAAAACUAGACAUUGCUGCAUAAGUUUACAAUGCAACUUACCAUAACGUUAUAGCCAUCUAAGAUUGCCUCUGACAGAGAUUCAUCGAGUUCUUCAGCAAAAUUCAGCUGUUUUUUUUUUUUGACAAUCACAAGUUAACGAGUGUUUGAGUUGGCACCCAAGAGAGAACUCACAUAUAUAAUAUUAUGGACGGUAUCUUAAUUAUUACCUGAUCUUUUAUGUUCUGCAUGUCAUCUGCAUUGAUGGCAGCAAAGAUGUGGUCCAUCUUUUUCCAAAACUUACCAGAACAAGCAAGAUCUACAAAAACGAUAUUUCGAGUUAAAAAUAAAACUUAUUGCCAAAAACUUGAAAGACAAGACAUGUGGAAGGAUGAGUACUCGCUGCCUUCCGUGCUGAAUUAGCCGCUGCAAAAAUAUCUUCGCGAUCAUCAUCAGAUUCACCUGAAAAGCCAGACAACAUUACCUUAGAAAUUUAAUACCUACUUUAGUACAAACGAAAAUAACUGAGCACGAGCUAAUAGUUUACCAAACCUAAAAUAUUCAGGGUAAAGAUAUAUGUAGCACUUCACAGAAGUUAAUUUGAUAAUACACUACGAUAACAGUGAAUAUUGUAAAUGACUGGAACUCGAAGUGCCAAAAGGAUAUGAAUACCUGUAAUAUCUGGAGUGGAAAUCGAAUUUGAGGCACGCCGCGUAGAAGGUUUACGAUCUUUAACCUUUUUCGCUGGUGGACGCCCAUAUUUGCUAUUCAGAGAGAGAGAGGUAGAACGUUGAUCUCUCGUAUUUUUAGCUUUAUAUAUACUAUAAUACGUACUAGGUAUAAGAAAAAAAAACUGAAUUGGCAUAAAUCACCUUCGAUUCUUAUCUGACGCAAUCUUGACAUUGUGCAGAGGCUUCUCUAGUGUUAGAUUCUCUGACUUAACAAUCAUAGGAUGAAAGCCAGGAGUUGUCAAUGACGAAACACUUUCACUCUUUCCUUGCUUCCAUGCACCACCUCCUUUAUGGCUCGUUUGCAUUUUAUUUUUCUUUAACGGCGACCCUGUUUUAGGAGUUGUGAACAAGUCACCACUCGCAAGAGCACGCUCUCUUGUUUUGUUGUCUCCAGCUCCCGAGUCCUCACUUUCAGAGAAACCAUACGGUGAUGAAGCAUUCUUUGGCUCCCUUUUCAUUUUUAAAGAGCUACUAUCAACAACUGAGAGUGGCCCAGUGGUUCGAGGAGAUGCUCUAGGACUAAACUCAGAUGUUGCAAAACCUUGAGGUGAGAACUUGCUUUCAGCAUGUUUGAUAAUAGGCGGAACUACAUUUGUUCUUCUCGUUCGGGAAUUCUUAGGUCUCUGACCAACCCAUUGAGCCAUUGCGUGUGCAGAUGAACCUGCUGGCAAUUGAAGCUUUAGAUUAUUUUUCAUAGACAUAACAGAUAGUGUAUAUAGACAACACUUAGAUUGCCUCUAACCUUGUAAUACUCCAGAUGGGGGCUCGACUUUGGAUGAAGAAUCAACACCCAUAACGGUUGCUGUUCUUGGAGCCCUAGCAACAUUUCCUUUCAAUAUUGCAGUAGAGCUGUUUGUGGGGCCAUCAUCCUGUAAGUUUCUCCUGGAUAAGCAAAAUAAUGCAUUUAUCAGCAAACAAUAUGCUGUUAAAUUAACGCAAGAUCUAUAACAAAAAAAAAGCUUGAGGUAUCUGCUCACUUAUUGUUUCCCUUGGCCAUAAGCCUCUGCUCAGCAAGUACUGACCGGUCCCUUGCAAGGGAAACAGUCUCCAACUCAUUCCUGGGUAAUCCACCCAUACCUGGACUGUCUGGCUCAAAUGAAGACUCAAGCCGGUUAAUUCCACUCACCCCGGUGGAAGAUUUCAAUCUGCAACAAAUGUGCCACGUUGUGAUUUCUUUGAGAAUGAAAGAUAUGCAAGAGGGAUCAAUUUCGGAAAACUAUACAUACAACAGUAUGUUGCAACAAAUUUCUACGGUUCCCCCACUUUCAGGCCCACUUAAGGUUAUUUGACUAGAAAAUUCUCAAACGGUUUUCAGUGUUUUAUGUCGGGAUACCUGAAAUUUUGGGUGUCACAAGAACGCAACUUAGAGUCAACUGUCGGCUUCGGCUGCAUGACACGUUGAUCAGGAUUCAUAACUCUGUUGCCUAGAGUUGCAACAGACCGUUUCCUUUUCAUUCUUGUCUCCCAUCCUUCACCACCAACAGGCAGCCUGCGUAUCUUCUCCUCUAUUCGCACAGUUUCUCCAGGAACACUUGGAGGUGAAUCGGAGCCCCUUUCUAUAACCUGCUGCCUUGCAAGAGUAGAAACUCUGCCAUCCCCCUGAAAGUAGUAACAGACCAAACCAUUAAACAACAGUUACACUAAUCGAACAAUCAACCAAAAUAUUCAAGUGCAUGUAUUCUUUAAAGAUUCCAAAAGUAGCCUAACAUGGAGCGGAAAAUGAUGGAAACUAAACAUUCUAAACAUUAAUAAGCAUCAUAUAUAUUUAAACUGAGAUUUAGCUACAAACCCGAACAUCUCCAACUGGGGUACGAGCACGCUUGUUCAAUCCAAGCAUCUUUUUCCUCUCCUCAGAUCUUUGAGCCAUACUGUCUUGCGCUCUCGGAACCUGGUUUCUCAUCUUCUCCAAGUUAGCUGCGUCCAUCCUCUCACCAGGGGAUAUAUCACUCCGCCGUCGUUUCUUUGAGCUCAACGUCUCGGCAUAUUUGUCCAACUUAAAUAUGGAUUCACUAAGCUUCUUUGCUAGAUCCCUACAAGAUAGUAAAUCCCAAUAAAUAAAAAUCAUUAAGCAAGAAGUGGUUUGUGAAAAAAUAACACAAAAAGAGAAACAAAAUACACACCCGGCCUCUCGGGAAGUAUCUAGCACACUUUCUUUAAAUUGCUUGAGCUCCUCUGUUGCCACAGGAGGAGAAGGCUUAGGAUGGGACAUUCCAAAAGAAGUAUCUUCUGAUGAGGCCUCCCUAGUAGGGACGCCGAGAACCCUUCUAAGCUCUCCUGAACGAGUAUAGCUUUGAUUGCCUAAUCUAAUCGGUUCCAACGUCAACACUUGAGACAAGUUUGGCGUAUCAGAGGACAAUCCUACUGUACCCCUGCUCAAAUUGUUACCAGAAGCUAGCAUCGUGCCCUUCGUCAAACUCUAAAAGCCACUCAAACCCUGCAACCCCCAAGCAAUGGAUUCAGAAAAAGUAAUGUGAUUUGAUUUCUUCCCCACGAUUAACAACAACAACAAAAGAUAGAAACUUUCAAUCAAUCAAGUAGUAAGCAACACUGAAGCAGUUUGCUUUCUAACUUCUAGUUGGCGAAAUCACUUCAUAAGACGAGAAUCUAUGAAAAUUUUACGAAUAGUCUCACCUCUGCGCCUAAUCCCAAGCCAUGAAUCAAGACGAAAUUGCAAAACCCUAGAAUCGCGGAGACGAAUCAAAAUACGGAGGAAUUGAGAGGAAUCUAAGCGUAAUUAGGGACAAGGCGAAGAAGCCUUUUGAAUAAAAAAUUUCAACGAGAAGCUCUUGUGGUGGAUUGGAUUGGUUUAGGCAAAAACAAAAAGUAAUCAAAAAAAUUCCUUUUUUUUUUUUUUGAGUCUCUCUGCUUUCUUAUUGGACGAGUUUCCUUACGUCCACUAUAGAUUCCGUGUGCUUUGUGGCAGAAUAGAUGAUGUCAUUUACCGUUGACCGGUGUGGCAUUUCGGUUCGAUUUCUUGUGAAGUUCAUUUGUCUGGUAUUUUCGAAAACCGAAAAGAUUUUAUAAUUAGAUGGAUGUUUCAAAAAAUUGAGAACUCAUCCAAAAACUAAUUCGAAAUUUUAGGAAUUGUAGGUGGGUUUCUCAAAAAAAUUAGAUGGCCAUUUAAUAUCACAGGAAAUGAUUUUUGAAAAUAUAUAAGAGACUCAACUUAGAUAUUUCCAUUGGGGUUUAAGAUUAAGUUUGUUUAUUUCAAUAGGGUUUAAGGUUUAAAAGUUUAGUUUUAGGUUGAAAUUGUGCUACGUAAUGUAUUUAUUGGUCUUACUUGGUAAUAUACAGUUAGUUAGAGCACUUCCAACCAGUGGGCGAUCUAGAAUGAAUUUUUAUCUAAAAAAAAAAUAACAAAAAUUAAACCCAAAAAAAUUUAUGGGGAUAGCUGCCCCACCCACUCCCCACUUAAUUCUGUCACUGCCUCCAACAACAGUAUGAAUGAGGAGGAAUUUUUAAGCAUUUGAGAAAAUGAAAAAUUAAUAAAAUUUAAAAAAAAAAUCAAAAAUUCCUGCAUAAAAGUUUUUAAGAAACUGUCUACAAAUUCAAAGGAAAUAUGAUAUUUUAUUAAGAAAAAUAAAUGAUUUACCCUUUUUUAAGAAAAUUGAAACAUAAAUAAAUGAUUAUAAUAUUAUUUUUUUUAGAAAUUUUGAUGAGUUCCAACUGAUGGAAAUGCUCAGAGCAUAACUAAUGGCAGUUUUUAAAGGAAUCCUUAAGGGUUUUUUAUGAUGUGGGCCCUACAAAUGGGCUUAGAAUCGGUUACUGAAACUAUCAAAUAAGGAUCGACUUUUGUGUGUUUUUUUUGCGAUGUUUGCGAGUUCCACCGACAUGUGACAUUCUGCAUUUGGUCCCUUUUUAAUUUUUUUUUUAAGACAAAAAGAAAAAAAUAACAAAUUUACCUAAGAAACCGUGUACACGAUUUUACCGUUAAUUGGUCUCAGUGACCACAUGUUACCUUUGUGAAAAAUUUCAUUUAUUAAAUGCCCCGCACAAGAAUUUUGACACUUGAACCGCACUUAGCUAAAACAAGUGAUAUGCACACUUUCUAACUAAGACAUCAUGUUUAGCCAAAGAGAGGAUUUGGUUAUAAUCUGAAGUCUGAACCAUGACAUGAUGAGUCUUUGAAGGCAUCCAUCAUCCACCCAUGUAUUUGCUGCCUUUGUCGCUUUGUAUGAGAUGGGAAUUAAUAACAAUGUAAUGCUGCCACAAAGCAUUCUAUAACUAGUUUGUUACAAAUUCAUCUUAAUAAUAUCGUCCGAUAUUAAAUCAUAGUAAAUCGUAUACUUCGGUUUAAACUUUAUAUGACUGUCAAGCCUAGUUCUUACUUUAGUUAAAUAAACUGAUAACAUUAGCACUUUUUUCUUACGCAUAAUAAAAAUAUCUUUAGCAAGCAAAACUUAAUUAAACGAGACCUUCAACAUAGAGCGUUAAGACAUUUUUGUUUAAUCAUCACUAACAAGAAGAGCCUUUAUAAUGUCUUCGCAUUUCUCCUCCUCGGCGUUUAGAAGAUGUCCAUAGCCAGGGACUUCAUGGUACUUAAUCCAUGGAAGCCUCUUCGAUAUAUAUUGAUUAAUUUCACGAGGAAUCAUUUUAUCUUCCAUCCCUUGCCACAUGUGGACUGAUCCUACACCUUCCUCAAACGGAUUUUCCAGUUCAGUUGGGUCGAACUCCCAUGUCGUAAAUCCAGCUAUCAUGUCACGGUGAAGGCAUUCAUGGUCUCCUUGUUGCCUGGCUUUUUUCUAGGGUCGAAACAGAUUAAAAUUAAAAUAUAGGGUCAAAAUGUAAAUAUUUCAAAAUAAAAACAGGUUUUAGAUUUUUUACCAUGAGAGGAUUAGGAUUCUCUUGCUUCUUCUUUAUGAUGACCAAAUCUUUGUUGCUGCGUAAGGCUUUGCCCCCAGAGAUUACACUCGAAGAAGUAAACAACUUUUGUGUCAACCACCAAUACAAGAGCCAAGGAACAUAAUGAGCCACUCUAAAGGUCCACUGGUCCGUUUCUGGUAGUAGCUUGAGCGCUUCACUCAACAUGUUUUGAGGCACUUUAGUCCACCAGUAGCUCACAAAUGGAACCACUAAGACUGCUCCAGCUAAUCUAUGAAAACCAAAAGAAAAUUAAAAUAUGAGUAGGGAAGUGUAGAAAAGGAUACAAUAGUUUUUGAAUAUGUUACCUGUGAGGAAUGUAUUUGAGGCAGCUAUAAACGGAGUAUGCACCGAGUGAUACCCCUAUAACGUAGAACUUUGGUCCGAGAUUGAGUUUAUCUGCAAGUUCUUGAAUGUCGUAUGCUUCGCUUUUGAUUGUGCGUGAAGGGUGUGGAUCACUUUGUCCAUAUCCUGCUCUAUCGAAAAACACAAAAUAUAGACCUAGCUCCUCAACAAGACCCUGUAACAAAAAAUAAAACCUCAUUGUUCAUUAAUGUAGCGAUUGAUUCAAACGUGAACUUUGCGUUUGAGUUUGCAUGUAACAUGUGCAAAAAACACAUUCUCACAAAACAUCGUUGUAGAUCAAUAUGACAAAACGUACAUAGUAUCAUACCAUCAAUUCAUGACCAUGUAAAGGUGAAACUAGAUGCUAAUAAAUUAGUUAUAAAUUAUGAAAAUUGUGCGUGUUUUUUAUUAAGUAUAUAUAAUAGAUCUAUGAAAAAGUCCACUAACUCUAAUGAGAAGUGCAGCUCACUGGACUUUUUCUCUAGAAUUCAUAUGGAUCGUAAACAAUGAACAUAUAUCCACGUGGUCACACGACAAAAUAUAAUUAGGUACCUUGGAACCCAACUUUUGCUUAGCAAUCCAGAAUUCAGUUGCCACUAAACCACCAUCACGUGAUUAAAAUGGUACUUAUUACAUGUGUGAGAUAAAAGAGAAGAGAGCAGAUGGCAGACUUAACUACAAAAUCAGAACAUACCUUAGAGAUAGGAAAAUCCAUAUGUUUGGAGCUGCCAAAUCCAUGAACGACGAUGAUCUUGUACUUAGCGUUGUCUCUAUCAACGCCAGAUUCUCUAUAAGCAAGAUGUCGUCCAUCACUGAGCUUGACUCUCCGAGCAGUAACCGGAGGACCACGAGGAGUACCGCAGAUUCGCGAUGGUGGAGGCUUCAGUGUUCGGUAAAUGUAGCAUACAAGGCAGACAAGGAUCGCAACGAUGAUCAAAAGCAUCAUUAUCGUUAUUUACACCUGAAACAAAAGGUGGCUAGCUUGAGUUAAGAAAAAAUGCACAAUCUUAAGAUUAUGAAUCAUAAUCAUAUCAAAACAUUAGAUUAUCAAGUUUUAAUUAACUCGGUUAGAAUCAAAAAUAAUGAACGAGAAAGUCAAGGAGAAAGAGAAAAACCUUUAAGAAAGAUGCUUAGGAUUGGUUUCUAGGUGAAACUAUAGACCUCAUAUUUAUAGUAGGGGAAUCCAUACAUGGAAAUGCUUACAGAGCCGGCUGGCUCCUCUAUCAUUUUUCUGAAAUUACAAGUAUUUUUUUGUAAGAUUGAAAUUACAAGUUUAUCACGAAAAUAGUAAAAGUAAAGAGGUUAGUGAGAAUGAAGAGACACAGUCACCGUCAAAUUAGCAUCCACUUAUUGACGUAGUAUUAUUGUGUGUUGGGAGUCUUGUGUCGUUACAUGCGUAAUUGUUGUCUUGUGAUGAAUAUACAAUGAAUCACAUUCUCUCCUUUUUUUGUCGGUACAUUCUCUCCUUUUCAUAUACAGUAUUUUAUCUCUAGUGAAUCGGAAUACACUUUACCUAAAGCAUAUAGUAUUAUUUAGUCAAAAAAUAUAUAAUAUUACAAAUUUUGUAAAAGCGUGAUGAAUAUAUUAGGUGAUUUUACGUAUCUAUGCACGAAUAUAAACAUUGCGAAAUAAUUUAAUUAUAAUAAUUAUUAAAUAUUUGGUUAUUUAUUAGUUUUAGGUUAUUUUAUAAUUUAUAUGUAUGAUAAAACAUAUAAACAAAUUGUAUCAUUGAAGACAAAAAAAAUUGUAUCAAUUAUGUUACCAUCUUAAUUAUAUAUGUGCUUUAAAAAAAUAAUAUUUAUAUUUUUCAAAUAUUUAUUUUGGGUAUGUAAAGUUUCUUUUAUUCUCUUAAAUUGAGAAAUGAUUUUUUUCUUAAGUACGUUAAAUUUAAAUUAUUAUCUUCUUAAUUUCCAGUAGUUCAGUUCAUCCUCUUAUAUUUUUUUACAUAUAUUAUAAAAAAUUUGUAUAUCUGAUAUAUUUUGUUUCAGAAAAAUAGGAAAAAAAAUGUAUUAAAUCAAAAUUGCAUUAAUUGUUUGAAAAUUCAUGCACAAUUAUGAAUAUACAAAAUAACCAAAUAAUAAUAUUUUGUUGAUUUGAUUCUUCAUAUUUUGAUUAUUUUGGUUGUUCAUAUUUUGGUAUAUUAGGUUCUAUCAAUUUUUUUUUUGAAAAAAUCAUAAUUUUUUUAAUACAAUUAGACUAAAAUAAGAAUAACCUUGUUAGUUAGAUUGCUUAGUUUUUUCUUAGAUUGAUUAAUAUAUUUUCUAAGAAUGUGUAUAAUUUAAUAUAUGUUGUUUUUGAUAAAAUUAAAAGAUUCAGUGUUGAGAAAUUCAAAAUAUAGUAUCACCAAAAAAUCAUAAGUUUUCUCCUCAUUAAUGUGGUUAUAUUCAGUUUGUAUCAAUCAAUAUUAAUAAGUUUAAUUUUCAAUAUCACAUUGUUUAAAUUAUUUAUUCAUUUUCAAAUUAGUAACUAUAUAUAUUUUAAAAAUAUGAUAUUUUAUGAUCAAUUUUGUUAUUAAAAUUAUAAUCAUUUAGUCAAAAUAAUAUUCAUCAUAAAAAUAUUAUUUAUCUUGUUUAUUAGCCUCACAUUUUUUAAAUAUGUAUUUUCUUUUAAAAUAGUCACAAAAUAUAAUAUCUAUUUUUUGAAAAAUGAUAUAUUUUUCAAAAAAUGAUAUUAAAUAAUAAGUUUAUGUUGUUAAAUAUUUUUGAUCUUUGGAUCAAAAACAUAUUUAUAAUAAUAAUAAUUUUGAAUAAGGAUAUCUAAAUUAUUCUAUUUUAUCAGUUUAUUUUGUAAAUUAUAUUUAAAAAUUAUAGACACAUCGUUUUUGUUUAUUUUUUUAACAUAUAUAAAGAAUAAAAAAUCGUCUAUAUAUAGAAUCUAUAUGAUUUAUAUUUUAUAAAUAUUUACCUUUUUAUUAUUUAUGUGUUUAGGAAAUUUAACUUAAAAACCUAAUUAUUUUUUUAUUGAAAAGAAAAUAACCAUUAAAUAUAUUAAAGCUAAUUGAUUCAAUGUAACAAUAUUAUUAUCUUUUAGAAGAAUAUUUCUAAAAGAAUUUAUGUUUUCAAUUUUUGUGAAGAUACAUUAUAUAUAUAUAUAUAUAUAUUAAAAGUUUAUCUAUUUUCCUUUUUAUUUAUGUUCUUUUGAAAAAAAAAAACUUUUUAGAAAAAAUUUCUAUAUAAAAAAUUUAUAUGUGUAUUUUAUAAACAUUUCCUUUUUUAUUUAUGUGCUUUUGAAAAUAAAGGAUAAUUUAAUUAAAAGUUAACUAAAAUCAUAUUAUGAAAAAGAAAAUACAUUAUUAAUAGCAAUCAUAUAUAAUAUUUUUGUUCACUAAGAGUAUCUAUGUAACUAACCAUUGUAAAAAUUAACGUGAUUGCGACAUUUAGAAAACGGACUUAUCAAAUAAUAUUAUAGAUAUUUAUCAUAUUAUAGUGCAUGUUAACAAAACUGAUUGAAAUAAAUAACCGUAAAUAGAAAACUAAACAAAGAAAUUCACAGUAGGGUAUUGUCAACGCCUUAAACCUUUCCAGCUUCAAACUUUACCAUUUGGAAAAGUUUUUUUUUUGGUGUAAAUGUUAAGGAUUUGGAAAAGUUAUAUUUAAAGAAUGAAUAUCAUGCAUAUCAGGUAAGAAAUCUAUGCAGUUCAAUAAAAAGAGAGUAAGAAAUCUAUGAAACAAAGUAGUAGUAUAUCAUUCAUUUUCUAAAAAUCGACAAAAUGCUUAAAACAAAAACAGAUGGAGAGCUGGAAAUUGUAAAAUGAAAGUUUUGUGUACAAGGAAAUGUUAUCUAUGUGCAGUUGUUUAUUGGUGUGUGUCCACCAUAUUCUUACUUUAUAUUUUUGUUCUUAGUCUUAGUUUCCAUCUGUUGUUCAAAAAAAAGUUUUCAUUUCAUUUAAAAAAAAAUUAUACUUGGAUAGCAUAAAGCAAGAUGAAUAAAUUUAAACAUUCUUAAACAAUUUUUACAUUUAUCUGAUGUUAUAUGUUCUAAAAACAAAUUAUAUCGUUUACGUUUUUUAUUAUGUUUACAAGUAUCUUGUUGAUUUCUUUCAAUUUACAUUUACUAAUUUUCUAUUGGAUUUGAUAUUAACGUAUAGUUAGAUAUUACCAUAGAUGUGUGGGAAAGAAUGAACUCGGAACAACUUUUUUAUAAAGAAAAGAAAACAAGAGCAGUUUGCUCUCUGAGAAUUGUUAUACCAUACAACAAAAACAUGCAUAUCCAUCUCUAUGAUCCUCACCAUUGGUCCCAAAAUCAACUUAUCCAGACAACUUUCUAGGUUUAAGGUAAUUUAGUGGUCUCUGUGGAUCCAUAAGCAGCAUCAGCUGAAGAAGUAUCUAUGUCGUUGAGACCCAGCUCCUCGUUUUGCUCCCAUGACCUCUCGAACUCUUCAUCUGUAAUUCAGACAUAACAAAGCAUGUUAUUCAAAACACAUUUGAGUCCUGCCUUAAUUCACAUAUUGAGUCUUAUGCCAAUUUCAUAAUGCUGUUUAGAAAAUGUUCGAAUAUUUGUUUCAAUCUUGAGCUAAUCCAACUCAAGGGUGUAGUCAGGGAAACUUACAUGUGAGCUGAUGAUCAUCUUUGAUAUCAUCUGUAACUGGUGAAAUAAAGGAAUUUGCUAAUUCAUCAUCAAGAAUCAAAGUCCAUGGCUCUUCUAAGCUUAGGAGCUGCAAGGUAAGGAGAAAAACAUCUUUCACUAUACAAACCAAAUACGGCAAAGGUAAUAACUAACAGAAAUUCAAUAAAGAUGCUUACCUUAGUUAGCCUGGAGCCAAAUUCUCUCCACUUGUUCUUCUUACUCUCAUCUAGACUAUCACCAAAAGUGAAUCCGUGAACCCUCGCUAGGCCUGUGAAAACGCAUACCACACUUGGGUCAGUUGAUAAGAGCAAUAAUCCAUUUUUGGCAAUAACGAAUAUCAAAAUGCUUCCAUUAUUCAAACAAUGGAACAGAACAUAGAAUAUUUAAUUCCAGUACUUGGCAUACUGACAUAUGCUAUGGAUUAAUUUAACUGUUCUAAAAUACUUAGCCCACAUAAAAAUGAUGGGAGCAUGAUUCAUUUCAGACUUGACAUGGAUAAAUGGUAAUGUUGAAAGGUCAAUACUCACUUUCUCUGAUCUGUGUGACCAACCCUUCCACAGUUGUUACCAUUCCACCAAGUGUACCACCAGCUAGCUCCAGAUCAAGUUCUGGGAUUAUCACUCCUGCUGUGUCCGACUAUUAACACGUUAUAAACAAAUUUACCAUUAAUAACAUACUAUACUACAAGGUAUUGCUCCAAAAUAAUAAAACAUAAUAAAUUCAUUUCCUAGCCUAAGUAGUGGUUCACAAGGCUGUCUAAUAUAAUAUUUGACAUCAACUGUGUUAUAUAGCUAUACAAAAAGCUAAGAAAGAUCAAACAAGCAUGUUUUCAAAUAAGAUCUCGAAGGCUUGUGACUUAUCUGACACCUCCACAACCUCUUCCACGAUCUAAAUUUUUUUUUUUUGUGCCAGGAAAAUGAGGAUACUAUACACUUGAAGGGUAUAUACUUUUAACUGUAACGAGGCAUUCUUAACUACUCUAAGAUAUAUAGAAUGAUAUGGGAAGUCUCUCUUUAUCCGCCACUCCUCCAUCAUUUUCCACAGAGAUUACUAGUGCAAAACUACAGUACACAAACAACCUGAAGCGAAAAACUAACCUUGAUAACAUCUCGGCUUAGGUCAGUGAUGUCCUUCACAGAGAGAGUAAUUUUCUUUCCCUUCUCAGGAAUAGCACCACCAGGCUUCAACUGCUCACGAUCACCCCCAAAAAGUUAAUAACCUUCAAGACCAGACAAAAUCUCUAACAAGAUCAAACCAAAGGGCGCCUAACCUCAGAAUUGCGAUAGCCACAAUCCUCACAUGUGGAUGCCAUGACUAUAACCUCCUGAAAGUACGGGAUUUCUAUUUUCUGUCAAGUGAUAAACAAACAACAUCUACGAGUUUCACCGACAAAACAAACAUAUGGAAAACUUGUUGCAGAAAACCAAGGAAUGGAACUUUGAAAGGAUACUAGUCACGAACAUCCGUGUCUCACACUGCUUCAUACAUGCUCCGCAGGUUGAAGGGAAAGUCAUCACCUGUUAGAAUCAUUGCAACGUGAUGUAAAUAACACUAUCACAAAAACUCAUGUGAUCAUAAACUUAAAACAUUCAACAGAACUAAUUCAAAAAGUUACAAAAUCAGAAGUUACCUCUUCAGGCGCAGAGUAUCUAAACAAGUUAUCUGAAAUAUCAGUGCUGUUACUCUGAGCAAUAGCUCGAUGACCAGCUGUUGCUCCGAUUGUUCCAUGAGGUAUUGAAGCCGUUUCAGCAGAACGUGCGGUAAGGCUUCCUUCUGAUUGUCCAGCCUGCGAUGGGUCAGAAGAAUAUCCAAGUGUUGCUUGUUGCUCUAGUGUUCGCUUGUAGAACUUGAUGGUUAAAGAGGGAUCUGGUGAAGGAGCAUGUCUGUCAUGUUGCAACACUUGUCAUAAGCAAAUGAAAUAAACAUAACUUCUUCCAUAUUUAGGGUGUUUUCAUAUCCUUACGGGUUCUCAACGAAACUGUUUCCAGCAGGAUCGUCCAAAACGAAGGUGAAGGGUGUCUCUGCUUUAGCACAAGCUCUCAGUUUGGACAAGAAUUGGUCUAUUGCUUCAGCAGUUUUAGGAUCCACUUUCUGUGUCCAGCAAAAAAUAUAAUAUAGUUAAAGAUUCUUGACUGUAAAACAAUUAAACUGGACAUCAGACAUAAAUAAACAGCUCCCAGUUAGAAUACCUUGCGUUCUUCUUGAAGGGCACUGAGUUCAUCGGCAGCUCGUGCUAAUAUUCCUUCCACCUGUAAAAUAAACAACUUAUUGACAAUGAACUGGAAGAUUGGAAAACAAAAAUUCUCAAACAAAAUUUUUAAGUGAAAAGAGUUCUCGUAGCGAUCUUCCUAAUAUUUAGGUGACAAGUUGAUGGUUACAUCGCCACUAUAUGCACCACCAAUUUGUUUUAAGUUGUUCUAAGAAAUAAAUACUCCACAAAUUCAUAACAAGAUGGUUAAGAUUUAAAAGAACUUACAGUAGACAAACUUCCACGUUGGGCCUCUGGUGGAAUCUCAAAAUCCAGUUCAGGAAUCUGAACGCAUAUAUAUAUUCGCAAACUACUGUCAGUGCCAGUUUUCAUAAUAAGAGAAGCAAACUAAAUACACACAGUUUUUCAAAAAGAUUAGAGGAAGCGAUUUCUUGUCAAAGUUGCACAACCAGAGUAUUUUGAUUCCAAAAAGCAAUGAUAUACCGAGAAUUAGCAAAGACAAGUCACCUUAAUAGUGGCUGAUUCAGAUUUCACAACUUGCCGGUCAAAUAUCUGCAUUCCCACAAGGUAAAUUUAACUUAAGGAGCCAGAGACAACAACCAAAACUAGAUAUUCACGUUUCUUAUAAUUAGCAUGGAUUGCUAUAUUCUAGCACACCGCAAGUGCAUCAAUAAAUAACAAAAAGGACGAAAAUGGAUGAAAAGAAGAGAAAUGAAUCAAUGUACUAACCUUCACGUCGCCAGCUAGAACCUCUAGAUGGUAACAGCAACCUUUGGGUUGAAUCUCUCCCGCAAACUGAACCUCAUUAUUCCUACAUCGUAAAUAAGUUAUAAAGUUAAAGGCUUUAUCUUCUCAAUUCAAAAAAAAACAGAAAACUAUUUAGCAUUAGUUUUUUUUCCUCACAUAUCGAAUAGUAAAACGCAUCUCAAAAAAUCCUUAAAAAGUUGUACCUUUCUCCGCAAUGGGGACAUUCAAAUGCAGAUAUCAAGACCUGUAAGCAGAAGUAGCUUAGCAGUAAGUAUGGUCAGCAAACACACAAGGUAGAGAAAAGGUUUAAAUUGUAUACUAUUAGCGCUGGAGAAUGUAAAAAUACCUUUCUGAAGUGAGGAAUUAAGGUCAAUAGAAACCUCGAUGUUCCCUGGAAAAGAAACACGAAGCUAUUUUACACACACACACACACUAUUGGAAAACAAGCUGAAAAGGCUAAAGAGAUAGAGAGAGAGAGAUACAUUUUCACCGCAGCGCAUGCACAUGCUCUCAACAACAUAAAGGGGAGCACCGAAGGAGUGAUCGGCGGAAACAGCUUCAACCAACGAUCCAACAUCAAUGUCUUGGUCCUUUCCAUCCUCCAUUAUCUCUGAACUGAACUGAACUCUCUAGCUAAACAAUCACAAGAAAUCCAAAUUAGCCGCAAAGUCAGUGGCUUUCAGAAGACACAGUUUGUCUGGGAGAAGACAAGCUAAAAAGCAUGAAACUUUGUGCCCAUCAAGAUCAUGGGGAAGGUUCCAAAACAAUCAAAUACAAUACGAAUCUAUAAAGGGUCCCCACAAAAAUACAUUUUUGAAGAUGUAAAGCCAGGGAAUGCAAAGCAGAGGAGAUAAGACAGAAGAGAGCUAUGAGCAGACAGAGACGCGGAACACAGAGCUUUUUACCUGAACCAGGGGCGGGUCGGGGGAAAGAACAGAGACGCCGCCGUGAGAGAAAUUCAGAGAGACGGAAGAGUUUCGGAUGGAACUUUGGAGGGAAGGAGGAGGAAACUGCUCCCAAUUUAGGGUUCGUUGCUUUAUCUUUUACGUCGCCGUUUCAGAUGUUAACAAUCAUUUAAAACCACACUAGGUUUAUUUUUGAAUUAAAUAUAUUUUAUGUUUAAUAUGAAUUUCUACGUAAGAUAGUGUAUAGGUAAAAAACAAUGAUCCAAAACAGAAGAACCGAAAUCGAAACCAAAACCAAACUGGAUUCAUAAAUAACCGAAUAAAACAUGUAUAUUAGAAAAACCGACAAUGAAUCAAAACCAAACCAAACACGGCAAUUUUCGUUUCAAAUGAAUCAUAUAUCUAAGGAAUUCAUUUUUGAAGAUGAAGAAGAUGUAAAAAGCCAUAAAAUAUAAAACAGAGGAGAUAAGACAAUUUUAGAGAUAGAAAAAAACUUUGAGAAGAGACACGUAAUAAAGAAUUUCUUAUCAUUCCUUACAAUUUACAUCAUUUAUAAGGAAUAUUUGUUCCAGUGAUUCAUUUACAUUCUUUAACAUAGACUGCAAUUAUUACUUAUCAAAUUAGGAGAGGAAUAGUUUUUUCUUUUAUUUUAUUCUUUUUAUUUAUUUAUUUUAUUAUUUUUUCUAUUCUUUUAAUGGUUACGAGGUAGAGCUUUAGAGUUCGUUUCCUUUUUCUCUAACGACGUCGUUUUUGGUGUUUCCAAUCAUUUGAAAUGACUUAAAGAAGUUAUUCUCUUUAAACAAAAAAAAAAAAAAAGAAGUUAUUCUCUUUUUGGUGUGCAAUAUACCGGCUCGCUAGCCUAAUAUAAAAGUGGAGUCGAUCCCAAGUUUUUAGUUGGAGUGGACUAAAAACCCGACUCAACCAAAUUUGAACCGACCAAACCAAAGCAUAUGUUUAAAUCAUUUGGUUCAAAAUUUUAUCAAUUCAAAUGGUUCCGUUUUAAACCGAAUCGAACCAAAAACCGAAGUGUUUUUUAACUAGAUCAGUGAAAUAUACCAAUAAUAUUAAGAUUUUGAUAUAUUUAAUCAUUUAACCUAAACAACUAAAUGAAUAGAAUAAACACAAGUAAAAACAAAAUAAAAAAUAUGAAUCUCAUACGUUAACAUCAAAAUCGAAAAAUUACCUAUGAUAUUUAUACAAGGUUUGAAAAUAAUAACAUAAAGUAUCUGAUUACAUCUUCUAUAUUUUUAUUUUGAUAUUUGGUUUUACGUUUAAAUAUGGAUUACAUAAAGUAAUGAAAAUGCUUUUAUUCUUUUCUAAUAAGGAAGAUAAUCUUUAAUUUAUGAGAAUCUUUUACCAAAAUAUGUAAAUAAUCGUAUAAAAUGUGAAAAAUUAAACGUGAUUUUUUUAAUUACGCAAAAAUCCAAUUAAUAUUGGAGCGUUACGCGCAACCAAAACGACGCCGCAGGAACUCAACACAAAAGCCCUAAACCUCGCUUUCUGUAUUAUAAAUUGCCCCCAAAAACCUCCACCUCUCUUCAUCCUCUUUCACUGCAAUCUCUUCAUUCAAUCUCUCUUUCUCAAAUCAUCAACAAUGGAAUUCUGGGGUAUGAUUCUUCUUUCUAUCUACCUUUGUCUUUUUAAUUUACAACAUGUUUGUUGAAUCAUGUGUUUGUACUUAGCCUGCCUUAGCUUAUUUGGUCUAUUAAUUAGAUGUUAAUAACGAGUAGUGAUUGAUCUGUGUAACUGACUCAUGUUGAUUUUAUUUUAUUGAAUGUGAUUACUAGGAGUUGAAGUUCUGGCAGGGAAGUCAGUUAAAGUGAAGCCUGAUUUUGAAACUCUCAUCCACGUUUCCCAGGUUUGUUAUUACAUAUUCAGUUUCAUAAUCAGUUGUGCAGUUUCUUAAUUGUUUUUUUUUGUCUGUAUUGUAAUAGGCAUCACUUGACAAAGGGAAAAAGGGAGAAACUGCUUUGUUGUAUGUGACUGUUGAUAAGAAGAAACUUGUGUUGGGAACACUCUCUCAAGGCAACAUUCCUCAGACUAGCUUUGAUCUCGUCUUUGAGAAAGAGUUUGAGCUUUCACACUCUUUGGAGAGUGGAAGUGUCCACUUUGUUGGAUACAAAUCUCCCAACAUGAUGGAAGAAGAGGAGGACUUCUCUGAUUCAGAAGAGGAGGAGGAAGAAGAAGCUGCCGUUCCUGCAGCUGUUGCUGCCAAUGGUGGCUCCAAUGUUGUUGUCAAGGCUGACUCAAGACCAAAGGUCACGCUUCUGGAAGCGAAGCCUGAGUCUGACGAGGAGGAUGAUGAUGAGUCUGAUGAGGAGGAUGGUUCUGAAGAGGAUGGAUCAGACUCUGAGAAAGGAGUGAGUGGUUCUAUCUGUCUAUGACUUGUUUAUGUUGAGGAGAACUAGUUUGUUGAUAAUUCUAUAUGGUGAUGUUUUUUUUUGGUAGAUGGAUGUUGACGAGGAUGAUUCAGAGGAUGAGGAAGAAGAUGAUUCUGAGGAGGAAGAGACCCCUAAGAAGAAGCCUGAGGUGUCCAACAAAAAGAGGCCGAAUGAAUCUGCUUCCAAAACACCUAUCUCAGCGAAGAAAGCAAAACCAGCUACACCACACCCAGCUAAAAAGGGUGGAAAGAGUCCUAACCAGAGCCCCAAAUCUGGAGGUCAAUCAUCCGGUGCUGGUUCUAACAAGAAGUGAGUCUUUUCUUUCAUUCUUUGAGGUUAAUGAUGUGAUAAGCCAUUCUCUUUUUUUUUGGUUGAACCGUGUGAUGAUGAUAGUUUGAUGAAUGGUGUGCACAGGCAAUUCAACUCGGGCAAGCAGUUUGGUUCUAACAACAAGGGCAAGGGAAAAGGAAAGGGCAGAGCCUAAGUUUUGAAGUUGGGAGUUUUGGAUGGAAGAAACCUGUUUUUGUUUUUAUUUUUGUUUUGUCUUGAGAUUUUUAUCUUAAUUGCAAUUUUAUAAGUUAUAACUAUUGUGUAAUUUCAGUAUGAAAAAUGCUGGAUUGAGAAAAAAGUUUUGAAUCAUGAAUCUAUUUUACUAUCAUUUUAUUGAUUAACCACUACUCUUAAGCAUGCAAUUAGUUUCCUUCUAAUUUCAUAAUCUGAAUUUAGUAUUAUUUUUGAUCAAAGAUCUAACCAAAUCUCAACUUAAACAAUACUAUAUUUUUUUCCAAACCAGAGUAAAAUCUAAUCCUGGUUCCCUUCUUCACAUAACCAACAAACUGAAAUAUAAACAACUUCCAACAAAACUGAAACAAACCGAAAAAUUGAAAUCGCAAGUGUUACAAAAAGUUGUAGUAUCUCAUCAUAUUGUGACAAGUCUCUUUUAGCUCUUCAAGGUCAACAACAACUUCACAAGAAGGAGAGCAUCUCCUUAAUCUCAUUAGUUCCAUCAAAAUGUUUGACUCUUCGUUCAUUCUCCCACGACGCAAACACAUCUUUAACUUCUUGAGCACCGCCGAGUUCUCCAGGAAGUAAUUCACAAGUUCGAUUGCAGGCACAGCUCCUCUGAUCGGUGUUCUUAUCUCAACGCACUCCAGGGACGAUCUUAAACAUUCAGGAAUUGAAUAUGACGAGAGAACAAGUACUUCGUUCACCUUAAACUCCUCAAGUUCCUGUAUAUAAACAUUCAAGAAUUGUGUCAUGAUGAUGUGAAUAAAACUAUAUAAUAUAAAAGGUAAAGUUUCAUCACCAAGACAAGGGACUUGAGAUUUGGACAGCUCUCAAGAAUGUUUGGCAACUUUCCCAAGUCAGAGUUAUAAAAGACCGCAUGGAACCGGAUCAAGUAAGGAAACUGAGGAAGCGGUUCGUGUUUCAAGUAGAGAGAGAUGACCUGCAACACACACAAAGAUAACAUAACUUGUCAUUCAAGUAAACAUUCAAAAUGCUUAGCAAGUCCAUUCACACACACACACCUGUAAAGUUGUUCCACUUAGAGUCAUGUCCCUUACGGUAGAUAGCAUGGUGAUGAAUGUUCCCACUACACUUGUCUUUGAGGAGUCAAUCACAUCCGUGUCAAAGUCCAUAUCAAAACUGACAUUAACAUUUACCUUGGCAGAUAAACCUAGCUUGCUUAUCACGAAACUUGUCGACUGAUAAUCUUCAAGACUCAAAUAGGUAAGUCUAGGAGCAUCAAUCACAACAGCUUUUCCAGUGUCUUCAUCACUAUACUUAAACGAGUUACCGUCUAGAUCAACUACGAGACUCUUCAAUGACUUAGAAUCAACUCGUAAGACCUCAAGGUUGUAGUCUGUUUCUCCGUGUCUAACAACCGUUAAAUCUUCAAGAACCGGACAAGAUGAGAUCAGCUUCUCAAGAAAGGCAUCGUUAGGGUAAACGUUGUCUACUAAAUGCAUGAUCUUGACUCUUGAGACGAGGUAGAGAAACGUACUCGGAAGCAGCCAAUGACACGUUACAGAGUUUCAAGGAUACUAGAGUCACACAGGUGUAGAUGCUUAGUGGCAUCAUGUCCACAAUACGAGGAUGUAAGAGUAGUAUAUCUAGAUGUUGAACUUUAACUGCAUUGUUGAUCCACUGUGUGAUCAAGUAAGAUGGAUCAAGAUAACGACGACUCACGAACUCAAGGUUCCGUAACUCAUUAGAGAUAUCUCGAAUAGGUCUCCCAAAACGCAAAUCAAGUUUGAGCUUGUGUAAGCAUGAUGAGCCCUUAGAGAAAUAUAGAAACCUAGAGAUGAAGCUUGCAAAGGCAUAGAAGUUAGGGAAAUCAUGAGUGUGCAAAUCCAAGACAGGAGUCGAAAUCCAGAUAGUUCUCCAUCUGGUGGACAAAACACUAGUGACUACAGCCGUCUUUGUAGGAACAUCAGAGAGUAUCUGACACAGCAAGUGAUCGGGUAAUAAGCUUAUCCUGUCUUCUCUAGUUCUGCGACAUGUUACUCUUCUCUCGCUCAUUGUUUUGAGCCACUCAGACACAAGAUCUGCAUCAAAGUACGAAACUGAAACCUUAAAACAAAGGCUAUUUGAAUCUUCAGUUAAUACUUAAUAUGCGUAGGCAACAUCGUACCAGAUUAAAGUGAACAUGAAUCUAUUCGAAACUGUAGCAGAAAAAACAUCUGAGCUGGAGAAACUUAGAGAACAAGAAAUAUCGCUUAAUGGAUUUAGGGUUACUUGAUUUUCUGAAAUUAAUUAGAGAAGUGUAGAGUAAGAUUGUUGAACAAGAAAGGUCUUACCGCACUGGAGCUCUCUCGCUGCCUCUCAGAUUGACUAGUAGCUUCAGCAGAUUCGGUUCUAGGGUUUAAUUAAGGUUUCUAAAUAUUCUUUGGAUCCUAAGAAUUCUCUUUACAUUAAUAUACGUAAUCUUUUUUCGCGCGAGAUUGUUGGCUUGGAAUACUUCAAGAAUAUACGUAAUACAUUAAUUUUUAAAAUAAUAUUCUUUCGGUUUCGCAAAAAUAAAUUUAAAUAGGUAUAAAUUGUAUUGUUAUUCCAAAAUGAUAUUUUUUGUGUCACAAUACAAAAAUGAAACUCUUUUUAAAACAGAGAAAAUAUCAAAUGUGUAGGAAAAUCAAGAAUGUUAAACUUGCUAUUGGUGCAGAGAUACUUAAGAGAAGACAAAAAAAAAUACUGUGUAGUUAUAGAAUUCUCAAGCAUCAUCAAUAACUAAUGACCAAAACGUUCACAAAGACAUCACAUUAGAAGCUUUAACAACAAAAGAAAAAAACCAAAUCAAAAAUCCAAAAUGUAGAUCAGCUUGAAAAUGCUACUCUCUGAGUCUGAUCAUUUAAGUAGGAUUUGACACAUGCUAGAUGGCCUGCAGGGCAACGAAGGAGAUCCCUCAACAUGUAAAACCCUUCUUCUGUGAUGUGAAAUCCCCUUUUUUUUGCAUUGGAGCAUCUAAUAUCCAGAACAAGUUUUUUUAAGGACCAGUGAGUUCUCGACAAAGUACCUUGCUACUUCCAUUUUAGCAGGCCCUCCGUUGAAACGUUUUAUCUCUACAUACUCUAGUGGUGAUAGCAAACACCGAGGUAUCGAUGAAGAUUUUAUUUUCGCUGCUUUACCAUCCGGAUGAUAAAAAUCCGAUGUUAAACAACAUACCAAGAUAAAAGAAUAUAAAAAAAAUCAAAGUAUUUGAGUUGUGAAAGUCACUACUAGCACCAAGACGAGUGAGUUUAGAUUUGGACAGCUCUCAAGAAGAGUUGGCAGCAAUUCCAGACAUGACCUAUAAAAAGCUUCUUACUAAUACUCCAUUAGUCCAUUUGUUCCGUAUUAAUGUUAUUUUAGAUUUGUGCAAAUAGAUUAAGAAAAUAUUUAAUUUUGUAUAUUUUUUAUAUGAAAAUAUCAUUACCCUUUCACUCUACCGGAUCUCCCCCAGUACUACGCCACAGAAAGGAACGCAUGCAGCCUCAUCGGUCGCCUUCUCAACCCAGAAUUUCAGAGGAUGUCUCAUCUGAUCCUUGAAUUACCAAGAAGAUGGCAGAAGGCGAACACGGUCAGAGGUUUUGCCUUAACCAAAGAAAGGUUUCAAUUCGUGUUCAUGCAUGAACACGAUCUUAAUGAAAUCCUUGAUAAAGGCAUUCAGACUUUUGAUGACUGGGGUCUUGCUAUUGAGAGAUGGGUUGAACGGCCGUCGUCUGGUUUUCUUCAAUACGUCUCAAUCUGGGUUCGGAUCAGCAAUAUCCCUGUCAAUCACUACACCAAAAAAGCUAUCUCUGAUCUUGGAGAUCUUGUUGGUCAUGUAGAAGAAGUUGCUUUUGAUCCUGAUAAACCCCAAAGACAGAGUUAUGUGCGGGUUAAAAUUCGUUUUCAUGUCUCGAAGCCUUUAAAAAAGACAAGGAUUAUAAACCUUCCUGGUGGAGAUCAAACCACGAUCAACUAUUACUAUGAAAGGGUUCAGAUGCGAUGUCACCACUGUCAAAGAUUAACACAUGCAAAGCCAAGAUGCCCCUUUCUCAACAACUCUGAAGGAGCAAGUGAACGUAUCUCACCAUGCAUGUCUAUAUCUCAGACUCCUAAAACGUUUCAGGUCCUCUCUGAAACUGAUCCUCUCUUUGGAGUUUUAAAAGAGGAUCAAGUUGGAAUCAACCCCAUCUCUGGCCGGCCGCGAAUUGCUCCUGAGAUUCUGCAAGAAAUGCGUAAUUACUUGCUUGCCUCCAGUAAUGAAGAUCGUCAUGUCCGCGAGCAGAGGGUCAUUUCCUCAGUUAAAGAAGCUGAACAGAAUCCUAUCACACAGAGGUCUACCCUUCAGCUCCUUCCCCCUCCUGUCUUUACUAAAGAUCUUGAUAAGGGAAAAGGUUUAGUCUUUGGGUACGAUAAAGAAGACCUCACUUUGAAGUCUCUCUUCUCAAGCUCGCAACCUAAGCUUAUGGCUUCGGCAAUAGCAGCGGGGAGUUCUAUAAUAAACCCUACAACAAACGUCUUCUGUCGCUUGACUCUGCAAAAUCCUCAAGCCUCUAUGUUCCUACCGUCAAGCUCUCAGACACAACAGCCUAGCUCUCAGACACAACAGCCUAGCUCUCUGUUUCAACAGUCAAACUCUCCUCUAAUCUUCUCAGCUAAGGCGCCAAUCACUAAGGUUUAUAGUAAAAGGAAGCCCGGAAGAUAUAGAAAGGUUCAGAGAACUCAGAAAAAAUCUCAGGAAGUAUCAGAGGUCUCUGGUGACUUGGCACGACCAGAAGGAAACUCGCAGAAGAAGAGGAAGGCAGAAGGUGAUUUGGGAGGUGCAUCCAAAGCUGCUAAGAGCAAUGCAUCAUUGAUGGUCCCGCGUGAGGGACCGUCCAACGCCUAAGAUGAGUAUCAUCAGUUGGAACUGUCGGGGAGUGGGUCGUCCUCAGGAACUGACAGUCCAAAGACUCACGGAAUUGCGACGUACGCUUUUCCCUGAGAUCCUUUUUCUUAUGGAAACAAUGAACUCUCGGAAUACUCUAGUAGAUCUUCAAGUAUGGUUGGGUUAUGAUAGUCUGUACACUGUAGACCCUGUAAAUACUUCUGGUGGUCUUGCUCUUUUUUGGAAAAGCAGUGUAGAUGUAAAUAUCAUGUAUGCAGACAAGAAUAUUUUGGAUGUUCAAGUAUUAUAUGAAGAUAAGCAGUUCUAUUUGUCGUGUAUAUAUGGUAACCCUAUCAUUAGCCUCCGUCACAUUGUUUGGGAACGUCUAACCCGCUUUGGUAUUAACCGGAAGAGUAGCUGGUGUAUGGUCGGUGAUUUUAAUGAGAUCUUAAAUAACUCAGAAAAGAUUGGUGGCCCUAGAAGAAAUGACAACACGUUUUUGCCUUUUGCCUCUAUGUUGGAGGCUUGUGAUAUGACUGAACUGCCUAGCUCGGGGAACAGUUUCACAUGGGGAGGUGCAAGGGGAAACUUGUAUAUUCAUUCUAAGUUGGAUAGAGCUUUUGGUAACAAAGGAUGGUUUUCUCAAUUCCCUGCUGCAAAUCAACGGUUUCUUGCAAAGCGUGGAUCAGAUCAUCGUCCUGUGCUGAUAAAGCUAAUAUCCUCUCAAGACUCUUAUAAAGGAUCCUUUCGUUUUGAUAGAAGAAUGCUUCAUAAACCUUUAGUUAGAGAAGCUAUUUUGAAGGCAUGGAAUUCUCCCGGUUUCCAUAAUUUCCCUCCAGUGUCUUCUCGUCUCAGUCAAUGUAGGAAAGCGCUUAGUCAGUGGAAAAAGAAUUCCUCAGCAAACUCUCAUCUUCGGAUUAUCAAACUUCAAGAUGAUCUUGAGAAGGAGCAGUCUUCUUUAGUUCCUUCUACUCAAAAGAUUUUUGCACUCAAGAAAGAUCUUCUCUUGGCUUAUAGAGAUGAGGAAAACUUUUGGAAACAAAAAAGCAAAGAUGAUUGGAUUCUUCAUGGAGAUGGGAACUCUAAGGUCUUUCAUGCUGCUGUUAAAAUUUCAAGAGCUAAGAAUUCAAUCGCAAAGCUUUAUGAUAAAGAUGGCAGAGUUCAAAGGUCUGAGGCUUCUAAAGGUCAGGUUGCCAUUGACUACUUUAAGGAUCUUUUUAAAUCUUCUAACUCAGAAGAUUACAGGUCCUUGCUUAGAAACCUUCAGCCUAAGGUUACUGGAAGAAUGAAUCAUUUUCUUACUCAAAAAGUUUCUCCGGAUGAAGUUAAAGAAGCUGUUUUUUCUAUCAGACCUGAUAGUGCUCCUGGAGCGGAUGGGAUGUCUGGUUUCUUUUUUCAAUCAUACUGGGACAUCGUGGGUGAACAGAUCACUAAUGAAGUCCUGUUCUUUUUUGAAACUGGAGUGAUGCCUUCGGAAUGGAAUUAUACACAGAUUUGCUUAAUUCCUAAGAAGACUAAUGCCUCUCUCAUGUCUGAUCUUCGGCCUAUUAGUCUUUGCUCUGUUUUGUACAAAACAAUAUCUAAGAUUAUGGCAUCUCGGCUCAAGACUUGUCUACCUGAUAUUGUCUCGCCUACUCAAUCAGCUUUUGUCUCUGAUCGGCUUAUCUCUGACAACAUUAUCAUGGCGCAUGAAGCGAUCCAUAGCCUCCGCUCUCAUGACUAUAUCUCCAGGAAUUUCAUGGCGGCUAAGACAGAUAUGUCUAAAGCGUUUGAUAGAGUUGAAUGGAAUUACUUGGAAGCUCUUCUUUUAGCCUUGGGAUUUGAUGUUAAGUGGGUAUCUUGGAUUAUGUCUUGCGUUUCUACGGUUAAAUAUUCUGUGCUUGUAAAUGGUCAAUCAUAUGGUUUCAUCUCUCCAGAGCGUGGACUGCGUCAAGGUGAUCCGAUCUCUCCCUUCUUGUUCGUUCUCUGUGCUGAAGGUCUCUCUCAUAUGCUUAACCAAGCAUCGGAUAAUGGAUCUCUGCAAGGCAUUCAAUUCUCUGUUGAAGGGCCAGCUAUUCAUCAUUUGUUUUUUGCAGACGACAGUCUGUUUCUCUUCAAGGCUGACUUGCUUCAAUGUCGUGUCUUUCAAGAGAUCUUCAACAAAUAUGAAGUAGCUACAGGCCAGAUCAUAAACCUGGAAAAAUCCUCUCUUACUUUUGGAAAGAACAUAGAUAUUAAUUUGAAAGAGGAGAUACAAGUUCAGUUGGGGAUUUUCUCUGAAGGAGGUGCUGGUACAUACUUAGGCCUUCCUGAAUGUUUUAGUGGUUCUAAGGUUGAACUCCUCAAUUACAUUCAGGACAAGAUGAAGGGGAGGAUGUCUGGUUGGUACUCAAAAUUUCUUUCUCAGGCAGGGAAGGAAAUUAUAUUAAAAUCGGUAGCUUUAGCAAUGCCUAUUCAUGCAAUGAGUUGUUUUCGACUUCCUAAAACAACUUGCAGGAAUUUGACUGCGGCUAUGGCAACGUUUUGGUGGUGCUCUCAGGAAGAUAAAGGGAAAAUUCAUUGGCUUAGUUGGGAUAAGUUAUGUGUCCCUAAAGAUCGUGGAGGAAUGGGGUUUAAAGAUAUAGAAAUCUUUAAUCAAUCUCUUUUAGCCAAACAAGCUUGGAGAAUUCUCUCUUCUCCCUCUUCCCUUCUAGGCAGUUUUCUAAAGAGCAGAUAUUUUCCCAAUAAAUCCUUUUUAUCUGCUCCUUUAGGAUCUAGACCCUCUUAUGCUUGGAGAAGUAUUCUAUAUGGGAGAGAGCUUCUAGUUAAGGGGCUGAGACAUAUGGUGGGAGAUGGAUGUUCUUUAUCGGUUUGGUCCUCUCCAUGGUUGGUGGAUGGGGAUAGAAUGCGUAUACCGCUCAUGAAGAAUAUCCUCGUUGAUCUCAACCUCAGAGUAUGUGAUCUGUUACUGCCCAACUCUCAUAACUGGAACAUCUCAGCGCUGGAAGAUAACUUUUAUCCUCAAGAUAUAGAGAUCAUUCUCAAGAUCAAACCUGUUAUUUCAUCGCCAGAUUUUUACAUCUGGAAUCACUCUCGCUCAGGGGAUUAUACAGUUAGGUCUGGUUACUGGUUUGCUGAAAAGGAAGCAAACAAAGAAGCUUUUGUAUCAGGAAGUUUGCUACCAUCCUUGAAUGGUAUAAAGGAUCGUAUUUGGUCACUUGAUACUGCUCCUAAAAUCAAAAUCUUCUUGUGGAAAGUUAUCAGUGGAGCCUUACCAGUUUCAGACAAGCUUAUAGAGCGAGGCAUGAAGAUUGAUACUCGUUGUCAGAUAUGUGGAUUGGAGGGAGAAUCUAUAAAUCAUGUCCUCUUCACCUGCACCAUUGCAAGACAAACCUGGGCAAACAGCAACUUCCCUCAUCCUCUUCAUGGGUUUGAUCCUUCCUCUGUCUUUUCCAACAUCUUCUAUGUUUUAAAGACAAGGAUCAAUACACUUGUUCCAGAACAAAUAAGAAGAAAGGGUCCUUGGCUUAUCUGGUCUAUAUGGAAAAAUCGGAACUCCUUUCUUUUUGAAGGUAAGAUCGCUUUAGGCCCUUCUCUUAUUAGAUCGAUUGAUGAUGAAGUAGAUCACUGGUAUCUGAUCAAGAAUGCUGAUAAACAAGAAAAAGCUAUUGAUUUGGAAAGAAAAAAGAGGAUCAUAUUCGGAUGGAAACCUCCACCAAUCUCUUGGCUUAAGUGUGAUAUUGCUUCUGACUGGAACAAUAGUAAUCAUCAAAGUGGUGCUUCUUGGAUAUUGCGGAACAGUGAAGGCAAAGUGCUAAUGAAUGGUAGAAGAUCUUUUGUUGGAAUUUCGAGCAAACUUGAAGCUUCUUUCGAAAGUUGGAAUUGGGCAUUAGAAUGUAUGAAGACUCUACACUUCAAUGCUAUCAUUUUUGCUUCUGACGAUCAUGAUAUGAUUAGUGCAAUCAACAAACCCUCAGCUUGGCCUUCACUCAAGUUUUACUCCACCAAAUUAUCACUAUGGUUACGUAAUAUUGUGGACUGGAAAGCUCAAUUUCAUUCUCAAAAGGACAUCAAGGGAGCUAAACUCAUCGCUAGAAGUGUGAUCAAAGAGGAUCUGUUUCAAUCCUAUAUUGCUGUUGGCUAUCCUUCAUGGCUUAGUCAUCUGUUUAUCUAAGCUUUCUUUGAUUGAUUUAGAUCCUUCUUGCCUUUUGUAUUGGCCUUUGUAAAUGUUUUUAUUAUAAUAAAUUAUUAGUGUUAAAAAAAAAAAAAAAUCAUUACCCAUACACCUAACUGUAUUUCUACCAAUAGAAAAAUAAAUUAAAAAUAAAAUUAAUAAAUUCUGCAUUGAAAUGCUACAACAAAAUUAAUAUGAAACGGAAGGAUUAUUAUUUUUCAUCAAAGGCCUAACCAAAUCUCAACUGAAGCAAUUUUACAAUUUUCUAAACCAUAGUAAAAUCCAGUCCUGGUUCCUUCUUCCCAAAACCAACAACCUGAAAUAUAAUUAAACUUCAACCAAACCGAAUCAACCAAAAAAUCGACUGCUAUGACUCUUCACUGUCUACCAUAUUUGUAAAGCGAUUAAGCCUGCAUAUGCGGGCAAGACAUCAUAGUUAAUCAUUAUUAGUUGAUAAAAAUGCAUUAAAAAUACAAAACAUAUUAUUUUUAAACAAUUUUUUCUACUAAAUCAUGCAUUUUUAUGAAACAGAAUGAGUGAAUUUUAGUUAUAAUUUAUAAGUGCAUAAUUUUUUGUGAUUAUCUAUUUCUUAUAAAUCUAAACAAUUAAGAAUUCAAUAAAUGCAACUAAUUUUUUAAAGUUUCCAAUAAAACAUUAUCAGUUGAUAAACAUAUGCGGAAGAUACAAAAAUGUAUAUUGAAACUUUUUUUUCUAAACAUGCAUUUUUAUGAAACUGAAGGAAUAUCAAAUAUCUACAGUACUUAAAUUUGAUCUAUAAUAUGUGGAAAAUCAAAAAUGUUAAACUUGAUGAUGGUGCAGAGAUGACUUAAAAGAAGACAAACAAAGCCGUACGGUUAUAGAAUUCUCAAGCAUUAUCCAUAACUGGUGACUAAAAAGCUCACAAAGACUUCCUAAUAGAAACUUCAAUAACAAAAGAAAACCAAAACCAAAAAUCCAAAUGCAGUCUAACAAACCAGCUUGAAAAUCAUGCUACUCUUGAGUCGGAUCAUUUAAGUAGGAUUUGACACGUGCUAGAUGGCAUGGGCAACGCAAGGAGAUCCCUCAACAUGUAAAACCCUUCUUCUGUGAUGUGAAACCCCUUUUUUUGCGUUGGAGCAUCCAGUAUCCAGAAAACGUUUUGUAAGGACCCGUGAGUUCUCUACAAAGCACCUCCAUUUUAGCAGGCCCUCCGUUGAAACGUUUUAUCUCUACAUACUCUAGUGAUGACAGCACACACCGAUGUACGGAUGAAGGUUUUAUCUCCGCCGCUUUCUCAUCCCGAGAAUAAAAAUCCUAAAUAAAACACAACAUACCAAGGUGAAAUAAUGAAUGAAUAUAACGAAAACAGAUUCCUUUGAAGUCUUUGACUUGUGAAAGUCAAUACCAGCACCAAGACGAGUGAAUUUUGAUUUGGACAGCUCUCAAGAAGAGUUGGCAGCAAUUCCAGACAUGUCAUAAAAAGUUUGGUUACUGAAAUUAUUUUUCAUCAAAGACCUGACCAAAUCUCAAGCAAUUUUACAAUUUUCCAAAAAAUAGUAUAAUCCAGUCCUGGUUCCUUUUUCACAAAACCAACAAUCUGAAAUAUAAUUAAACUCCAACCAAACUGAAUCGAACCAAAAAAAUCGACUGCUAUGAGUCUUUACUGUGUCUACCAGGCAACUUCUACUUAAAGGUCUUUAAAAACACAACCAUUCAUCAAUUCAGAGAAAAAAUCCAAUCCUUGAAAAGUGUCUUCUAACUCUUCAACAACAACUUCACAAGAAGGAGAGCAUCUCCUCAAUCUCAAGAGUUGCAUGCAAAUGUUUGACUCGUUGUUCAUUAUCCCGCGACGCAAACGCAUCUUAAUCUUCUUGAGCACUGCCGAAUUCUCCAGGAAGUACUUCACUAGUUCGAUUUCAGCUACAGCUCCUCUUAUCGGUGUUCUUAUCUCAACGCACUCCAGUGAUAAUCUUAAACAUUCCGGAGCUGAUGAUGAGAAAAUAAGUAGUUCCUCCUUCCUAAAAUUAUUCAACUCCUACAUAUAAAAUCAUUCAAGCAAUAUAGAUGAACUAAAACAUCAGUUUUAUAUUUUAUCAUAUAAUGAUGUAAAUAAAAACCAUAUAAUAUGAAGGUAAAGUUUCAUCACCAAGACAAGGGAUUUGAGAUUUGGACAGCUCUCAAGAAUGUUCGGCAAAUUUCCCAAAUCAGAGUUAGACAAGACCGCAUGUAAUCUGAUCAAGUAAGGAAACUGAGGCAGUGGUUCAUGUUUCAAGUAAAGACAUAUGCACUGCAAACACAUUAAAAAAACUUUCAUUCAAAAUGCUCAAUUAAUCAAUCCAUUGACACAUAUAUAAUAUAUACCUCUAAAGUUGUUAGACUUAUAGUCAUGUCCCUUACGCUCGAGAGCAUGCUGAAGAAACUUCUCACUGCACUUCUCUUUGAGGAGUCAAUUAAAGUUGUUUGACCACUUAUUUCCACAUCAAAACUGACAUCAAUGUCUACCUUGGCAGAUGAACUCAAACUGCUUAUUACAUAACUUGUGAACUUGUUAUCUUUAAGACUCAAAUAGUUGAGUCCAGGAGCAUCAAUCACAGCAACCCUACAAGCUUUGUACCACCAUUUCCUACCACUAAGAACAACUACGAGACUCUUUAAUGACUGAGAACGCACUCGUAAAACCUCAAAGUUGUACACUGUAUCUCCUUUUCUAACAACUGUUAAAUCUUCAAGAACCGGGCAAGAUGAGACAAGAUUCUCAAGAAGAGCAUCACUAGCGUAUAUGUUGUCUACUAAAUGCAUGGUAUUGAGAAGAGGUAGAGAAACGUACUGGGAAUCAGCCAAUGGCACGUUUUGGAGUUUCAAGGAUACUAGAGUCUCACACGUGUAGAUGCUUAGUGGCAUCAUCUCCACAAUCCAAGGAUAUGAGAUAUCUAGAUGUUGAACUUUACGUGUAACUGCUUUGUUGAUCCAAUCUGUUAUCAAGUAAUAGGGAUCAAGAUAACCUCUCACAAAAGCAAGGUCCCAUGAUGACUCUAUAAAGAUCUCUUGAAUAGGUCUUUUAGAGACCAAAUCAAGUUUGAGCUUGUGUAAGCAUGAUGAGCCCUUAGAGAAAUCUAGAAACCAAGAGAUGAAGCUUGCAAAGGCAGUGAAGUUAGGGAAAUCAUCAGUGUGCAAAUCCAAGACAGGAGUCGAAAGCCAGAUAGUUCUCCAUCUGGUGGACAAAACGCUAGUCACUACAGCCGUCUUUGUAGGAACAUCAGAGAGUAUCUGACACAGCAAGUGAUCAGGUAAUAAGCUUAUCAUGUCUUCUCCAGUCCUGCGACGACAUGCUACUCCUCUCUCGCUCAUUGUUUUCUUUCAGGUUCAGACACAAGACCUGCACCACAGUACGAAACUGAAAGGGCUUAACACAAAAGCUAUUUGAAUCUUUAGUUAAUAUGCAUAGGCAACAUCGCACUAGAGUAAAAUGAACAUGAAUACAUUCAAAAGUAGAGGAGUGAAGAAAUCAAAGCACGAGAAACUUAGAGAAAAAGCAAUAUUGCUUAAUGGAUUAGGGUUAUGUAGAGAAGUGUAGAGUAAGAUUGUUGAGCAAGAAAGGUAGGUCUAACCGCACUGGUGCUCUCUCGUUGCCUCUCAGAUUCACUAGUGGCUUCGGCAGAUUCGUCUUCUCUAGGGUUUGGAUUACUAAAUAUUGUUUGGUUCUGUUGAAAUCUUUACAUUUAUAUACGAGAUCUGUUUUCGCGCGAUAUUUUUGGCAUAGAUAACAUCAAGAAUAUAUUAAAUGCUCAAAAAUACAGUACUUAAUUUAAUUCUAUAAAUAAUACUUCCCUCUAUUUCAAAAUAAUAUAUAUCUUUUACAGUUUUCACAUAUAUUAACAAAACAUAUUACUCUCCUUCUGUUUCAACUUUCAAAAUAAUAUAUUACCCGUAGGUUCACCAACCAAUAGGAUUGUAUCAUUUUAGUUACAGUAUUUUUUAAAAAAAGAAACAAAAUAUUAUCGAAUUAUAUUAUAUUCUUAAAAUAAAAAUUGUAUUAAUCACAAAAAGAAGAUUUUUUAAUCGCAAAAACAAAAAAAAGAAUUUGUUUUUCAAAAUAUUGAAAUGCUAUCCAAAAAAUUGAAAUGCUAUGAGCCUAACUGUCUACUAGACAAUUACUACUUAGGAUGUUGAAAAAUACAAACAUCACCAAUUCUCAAACCAGAGUUAAAAUCCAAUUCUUGUUCUUAAAGUUGAAACUGCAAGUGUUACAAAAGUUAUAGUAUGUCAUCAUAGUUUGAGAGAAGUCUCUUCUAACUCUUGAAGUUGAGCAACAACUUCACAAGAAGUAGAGCAUCUCCUUAAUCUCAAGAGUUGCAUCAAGAUGAUUGACUCUUCGUUCAUUCUCCAACAACGCAAACACAUCUUCAACUUCUUGAGCACUGCCGAAUUCUCCAGGAAGUACUUCACUAGUUCGAUUUCAGCUACAUCUCCUCUUAUCGGUGUUUUUAUCUCAACGUACUCCAGGGACGAUCUUAAACAUUUUGGAACUGAUGCUAGAAUAAGUAGUUCCUCCUCCUUAAGAUUACUCAACUCCUGCAUAUAAAAUCAUCCAAUAAAUAUAGAUGAAUUUUAACAUCAGUUUUUAUAUGAUCAUGAUGAUACGAAUAUAUAAAACCAUAUAUAAUAUACAGGUAAAAGUUUCAUCACCAAGACAAGGGAUUUGAGAUUUUGACAGCUCUCAAGAAUGUUUGCCAAAUUUCCCAAAUCAGAGUUAUACAAGACCGCAUCUAAUCUGAUCAAGUGAGGAAACUGAGGCAGUUGUUCAUGUUUCAAGUAGACACAUAUGCCCUGCAAAACACGUUAAAAACUUUUCAUUCAAAAUGCUCAAUUAAUCAAUCCAUUGACACACAUAUGAAAAUAUUUGUAUACCUCUAAAGUUGUUUGACUUAUAGUCAUGUCCCUUACGUUCGAGAGCAUGGUGAAGAAACGUCUCACUACACGUCUCUUUGAGGAGUCAAUUACAUUUAGGUCAAUGUCCACAUCAAAACUGACAUCAGUGUCUACCUUGGUGGAUGAACUCAAAUUGCUUAUUACAUAACUUGUGAACUGGUUAUCAAUCACAACAACCCUACAAUCUCUGUACCAACACUUUCUACCAUCGUGAUCAACUACGAGACUCUUUAACGACUGAGAACGCACACGUAGAACCUCAAGGUAGUCCUCUGUAUAUUUGUUUCUAACAACGGUUAAAUCUUCAAGAACCGGACAAGAUGAGAUAAGCUUCUCAAGAAAGGCAUCAUUAGCGUAAGCAUUGUCUACUAAAUGCAUGAUCUUGAGACGAGGUAGAGAGACAUACUCAGAAUCAGCCAAUGAGACAUUAGAGAGUUUCAAGGAAACAAGAGUGACGCAUGGUGUAGAUGCUUAGUGGCAUCAUCUCCACAAUCCAAGGAUAUAAGAUAUCUAGAUGUUGAACUUUACGUGUAACUGCCUUGUUGAUCCACUUUGUUAUCAAGUAAUAGGGUGAUAGAUAACCACUCAAAAAAGCAAGGUUCCAUGAUUCACUAGAGAUAUCUUGAAAGCGCAAAGCAAGUUUGAGCUUGUGUAAGCAUGAUGAGCCCGUAGAUAAAUCUAGAUACCUAGAGAUGAAGAUCACGAAGGCAGUGAAGUUAGGGAAAUCAUCAGUGUGCAAAUCCAAGAGAGGUAUCGAAAGCCAGAUAGUUCUCCAUCUAGUGGACAAAACACUAGUCAUAACAGCUGUCUUUGUAUGAACAUUAUAGAGUAUCUGACACAGCAAGUGAUCAGGUAAGAAGCUUAUUCUGUCUUCUUCGGUUCUGCAACCCGAUGUUCCUCUUUUGCUCAUUGUUUUGCUUCACGUUCAGACACAAGAUCUGCAUCACAGUACAAAACUGAAAGAACUUAACACAAAAGUUAUUUGAAUCUUUAGUUAAUACACAUUACAGAAGAAUAUAUAUGUGCAACAUCGCACUAGAGUAAAAUGAACAUGAAUACAUUCCAAAGUAGAGGAAAUAAGAAAUCAAAGCAGGAGAAACUUAGAGAACAAACAAUAUUUUAAUGGAUUAGGUUUUCGAAUUUAUAUAGAAAAGUGUAUAGUAAGAUUGUUGAAGAAGAAAGGUGUAACCACACCGGAGCUCUCUCUUUGCCUCUCAGAUUCACUAGUGGCUUCGGUAGAUUUGUUUUUUCGGGUCUAGGGUUUCUAAAUAUUGUUUGGUUCCGAAGAAUUCUCUUUACAUUAUUAAUUUGAUUUUUAAUAUGAAAAAAAAGGUUAUUAAACUUGCUGAUGGUGCAGAGAUGGCUUGAGAGAAGACAAACAAAAGCUGUGUAGUUAUAGAGUUCUCAAGCAUCAUCCAUAACUAGUGACCAAAAAUCCCAUAAAGCCAUCAUAAUAGAAACUUCAACAACAAAAGAUAUACAAAACCAUUGGAUUACAAAACCAAGAAUCCAAGUGCAGUUCUAACAAACCAGCUUGAGAAUGUUAACUCUAGAGUCUUAAUCAUUUAAGUAUGAUCUGACACGCGCUUGAUGGCCUGGGCAACGCAAGGAGAUCCCUGAACAUGGAAAACCCCUGUUCUGUGAUGUAAAACCCUUUUUCCAUGGUGGAGCAUCCAAUAUCCAGAACAAGCUUUUUAAGCACCAUUGAGUUCUCCACAAAGUACCUUGCUACUUCCAUUCUAGCAGCCUCUCCGUUGAAACGUUUUAUCUCUACAUGCUCUAGUGAUGACUGCAGACACCGAGGUACUGAUGAAGCUCUUAUCUUCCGUGCUUUCCCAUUCGAUUUAUAAAAAUCCUAUAAAAACAAACACAGAUGAAUGAAUAAAAAAAAGAAAACAAAUGUAUUUUUGAGUUGUGAAAGUCAUUACCAGCACCAAGACGAGUGAGUUUAGAUUCGGACAUCUCUCAAGAAGGGUUGGCAGCAUUUUCAGACAUGACUUAGGAACCUUCAGUUUUAAACGAGAAAGGUUGCAAAACUGAGGGAGUAGCAUUGGGUCGAACUCAUUGUUGUAAUGUAGAAACUGCUCACCAAAAAAACAGAAACAAGAGUGAGCUAAAACUUCAUGAAGGUUCACUAGAUGCAAAGAGAGCUAUAUACCUCCACAAUAUGAGCAGAGAGCUUCAUAUCAGUAACACCUGAGAUGCUAGUAAAGAAGUUACGGAUCAUAUCUCGCUUUGGUAAGUCUAUUACAUCAGCAGUAUCAUCAUUCUCACCGAAGACGUAAACAAUGUUGACAUUGGUUAACGACCCUGAAUUGGUGAUGACUUUACUAUCAGACAAAUCAUCUUCAAAUUUCAAGUACUCGAGUCUCGGAGCAUCAAUGAAAACCCCUGUGCCAUCUCUCCCAAACCCCUUAUCGUCAAAGUCAUCGUCUUCGCCAAACAAAUAGUCUAUAUGAAGACUAGUCAACGACUUCGAGCACACUCGUAAAAACUUUAUGUUGUCUGGUACCAUUCUAGCAAUGCUCAGAUCCUCAAGAACGGGACAAGACGAGAUAAACGACUCUAGUGUCACAUCAUUGGCGUAUACAUUGUGUUCUAACACCAAUGUCUUGAGACAAGGUAAAGACACAGAGUCAACAAAUUCACCUAAAGAGACACGAUGGAGUCUUAGGUAUACUAGCGUGUGGCAUACGUAAAGGCUUCGGGGGAUCGCUUCUAGAAGCUUACGGUUCACAAGACAUUCAACAUCGAGAUGAUUAAGUUUAGACGAAGACACAGAGUCUAACCACCGCGUGACGCAUGGAGGAUCGUUCACGUUCUUCUUAACACUCAGCUUCAGCUUGUGCAAGAUCGAGUUUUGUUCUUUAGAGAAAGCUAGAAACUUAUCGAUGAAACUAACGAAGGAGUUGUGAUUUGGGAACUCGUUAGCGUUCAGAACCAAGGAGGGGAUCAAAAGGUAGAGACUUUUCCACCGUUUGGAGAGAACGCUGGUUCGGACAGCUUCCUUCGUUGUCGGGAGAUGGGAGAGUAUCUGAGAAAGCAGAGAAUCGGGUAACUUGCUGAUCGCGUCUUCUCUACGUCUUGAGUAACGUUUUGUGAAAAAGUAAUCUUCAGGCCAUGUGUGGUCGCAGAAUAGUUCCUCUUCCGAAAAGAAAUCUUCCAUUGGGAUUCGGUUGCGAAACUGAACCGGAAGAUUCGAUUCACUGAGUCAACCUAUGUGUGCUGACGCAAUCACCACCCGAUUGCGAAAUGACCUGAGGGUUUUUAUUAUUUUCCGGAAGAGACGAAGAGGUGUAGUGGUCGCAGUCAUCGGGUUUUAGAUGGGCCUGGCCUGGCCCAAACAUGUUUUUUUAUUGGGUUGUUAAAACAAUUUAAUUUUUCUUUCUUUUUUUCUUAUUUCAAUCAUUGAGAAAAUUUAGAUUAUUUGUAAAAAAAUGUACAAAUUUGUGUAAAAGACUCUCGAUAAUAUUAAUAUUUGAAACUGAAUAGUAUAAUCACUAGUUUUUUACUUCAAAACUAGGUGUUUUGCCCGCGAUGCGGGCUUAAACAUUUUCAUAAAUUUUUGAAAAGUUCUUUUUAUACUAUACUAGUUAUAUUGUGUUUUCCAAAAAAAAUUCUUGCGAUCAAUUUAGUAUCAUCUAUGCAUUGUCUACUCUCGAAUAUAUAAAUAUAUAUAAUUCUAAACAGUUAAAUAUUAAAAUAUUUUAGUGGUAUAAUUUAAACUUGGGUCUCUAGUCAAAAAACAAAAUUUGUUUCCAAUUUAUGUAAAGAAUAUAUUUUUUUUGAAUGAGCAAAGAUUUAAAGAUGGUUAUUGGCAAAUAAAUGUUUGAGAACUUUAAUUUUUUUUUUGAGAUUCUACUGCUAUAAUAGUUUAUAGGUUUUUGAAAUAUUACUAAUUAAUUGUUAUUGAUUCGAAGAUUUUUAAAUUUCAUCAAAAUUCUUUAUUUAUUUAUGAUAAUAGUUUUUCAUUCUAUUUUAACAAAAUUUAACGUUAUUAAAAUAUAAUUUACCUUUUUUAUUCAUAAGAUACGACUUUUAAAAUAUUUUGGCAAUUAAAAUAAUAGAUGUAAGAUUUAAAACCCGCUAUGUAAUUUGUUAUUUGAAUAUCACAACAACAAACUACAUAGCUGUAGAGUUUAGGUUUUUUUAGCUUUAAGUUUUGAGAUUAUUUUUUAGUGUUUAGAAUUAGUAGAGUUGUAGGUUUAGGUAAGGUUUUAGGGUUAGGUUUAGGUAGGGUUUUAGGGUUAGGUUUAGGCAGGGUUUAGGGUUGUCAGGGUUUAGGGUUAGGUAGGGUUUAUGGUUAGGUAGGGUUUUUAGGGUUUAGGGUUAGGAAGGGUUUAGGGUUAGGUAGGGUUUAGGGUAUGUAGGGUUUAGGGUUUGUAGGAUUUAGGGUUAGGUAGGGUUUAGAAUUAGGUAGGGUUUUGGGUUAAUUAAGGUUUAGGGUUAGUAGGGUUUAGGGUUAGGUAGGGUUUAGCAGGUAGGGUUUAGGGUUAGUAGGGUUUAGGGUUAGGUAGGGUUUAGCAGGUAGGGUUUAGGGUUAUGUAGGGUUAGGGUUAUGUAGGCUAGAAAGGGUUUAGGGUUAGAAAGGGUUUAGGGUUAGGUAAGGUUUAAAAUUAGGUAGGGUUUAGGAUUAUGUAGGGUUUAGGGUUACGUAGGGUUUAGGGUUAGAAAGGGUUUAGGGUUUAAGGUUAGGUAGGGUUUAGGGUUAGGUAGGGUUUAGGACUAUUUCGGGUUUAGGGUUAAAAAGGUUUUAGGUUAGGUAGAGUUUAGGUUAAGAAGGGUUAGUAGGGUUUAGGGUUAUGUAGGGUUAGGUCGGGUUUAGGGUUAGUAGGGUUAGGUAGGGUUUAGGGUUAGGGUUAGUUAGGGUUUAGGGUUAGAAAGGUUUUAGAGUUAGGUAGGGUUUAGGUUAGGUAGGUUUUAGGGUUAGUAGGGAUUAGGGUUAUGUUGGGUUUAGAAUUAGGUAGGGUUUAGGGUUUGCAGGUUAGUAGGGUUUAAGGUUAUGUAGGGUUAGGGUUAGGUAGGGUUUUGAAUUAGGCAGGAUUUAGGUUUAGCAGGGUUUAGGGUUACAAAGGGUUUAAGGUUAGUAGGAUUUAGGGCUAGAAAGGGUUUAGGGUUAGAAAGGGUUUAGGGUUAGAAAAGGUUUAGGGUUAGGUAGGGUUUAGAGUUCGGCAGGGUUUAGGGUUAGGUAGGGUUUAGGAUUAGAAAGGGUUUAGGGUAGGUAGGGUUUAGGGUAAGGUAGGGUUUAGGGUUAGGUAGGGUUUAGGGUUAGUAGGGUUUAGGGUAACCCUUAACCCUACCGAACCCUAACCUUAAACCCUACCUAACCCUAACCCUAAACCCUAUCUAACCCUAAACCCUACUAACCCUAAACCCUACUAACCCUAAACCCUACCUAACCAAACCCUACAUAACCCUAAACCCUACUAACCUUUCCUAACCUAAACCCUAUCUAACCAAAAACCUUUCUAACACUAAACCCUUUCUAGCCCUAAACCCUAGGUUUUAGGUAGGGUUUUAGGGUUAGGUAGGGUUUAGGGUUAGGUAGGGUUUAAGGUUAAAUAGGGUUUAGGGUUAGGUAGGGUUUACGUUUAGGUUAGGUUUAGUGUUUAGGUAGUAGGAAGGGUUUAGGGAUUAGGGUUAGGUUUAUGUAGGGUUUAGGGUUAGAUAGUGUUAAGUUCUAGGUUUAGGUAGGGUUUAGGGUUAGGUAGGAUUUAGGGUUUAGGUAGUAAGAAAGGUUUAGCGUUUGGUUUAGGUUGGAUUUAGGUUUGGUUUAAAAUAAUGCAUAGGAUUAUAGAGUUUAGGGUUUGUUUGUCUUUUUGUUUAUACAUUUAUUGUUGAAGUUUUUGGAUAAAAUUUUAUAUUAAUAUUAUUGAUUCAUAAUUUUUUUUAUAAUAUUAAACUUUUUAACACGAUUUUCAAUGUUCUUAAAACAAUAUGUGUUUUUUUGAAAAUGUUAAACUUGUUAACACGGUUUUCAAUGUUCUUAAAACAAUAUGUGUUUUUUUCAAAAUGUUAAACUUUUUAACGCGGUUUUUAAUUAUAUAGUUAAUAAUUUUAUUUAAUUAAUAUUUAGUUAUAGAAUUUAUGUUUUUAUCUUUUUACUUAAAGACUUUUUCAGAUAGCAAUACAAUGUAUACAGAAGUUAUCUAUUUUUUAAUUAUAUUUUCAAAUUUUGGAUAAUUCUUACUAUUCUUAAUAUUAAUCAAUUAUCUAAUCAAAAUCAAUUAAAAUUUUGUUUUUGUUUUUUAAUUUAUUUAUACAUUUUAUUCAUUAAGAGUUAAACGAUAUUAAUCACUCUAACUUUCAACGUGAGAGCUCCAUUGUGAAAAUUUACUUCGCAAAUAAUAGUUUUUAAUUAUAUUUAAAAAAAUUGUUUGAUUGAUAUUUAAUCAUAUAAUUUAUGUUUUUAACUUUUAACGUUUUACUAAAAUAAUUUUUCAGAUAACAAUACAAUAUAUAUAGAAAUUAUCUUUUUAAUUAUAUUUUUAGAUUUUAGAUAAUUCAAUAUUCUAUUUUUAAUUAUAUAAUUAAUAAUUUUAUCUAGUUAAUAUUUAGUUAUAGAAUUUAUGUUUUUAACUUUUUACUUAAAGUUUUUUUAAGAUAACAAUACAAUAUAUACAGAAGUUAUCUUUUUUUAAAAAUUAUAUUUUCAAAUUGUGGAUAAUUCUUACUAUUCUUAAUAUUAAUCAAUUAUCUAAUCAAAAUCAAUUAAAUUUCGUUUUUAUUUUUUAAUUUAUUUAUAUAUUUUAUUCAUUAAGGGUAUAAACGAUAUUAACCGCUCUAAUUUUCAACGUGAGAACUCUGUUGCAAAAAUUUACUUCGCAAAUAAUAGUAUAUAUUUUAAAUUGUUAUUUCCAAUAACUGUUUUUAGAGAUCUUGAUGCCUAUACCUGUUUUUCACAAGUGCAUAUUUGUACAGGACUAAACAACAUUCACUACAAAAAAAGAUGUGAAUUGUAUCACUUAAAUUGUAUCACAAAAUUAAAUGAUACAGUUUUCAAUCAUUUAUUUGUAAAUGAUACAAAAUAUAGAUAAUUUAGUAUCAGUUAUAACAACUGAUGUCAUUUUUAACAAAUUUAACAUCACUUUGACUAACUGAUAUAAUUCAUCUUGAUUAGCGUCACUUUAAUAAAACUGAUGCUAAAUUAUUAAGUUAUAUCAUUUAUAUAAAUGAUGUAAAUUUAUUCUGGAUUAAAAUCAUUUAUGCAAAUGUUACAAAUUUUACAUCAAUUAAAAAGUGAUUCUAAUUAUAUAUAUAUUUUCGAAAAAAUAAUUAUUAGUAUUAACUUCAAUUAUAAGAAAAUGAUGUAACUAUCUCUUUCUUUUACAUCAAUUAAAUAUAAAUGAUACUAUUUUAUCCUAAUUUGUAUCAGUUAAAAUAUUUGAUAUUAAAAAACUAAUUUUCAUCACAUAUUUAAAUAUGGAUAUAUAUAUAACUUUUUAUCAUAAUUAUAUUUUAUGUUGAUAUACUUUGAUAAAUAUUUUAUAGUAGAAAGAUAAUAAGAGAUUUAAGUUGAUAUUUAUCUUUAAGAAAGUAUAGAAUAUACAACAAAAAAAAAAUUUGGCGUUCUCUCCUAAUCAGAAAAAGUUUGCUUCGUUACGUUAACGUCAUUCACGAUCACAGCAUCAUCACCUUCCAUUAGCUUUUGAAAAAAAGUUUGAAUAACAAAAGAAAGUAAGUUUCUUGUAAAUUUAAUCAAUCCUAUUUUUUUUUUCCUCUUAACAAUUAAAAGAGUCUUAAUAUAUAUCUCUUUCUCUGGCAAAGAUUGUUUUGUCUUUUGGUUUCAAAACUCAAUAGUGAGCAUCUCAGAAAAUCAGACGUUGCAUACAAUUGAGGUAAUUUAUUUAUACUGUUCUCCCAUUACUUACUGAUAUGAAGUUUGUUGGGUUUUGAAGUUCAAUUGUUUGUUGUGAAUUUCUAAAAGUCUACUAAUUGUGAAAGUCUGUUUUUUUCAGGUUCUAAUGGAUAAAUCAUGGAUAAACAAAUCACGUUUAUCGCAAGAUUACAGAUUAGGAGUGAAAAAUUUCUUGGAUUUUGCAUUUGGUAAAUCUAAUGCACCCAUGGUAAAAUGUCCAUGUACUCGUUGUUCUCUAGCCAAAUCUAAGACAAGGGAAGAUAUCGAAGGUGAUUUGAUUUGUCAUGGCUUUUUAAGUUCUUACACGAGUUGGAUAGUACACGGAGAAGAUAUGUGUGUCACGGAAAAUGCAAGAGUACCUUCUGAUAGUGCUCAUGUUGAACUAGAUUCAACUUUCAACCUCUUGGAUGAUAUUUUUCCAGAUAUUAGUGCAAAUAUGAAUGAGGAACAUGAAGAAGGGUCUCCUGGGCAACCUAUGGACACUGAUAGACCAUCAGCUUCAAGUGGAAAUUCUAAAAAAGGAGAAGGUUUUGAUGAGAUGUUUGCUGACUACAAUCAAGAGCUAUAUCCUGGAUGCGAUAAAUUCACGAAGUUGUCCUUUAUUCUGAAGUUAUACCAUAUAAAAUGUAUGUGUGGCAUUAGUGACAAGGGGAUAUCCAUGGUGCUUGAUUUGAUGAAAGAAGCAUUUUCACAUGCCAAAUUGCCAGAUUCAUUUAAUGACAUGAAAAAGGUUAUUCGCAAAUUAGGAAUGACUUAUGAGUCAAUUCAUGCAUGUCCAAACGAUUGUAUGUUAUAUUGGGAAGCUGAUGCAGAAAGGGAAGUUUGUAAAGUCUGUGAGGCCUCUCGUUGGAAAGAUACAAAGAGCACAGAAGUAUCUGGAUCAGGAAAAAAAAAGAAGAGAUCUCCUGCAAAAAUUUUGCGUUACUUUCCCCUGAAGCCACGGUUACAGCGUUUAUUUAUGUCAUCAAAAACUGCUGCCCACAUGAGAUGGCAUGGAUCUGCUACUAACAAUGAUGGUAAACUACGACAUCCAAGAGACGGAAGGGCUUGGAAGGAGUUUGAUAAGAAAUAUCCUGACUUUGCAUCUGAUCCAAGAAAUGUCAGACUAGGGUUGGCGACUGAUGGUUUUAACCCAUUUGGUACAAUGAGUAGUAGUUAUAGCAUCUGGCCAGUGAUAUUAUUUCCUUAUAACUUUCCACCGUGGAUGUCAAUGAAGCAGACGUCAAUGAUUCUCUCGAUGGUUAUCCCCGGAAAACACAUGCCUGGUAAUGAUAUUGAUGUUUACUUGCAGCCACUUAUCAAAGAUCUGAAGGAGCUAUGGUAUGAUGGUAUUAAAACGCUAGAUGCUUCCACAAAACAAACAUUUGACAUGCGAGCAGCCAUCAUGUGGACAGUAAGCGAUUUUCCGGGUUUAGGAAAUUUGUCGGGUUGGAAUACGUAUACAGCAUCAGCUUGCCCAACCUGUAACUUUGAUGGAAUCGGACAACGUUUACGACAUGGAAAAAAAAAUUGUUUUAUUGGUCAUCGUCGUUUUCUUCCUCUAGAUCAUGGCUUUCGGCAGAAUCGAACAGAUUUUGAUGGAAAAUUAGAAACCAGAUCUCCACCAGCCAAAUUGACAGGUUCCACAAUUAUUCAUCAAUUAGAGCAAGUUAAUGUUACUCUUGGUAAAAAAGAUAAGUCUGUGGUAGUUGGAAGAAAGAGAGACAGAAGUGAUGCCGGAGGAUCUAGUACUCAGCAGUGGAAGAAAAAAAGCAUAUUUUUUGAGCUGCCUUAUUGGGAAUUUACAAUGUUGCGACAUAACUUGGAUGUCAUGCAUAUAGAGAAGAAUGUGUUUGAUAAUUUAGUCUACACAUUGUUGGAUGACAAAACAAAAUCGAAAGAUAAUCUGAAUGCCAGAAAAGAUCUUCGUGAGCUAAAUAUACGUUCUGACUUGUGGCCUGAUGAUAAUGAAAAAUAUCAAGCUGCAUGUUUUUCUCUUAACAAUCAUGGGAAAGACAUUUUCUUAAGUGUCUUAAAGAAUGUUAAACUGCCAGAUGGUUAUGCUUCUAACUUGUCAAGUUGUGUUGAUGUUAACAGUCGAAAGCUAUCAGGUUUAAAAAGCCACGACUGUCACGUGAUAAUGAGAGAUUUAUUAUCAGUCGCAAUUCGGAAGAAAAAGUUUUUCAAGGAAAAGAAAUGAUAUUGUAAGUAAUGUAAAGUUAGUUUAUUAUAUAUUGAUAUAAACUACUUUACUAUACUAAUAUUAUAUAUAUUUAUGCAUGUUACAAAGACAAUCAAGACUGGAAAACGACCAUGUCGAGCAGAGUUUUUUAUCGAGACUCGUACAAAACCUAAUGGAAGCUUUGUAUGUGAAGAAGCAAAAACACGGGCGGUUAGUUUCAGUCAAUAUUAUCAUAGGUUUGUAUGUUAAUUCUACUUGAUAUUUAUUCUUCAUUUGUGGUUUAGGAAAAACUUACGACGUUGUUGGGCCAAAAGUCACAUGUGACAAACAAUGCUAUUGCUAGUUUGGAUGAUGAAUAUGCACAAGUUUUUGGUCCAGAGCGUCCAGGACGAGUACGGUGUGUUGGUCGUGGACCUACACCUUCAAAAUUAGUGAACCAUUCACCUGUUACGAGACAAGAGAUAGAGAAUUCAGAAAUGGUUAUUGACCUGAAGUCACAAGUGAAAGAAUUAUCAGAUCAAGUCAAGGGAAUGACUACAUUCAUCCAACAAGUAAUUGGUACUUCAACUGGUGAACAGGUAAUAAUAUAUUUUAUAAGUUAAUUGUAUUUUUAUACUUUUGAUAUAUGUAAACUAAUAUAUGCUGAACUAAUUAUUUAGGCAAGAGUAUGGGCUUCAAGUUUUGCUGUAGCUUUUGCUAACAUACCAAACCCAGCUUUUGCCAACGUACCAUCUCCACCAAAUCCAAAUCAGGUAAAUUAUAAUUAAUUUUAGUUUUAUAAUAAAUAAUUAUUCAAAAUAUUAACUGAUUUGUUGUAUAAUUCUAUUUCAGGAACGGAGUGAUGAUGCUGUUAGAGACUAAGACUCAGACGUUGGAAGCAAUGGCAGUGAUCUUCAUCAACAUUAGUUUAAUAAUAGUUUCAGUAACUUUCAGUUUAUUUUAUUUUUAUGAAUUUGCAUGAUGGAUUAGUUGAUUUGAUUUCUAAUACUUUAUUUAUUAUCUAAAUCAGGUUUUAUUCAUUUAAUUAAUUUUCCUGCAUUUUUAUAUAUAUUUUAAAUCAUAAAAAUGUAAAUAAAAAUAAUAUUUGUAUCAUUUAUAUAUAAGUGAAAUAUAUUAUAAUCAUUUAUGAAAACUGAUAUAGAUUUAGCAUCAAUUAUAUACAAAUGAUGAUAGAAAUUUAAAUCACUAAAUUGUAAAUGAUACAAUUAUAAAAAUCACUUCUUAAAACUGAUAUAAAUUUAACAUCAAUACGUAAAAUGAUAAUAAUACUUUAAAUCACUUGCUUUAAAUGAUAUAAUUAUUAAAAUCACUUUUAAAAAAAUGAUUUAAGGUUAACAUCAAUUGUUUAAAAUGAUAUAUUAAUUAAAAUCGCUUGUUAUAAAUGAUACAAUUACUAAUAUCAUUUCUAAGAAUUGAUGUUACAGUUACAUCAGUUUAUAAUAAAUGAUUUAACAAUUCAAAUCAGUUUUUCUAAUUGACACUAAUACUAAAAUCAUUUCGCAUAACUGAUCUUAAAGUUAACAUCAUUUUCUUACAAAUGAUACAUUUUAAAAUCAUUUAAAAUAAUUGAUGUAAAUAUAUAAUUUUAUUACAUCAGUUUUGAUUAAAAUGAUGUAAAUUAUUUGCAUCACCACUUUCAGAGUCAUUUAUUUAACUGAUGUAAAAGUUUUUUACAUCAUUUAUAACUAAUGCAAAUAUAUAAAAUAAAUGAUGUAAACUAGUCUUUUUUUUGUAGUGAUUUACCUACGUUGGCGGGAAACAAAACCGUCAUCUAAACAAUGGCUUCUCCCUCCAUUGACCUAUGUUAUGUAGCCAUGUAGGAACAAAGCAUCUGCUAUAUGAAACGGUCCCACGGCUUGAAAUAGAAUUCAAAAAAUCUUAGAAGCUAUAUAAGGAGAAGCACCAAGGAGUCGUCAUCAUCAUCAUUCACUAGAUCUUAGAGGUUUUGUAGCUUGUUAGAAUAAUACGAGGCAGAUAGCGCUUCCAAGAUCAUUAACUUGCUCCUUUGAAAAUGUACCUUAAUAAAAGGUAUCACAGAUUGAAAUCACAAUAGCUUUUGUUUCGGCCAUGAUGCAAACAAGAUAUUCCUAAGGACUAACGCAAACUACGGUCGUGAUAAUUCAUGACUCUUAGGAUUUUACCCUUGCGCCAAUUGAACAUUGUUGAACUCACACAUAAUCUUCUUAAAAAACUAAUACAAAAUCUCACUUUAUAGAAAAACAAAAAAAAAUCAAAAAGAAAAACAAUUGAAAUCUCACAAUUACUGAAUAACAAAUCCCAUAGCUAAAAUAUUUUUUUUUCAAAAAGCAGAAAAAUGAUAAAUAAAAAGAACCCUUCGAGCCUGUCUCUCCUCUUUUCCUUCUUUUUGAUAGAAGUCGCUUCAUUUUCUUCCUACUUGCUACGGACCGUCUCUAUCUUCUUCUCAAACCAUUUUGCCUAUCAAUUUUCCUUGUGAUUUCCCAUGAAAAUUGUAUUUAUUUUUGCUGAAAUUUAAUAACUUUUUUUCCUCUCCCCUGAAACGCAACCACUAACUCGGAACAUAAGUCCCAAUCCAGCCAAGCCCACUGAUGAAGAAGGACAUUGUCUGAAGAAACAAGUAGAUGAAGUAGUUGUUCUUCCCGUGCACAAAGUCAUAGCAUCCACACACGAACAAGAACGCCGCGAAUCCUAGCUCCAACGUGUUCAAUCUGAGACACAAAUUUAUUCAUAAUCAUCAAGCGUCUAGAUAUAGUUUCUACUAAGAAGUUUUAAGUAUAUAAAGUACACAUACCUAUCAGGCAAUUUGAAGAUUCUUGGGAACUUUUUAAGCCCUUUUGUGUUCCCUUUAGCGCUUUGACCGCUUCCAAGCUUAGCAGUCACGACCCAUUCGUUAGCUCUACCUGCCUCAAACAAACCAAUGAGUGUGGCCUUUGUCCGGUGCAGCGACAUCACAUUCUCGAAUAGAAUCCAAUAGAACAGCAGAUGAAUGGACCUUUUGGAUAAAGAAAAGAUUCAGUAUAAGGAAGAUUAACUUGACAUACAAGUAACAUAAUCACAGGACCCUAGAUAGUGACUUGAGAAACAAGAAACUCGAUUUACCUGGGAGUGCCGACGGAGUUUAGGAUAGUGAUGAUGGAAGGGAUAUAAACGGAACCCCAGAUGGGAACUUUAACUUCAGGGACAAGAAUGGUGAGAGGAAGAACAACGCAGUAGAAACAAAAUGUGACCCAAUGUGCAAUGACUUUCCUCACAAAGAAGAAGCUGUAGAUCACAUACACUUUCUUCCAGAAUCUCACUUUCUGCACAAGAUCAGUAACAGUCAGAUUAAAGAAUGAGUUAUCAGAUGUAAGAAAAAAGAGUAAUUAUUUUAUUACCUUGUUUCUGACGAUCUCCAUGACCAUUUUCCUAAAGAGAUUUGCAGGUCCACAAGACCAUCUAUGUUGCUGGAAACGGAAGGCUCUAAAAGUACUUGGAAGCUCACUUUUCACCUAAAAUUUGAAAAUAAUUCAUAUUAUUUUUUUAUAUAUAGCAAAUUUUCACAAGUAAUAGUAAAAUAUAUUUAGUUCUUUUUUUUUGCUUUAAAAUAUAUUUAGUUCGUAAAAAGGUAUAUAUGAUUAUAACAUAACUUGUGAAUCAGAUGUCAUGUGUCUUUAAUGAGAGAAGUAUCUUGUGCGCCAACAACUUUUUGUACUUUGAUUUAAAUUAUUCUAUUUUAAUUAAUGGAAAAUCAGAAUUUAAGUAAAUUAAAACCUGAAGGUCACCGAGGUAGAGAAAUUUCCAGCCACGGAGACUUGCUCGGACGGCGAGGUCCAUAUCUUCCACGGUGGUCCUAUCUUUCCAUCCGCCUGCUUCAUUUAUGGCCGCUAUCCUCCAUAUUCCGGCGGUCCCUAUAAAACAUUUUUGAUAAAAUAAAUUAUUAUGACAAAAAAACAAUUAAGACAAACGGAAAAGCACAAAUCUAUGUAGUGUCCAGAAAAUUUAAGAUCCGUUUUCGUUUGCUUCCAGUACACGUCAUCAUAAUGUAAUGAAUGUGUCUCCUUACGCAACUUAAUUAACUAAACACAUGAUCUAAGAAGCAAGCAAUUAAAUUAUUAUUUUUCCAGCUUGCAAAUCUUACUUAUCUGACAAGGGAUAACUAAGAUUAUUAAUAACUAUGAAGUAUUAAGUGUAUAAUUACACCUACUUGCGUCACGUUUCAAAGUCCCACUCCUGUCAAUCUUAAUCCAUUAUUAAUUAUUUUAUUCCAUAUAAUAGAUUUUUCAUCAGUUUUCUAGUAAUAAUUGUACACUAUCAUACAAUCAUUUUAAAAAAAAAAUUGGGUCCACAAACUGUGCUUCAAUUGGUCGGACAAUAUACCAACUCCAUCACAAUAUCAAUAAUCAACAACAGUAUUUACUUUCAACACUUAAUUUUCCAGUAUAUAAAAUUAAAAUGAAUUUUUCAGCAGUCAUUAGUAUAUAUGGGUAUAUAUUAGUAUUACUCUUACCGUUGAAACCGAAGAAAGCAUGUGUUGCUGAACCGACUUCUUGCUCAACAGUGAAAUGAUAGUCCAACGACAUUUCUUGCAUCCUCGUCAACAAGCAUUCAUCGGAAUUUACUGCAGAAGUAUAUAACAAGAUCAAUUCAUUACUCCUAAAAAUCAUCCCGUUUAAAAAUAAUUAAUAGUAAUUGGAUAAACAAAAACUCUAUUAUUUACUAGUAUUAAAUUAUUCAAUAAGAGAAUUGUCUAAAUGUGGCGCUAUCAGGAAGUAACGUCCUUCUCUUUUGUUUUUAAGCGUUAAUAAUCAAUCAUAUUCACAUAGCUUUCUCAUUAUUAAAUUCACUAAGUUGGACUUAUGCUUGAUAAAGACAAAACAGAAACCUAUUUUAUAAAAUACACAAACAAGUGUCGGCAAAAAAAGGCAGGUCCACAGUAAACUCGUUACUCCUACUGUACACUAACACUUUACUAGCAUUACUGACAAGAAUGGGUUCCACACAUGACAUUUAAAGAAAGGCAAAGAGCACGUGGAAGGCAUCAGAGUCCCGACAAUUACUAAAGACUGAACAGUUAAGAUUGGCCUCCUACUUGUCCAAAAACCCGACCCGGAUCAUAAACUGAGUCGAACAGAUUCGCUUUCACCGACGGAUCCGGAGUUUCGGAGUAGAUAAGAUGACGUGAUGUUAUCAACAUUUUGUACAAGAAAGUCUAUUUUAAGCAUUUUUGCUAAUAUAAGUUGACCCUGAAUCGCGCAACUAAUCUAUAAUCCAUGCAACACGGUGUGUACAUAACUCUUAACUUAUUCAAAGGGCAACGGUUUCUAGACGUCUAGUUGUGAUUGGCUUUAAUGAACCCACUAAAAAAAACCCAUACACUAGGCAGCUACUCCGCCGACACAGACAUAACUAACCCUACUUCUUCAAUCAGUCUACUACAAAAAUAUUAAUAAUAAUAAAAUGUCUAAGAAAAGUACAAAAAUGACGAAAAUACCAUUUAGAAAAGCCAAAAAAGUGAUAAACAAAAUAAAAAUAUGCAAGAAAAAGGAGAAAAGGCGAAAAAACAUUUUAAAAACUAGUGAAGGACAUAUACCACCGACACCACUAAUGCAGCUACAAAACCAAAACCACGAGCUUUCAUUUAAUGAUCUUUUGAUCAUUAAAUGUUUCAUAAUACAUAAACAAAGACACCGGUUCAGUAAGUAUGUUGACCCUGACACCUUCACAACAUUAUCAAACGUCAAUUCUAUUCAUUAUAAACUAACUACCAGUCG
rnacentral:lncRNA from 1 species